UUAUAAUUAGCACUGUGACUACUAAAAAUGUGUUACGCAUCUCAUAUGGGAUUCCCUUCUUUCCACGACUUGCUAUUGUUGCAAAAUUUUGAAGAACUGACACCUUUCCUUUUAAAUAUGCGAUGUGGAAUGAAGAGAUGGAGGUUUUGGGAAGCGAGGAAGAGGAACCACUCAAACCUCCUGCUUUGCUUAUCAUGUCUUUAAUGGACUCCUUAUAGUCCACUUUCUCUUCAUCCAAUGUGUAUUGUGAUGGGAUAUCAAGUGCAGUCAAUCCCUCCGCAUUUUUGGCAUUGAUAUGGUCACCACACAAGCGUUCCAGCAGUACUUUUACCACCUGUUAAUUAGAAUAUUCAUACAAGUAACCUUUGAGUAUAUAUAUACAUAAAAAAUUUCACUAGCAAAAUUAUCAUACCUGAGGUCUAUUUCUGAUAGCAGCAACAUGUAAAACAGUGUUGCCAUCAAUGUCUGCCCAACUCAGUAGUUCUUUCUCCCAACGGCUGGCAGCUUUAUGGCGGCUCCUUAUAAGCCACCCCACCAAGACUUGGAAAGCUUCAAACCUGUCAUUUUUUACGGCAAGAUGGAAAACCGUCUCAUCUCGAACAGUCAUAUCUUCAAUAGCCUCGGGGCAAACCUCAAGGAACUUGAUCAAAAAAUCAACAUUUCCAUUUUGAACCACAUCAUGCAAAGGAGUCAAGCCCUCCCGCCCUUUGACACGAACAAGGCCUUCAUCAAACCUGAGGAGUCGAAGCACUGUUUGAGUUUUUUGAUUUUGCAGAGCCAAGUGCAUGGGGCUAAACCCAGCUUGGUUUAGCUUUCUUGCAAACGAUGGCUUUAAGUUGAUCAUCUCCAUCAUAAAAUCAAUAUGCCCUGCAGAGGCUGCUACAUGCAAAGGAGUAUGGAAAAAAGGUACAUCAUCGAUACGCUGUAAAGCAUAUGGAUCAUUCAGAAUUAACUCAUACAAGAUGUUUAUGUCUCCUGUUUGUGCAGCCCCCUUCAUCUUCUCAUCCAUAGCAAGGUGCGGAAAUUUGCAGAAUAUAGAAAUGGAGUGAAGAAAAAACGCUUUAGCAGAGGAUAUGAUUAUGUUAAGGAUACAAUGAAGUGUUUGAUUAUUUUUUCCAGAUGAAGUGUUUGACAUUUUAUAGCACUUUAAUGAUUUUGGAUUUAUAUGUGAUGUCAGCCUCUACACGUAUACAGGUGAAUUGUUGCCUAUUAGAAAGAAAUAGUAAUUAAAUUCAUAUUUAAUAUAUAUUUUUAAUCUAAUUUUUUUAAUUCAAUUUAAUUUUAGUUAAAACGUUUAAAAACAUUUAUUUAAUCUAAUUUCUUUAAUAUAUUAAAUAAAAUGGAUUAGAGAAUAUAUUGAAUAUGGAUGAAUACUAUAUCAUACUAAUUUUAUGUCUCUAAAAAUUAAUAAGGUGUUAUUAUUUUAUUGGUGCUUAAAAAUUUAAAAUAUUUAGAAUCAUUCUAAUAUAAGUUAUUCUUUUAAUAAUAAUAUUUGGUACUUCCACGACAAGUUCAAUGGUUGACAAAUAUCUUAUAAAAGUAUUAUAAAAUAUUUAAAAAAUAUAUUAUUUAGUGACUUAAUUUUUUAAGAACAUUUGAUAAUUCAUAAAGAAAAUAAAUAAUAUUUUUUUCCAAUAAAAAAGGUGGGAAAAAUGAUAAGUAGAUAAGAGCUACCAUCACUUACAACAUGUUUGGACUAAAAAGAAGAAAAAAGGAGGGAAAAUUAAGUAAAAUGAGUAAAGAAAAUUUGGUUUUUUUUGUUUAAGUUAAGUAAAGUUGUUUAUUUUUUAUCGUAUUAUUAGAUUUUAUUUUUUAGAUUAUUAUCUCUUUUUCUUCUUUUGUUGACUCUUUUUCAUUAGUUUGUUAUUUCUCUAUGAAUCAGUAUCCCAACCAACUCAAUUUUGUUCAGGUAACCAUGUCUAUAUGUUUAAAAGCAUUAAUGCACUAAUCGAAAUCUGAACGUAAUAACUGUUCUCACAUUGAGGUAUAGAAGGUUCUUUUGGUGAAAAGAUGAAGCAUUGCAAAAAAAAAAAAAAAUUGAAUAAGAUAUUUUGAAAGAAAGCGGAGAGGAAGACUAAAAUAUAUUUAGUAACAUUAAGCAUCGUACAAGUAAAAAAAAAAUAAAGUAAAUAAUUUUAAAACACAAAAUUAUAACUUUAAAAAAGAUAAAACUCACAAUAAAAUAACAAGAUUAUAAAGUAAACUUUAAAAUGCACUAAUUAAUUAAAUUAAAUUACUUAUUAUAAAAAAAUCAAAGUAAAUUACUAGUAGUAAUUUUUUAAUCUUAGGUAUGUUGCAUAUAAUUUUAUAUUUUUUAUUUUUUAAAUAAUAUAUUUUUAUAAUUUUAAAUAUAUAUUUAUGCUAAUUAAACGAGGAUUCUCGUCGUGACAUCGCUAGCUAACUUUUGUAAGUGCCUAUAAACUGAUAAGUGCUAGCUAAAAGUGACAUAUUUUAACAUCAUUCUUAAUACAUUUUGGGUGAUUAUUUGAUGUUAAUUGUGAAUUUUAUACUCCUAAUACUUUAAAUUCAUGUAUUAAUGCUUAAUAGAGCACUUGAGAGCAAAAGGAGUAAAAAAUGAGCGAAAAAUGAAAUUUCGAAGCAAGUUACAGGAGCCACACGAGCUAGACCAUUCCACACAGCCAUGUAAGCCACACGGGCGUGUAGUAGGCCAUUUAGUUUUUACAGGACUUGUGACAUUUAGAUUGAUAGUGAUAGAUGAAAUCUAGGUGGAUUCUUUCCUGUGUAUUGUUUUGCUUCUUGGUUGUUAAUCGAUUAUUUUCUUAUUUUUUUCUUUAUUGCGUUCAUUGGUAAUUAAAUUAGUUAAUUUUAGUUUUAAUAAAUCACUCAAAUUAUUCGAUUAAAUAAUGGAAAAAAGAGUAAUUACCAGUACUUUUAGUCUUCUUGGAAUGAUAUCUUUGCUCCCCAUAGCUAUACUAUUAAUUGAUAGGUGCGCAUGCCUUAGUCAAAUUUUAGUUAGUUUCACGAAACAUUACAAAUUGUCUGAUAAAUGCGAGGCACAUCCCACACUUUCCAUUAUCAAUUUAACGAAUUCAAAUGUUGGUGCCUAAUUAAAAACUUUUCAAAUUGGGUGACUAAAUCAGGAACGAGGGCAUAGUUGAGUGACAUUUUGUAUAGUUUACCCUUAAUUUUUUUAAAAAUUUAAAAAAAUAUUUUUUUUAUAAUUUUUAUACUGUUUAAUAUAACUUUAAUAGUUUUUAAUUUUUAAAAAUAAUUUUAUAUUUUUUGAAUUUUUUAAAUUAAAAAAUAAAUUAAUUGCUUACAUGACAAUUUAAUGUAUGUCAUGUCAACAAAGUUAACAAACGUUAACUUUUCUAUUCAUUUUGGGGCGAUUUGAUAAACCAGCUUAGUUUAGCUUUCUAGCAAACGACGACUUUAAGUUCAUCUCCAUCAUAAACUCAAAAUGCCCUGCAAAGGCUGCUACGUGCAAUGGGGUAUCAAGAAAAGGAACAUGAUCAAUACGCUCUAAAACAUAUUGAUCAUUCUGAGUCAACUCAUAUAAGACGUUAAUAUGUCCUUGUGCAGUCUUUCUCAUCGUGUCAUCCACGGCAAGGUGUGUGUGUGUUGGGGGGAGAGGAUGAAAUAUGCCGGAACAUAAGAGUCCAACCAAUUGAGAAGGUACACAUAUAUUGAAAGGACCGAUGAAAUCUUAGACCGCACAAAACGGAAGCUAAAGGAUUGAUGAAAGAACGCUUUAGCAGAAGGAUAAUAUUGAAGUGUUUGAUUUUUCUUCUUCCUGUUGUAAUGUUUGACGUUUUGUUUGAUACCAAAUCCCACUUGUUAAAAAAUAUACAAUAAUUAUAUAUUUUUUAAUGAUUUUUUAGAUAUUAAAUAAAUGGUAACACGUCAUAAUAAAACUCUAAAACUAGAUGCAUUUAAUUUUAAUAUAAAUAUUAUAUCAAUGUAUCAAUAUGGUUGACCUAAAUACAAAUAGUUGAUUAAUUAAUAAAAAAAUAUUUAUUGAAUUAUUUAAAUAUUAUCUAAACUAAUUUAAUUUUUAAUUUUCAACCCUAUAAAACAUUUCACCAUCAUUUUUAACAAUAAUACCUAAUAUUUUAAAUUAACAAACCACAACCUUUUAAAUAUUAAUUAUCUUGAAAUUCAACUUUUUAGAAGUUAUUUUUUAACCGUCAACAACGUCAAACUGGCACUAAAAUCUUCCACUCACACUUGUAAAUUAAUAAAAGGACUCCGGUAAUCAAGGGACUUGAGAAUUUAAUCCAGUAUGAAUCUCCGUCACUCACGUAUUUGCUGUCAAUAGUGAUGGAUGAAUACGAAUUUUGUCCCAUAUACUGCUUGGAUUUAUAACCCCAAGCAAUGCAAGUGGUAAUAUUGUAGGGAUUUUCAACAUUAUCAUAAAUUUUAGGGAGGAAUUAAGUGAAUUCAGAGACGAAAUUAGAUGCCCAUUGAGUUUUGUUCAAAUCUAGGGAUUUCAUCGUCAUAUAGGGUCGAUUUUGAUAGCUAUUUUUAGCAACAACUUGAUUUAAUUAAUUAAAUUAAUUAUGAUUAGUUAAGUUUAAUUUAAGUAUAAAAGUUAAAAUUAAAUGAAAAACAAAACAUUUUUCUCUUCAUCUUCUUCUCCACUGUUUCUAGGGUUUUGGAGCUUUCUACUUUAGCCCUCAAUUUGGUAAAUAAUUUCAAGUUUUUUUUAUUAUAAAUUUUACAUUUUUGAAAUCGUAAGAGCUUGAUUUGAUUUAACUAAACCAUAUUCUAUUUUUGCAAAACCGUUAAAAUUUUCAAACAGGAAAUGUUGAUCUUUUGAUCAAGUUACUUAAGGUUUGUCCUGAGGCUAUUGCAGAUGUGACUGUUCGAGAUGAGACAAUAUUCCAUCUUGCUGUGAAAAACGACAUGUUUGAAGCUUCCAAGUCUUGGUGGGGUGCUUAUGAGAAGCUUCCAUGAGCCUGCCCAAUGGAAGAAACAACUGCUGAGUUGGCCAGACAUCGAUGGCAACACUGUUUUACACAUUGCAACUAUUAGAAACAGACCUUGGGUAUAUGCUCAUUUUUGUCAUUAAGUCAGUUACUGAUGUGCAUAUAUGCAUGAUAAAAGGGUUACUUAUAGGAAUAUUCUAAUUGAUAGGUGGCAAAACUAUUGCUGAAACACAUGCCGUGACCAAAUCAAUGCCAAAUAUUUGGAGGGAUUGACAGCACUAGAUAUCCAAUCUCAGUACCCAUCGAAUGAAAGGCAAGCAGAUAGGAUUAUAGAUGCUAAGAAAAGCAGGAGGUUUGAGUGGUUCCUCUUCCUCACUUCCAAUACCUUCAUCCCUUCAUUCCUAAUCGAAUCUUUAAAAGACAAGAUGCACGGUCUCAAAAAUGGGCAACUUCUGAAUUUCCACAAUACUUACAUUAAGAGUACUUAUCAGAAUUUCCAGCACCACUACCACCACUACCUUUUGCAGCAACUUCUGAUCCACUACUGGCACCACUCUUCUUCCCUUUCCACUUCUAGUCCUUUCCUUCUUCACCCUGCUACAUCUUAGCCUUCAAUGCUUCCUUCCUGCCUCAUUAGUCUCUUCUACUACUGUGCUUGUAAAGCACUGAUCAACUCGACUACUCUCAGUUGAGUCAAGUCAUUUGUGUUCUCCAAAGAAGUAAUUGUUCCUUCAUACUUCUCAAGCACAGAGAUUAGUAUUUUCUACAUUAGUCUACAAUCAGAGAGAUUAGUCACUACAAUAAAAUAGACUUUUAGCGGCAUUUUUAAGCGCCGCUAAAAGUAUUAGCAGCGCUUUAACAAGUGCCGCAAAAAAUGCCGCUAUAGACAACGCCGCUAAUUUUAGCGGUGUUUAUGUGAAAAAACACUGCUAAAGAUCAUGACCUUUAGCGGCGCUUCUACCACAAACGCCACUAUAAAGAAUGACUUUCAUGAUUUUUUUAAAAAAAUAUUUUAAUUAAAUAAUAUUUAUUUCUAUGAUAAAUAUUAUAUUAUGUUUUAUUUUUGAAAUUUAAACUUUAAACUAUAUGCUUUUAAGGAUAAAAAACAAAAUUUCUAUUAAAAUUUUAACUUUAAAAAACAAAAUUUCUAUUAAAAUUUUAACUUUAAAGCUAAAUAUAAAAAUUAAUGAAUUUAAAUUUAGAAUUAAAAUAUUAUGUUUAAAUAAAUGAGCAAUCUACCUCACAGCUCAUCUGAUCUAUAUUAACUCGGCCAAAUAUAAAAGAAGCUACAAAACACGUAAUAAUUAACAAUCAUGGUUAAAGAAGCUAGUACACAAGGUAGCUACAAAACCCUGUUUCAAUAACACCAAAUUCAAGUUCCGACUAAGAUAAAAGACCAUGACGAUGUGCUUGUUUCCUUCUAUAUAUCUUUGGGAAGAAUUCCUUCAAGAAAUCAUCCAUGGAAGUCACUCCACCUGCAGUCAAUAUUAAAAGAUAAACAGUGUCAUCAUCUUGAAAUAAGUAUCUUAUUGAGCUCUUUUGAAUCAAAUAACAUAAAUCUUCUAACAAAAAGAAACAAAUACAUAAUCUAUAAUGCAAAUAGCUUAGGAAUCAUUGAUAAUUCCCAAAUACCAAAUAAUAUAUGAAGAUUAUAUUUUGACGAUUAAAGAAAAUAUGUAGAGAGGGUUCUUCUCAAGACAUCAUUUUGAUUGAAAAGCAAAUCAGUAAAUCUGGAAGAUAGGAUACAAAUCUAAAAAGAUUUCAGCAAUUGCUAAUACUUAAUAUAAAUGAAUAGAAUUCAUAAACAGGCUGAAAAAAAUGCCACGAAUGCUCAUUUUUAGCGGCGUUUUUUCAAAAAUCGCCGCAAAUGCUCAAUCUUUAGUGGCGAUUUCCAUAAAGCGCUGCUAAUGCUCAAUUUUUAUCGGUGUUUUUUGUCCAAGUGCUGCUAAAAGCCUGUUUUGGUGUAGUGAGUCCCGAAACCCUUACCUUAUUAGCAAUAUCUAUCAACUUGUUUGAGUAUUCUUUGAUUGACUCAAAAUCUUUUAUUUGUAGCCUAUCGAAUUCCCUGGUCAAGUUCAACACCUUCAUGAUCUAGAACCUCUUAUCUCCUUGAUACUCAACCUUGAGGUAGUAUCUCCUUUAUUGAUCCAAAAAUAAUAAUUCUAUUGAAUAUGGCUAGUGAAACAACAACAUAAAGGCAAACCUUUACAUUUGCUUUCCAAGUGGUUCUUUCUUUGUGCAGUUUGAUCUGGUUCAUAGUUGGAUUUUUGGAAAGUGGAACCACCUCAUAGUCUUCCUCGAUAACUUCCCAAUAAUCACAACCCUCCAUGUAUGCUUGCAUUCUCAUAGCCUAUGCUUGAUAGUUCUUUCCAUCAAACACAUGUGGGGUUAAGACAGACAUAUUGCUUGAUCUUGAUUCCAUUUUUCUCAAUUCCUUACAAGUGUAUCUCUCAAUUUUUGUCUUAGGAUUCUCAUAAGGCCUCUCUCACAGGUCCCUCAAGAAAAAGAGGCUCUCGAUACCACUAUUGUUUCAAUGGAGAACUAACUAAAGGCACAAAAAUUGAAAAUGGAGAAAGUUGAUUAAAAUUUAUUAACCAAGCAAUGCUUAUUUACAUGACUCAAGCAAUGCUUAUUAAAUCAAUUUUUUAUUAUUUUUAGGGGCCAAAGUGUAAUUUUACCAUUACUAAUUUAGAAUUUUAUAAAUUAUAAAGGGUCUAACUGAAAAUUUUUCCAUUUCAGGAGGGCUGAGGGCCCUGCCACCCCCCUUGGCUUCGCCACUGAUAUUAGUUCUCGUGGUAUUAUACUAGAUAGCCAGUUAUAUACUAUAUAGGUUUGUACCCAAAAGAAAAAUAUCUUCCUCCUUAUGGCAUACUAGUUCAUAUGCUUUUAUUUUUAAGAAUUUAAACUAUCCUUAAUCAUAUAGUCCGCUAUAUCAUUCAGUCAUCACUCUCUUCACCGCUCAUUUAUCUUAUUUUUUAUUUGAUUUAAGAUUUCGUACAUCGAAAUUUCCUUUGACCUUUCAAGAAGUUUUAUUUUCUAAAAUUAGUGCGUUUUAAUCACCUAUAAAAUCAAAAUUUUUAUUCAAGUUGCAGUUGAUUUGGACUGGAUGUACAUUAUCUAUGGCUUUGGGAUACUUGGAAGUUUCCUACGACCUUCGAAGAAAUCUGUUUUUUGAGACAAGAGUGAUCGAGUCAUGUAUAAAUUUUGGUCAGGUUCCUGUGUUUUGCAAAUUUCCUUUCCUACAUUCUCUUCUGGUUCUUUUUUCUGUGUUUCGUUGCAAAUUUCCUUAGUUUUCAAUUUUCAAUUAUCUGAAGAUUAACUGCUCAAUUUAUUACCCCCAAAAGAAAAGUUAUGGAUGAGAGGAUGAUAGAGGCUGCCCAAACAGGAGAUUUUAACCUCUUGUAUGAGUUGAUUCUGAAUGAUCCAUAUGUUUUAGAGCGUAUUGAUGAUGUGCCUUUUUUCCAUACACCAUUGCAUGUAGCUGCCUCUGUUGGGCAUAUUGAGUUUAUGAUGGAGAUGAUCAAAUUAAAGCCAACGUUUGCAAGAAAGCUAUGUAGGAACAAUGGCAGCAGCAAGCAUCAAACAAAGUUUCAAAUCUGUAUUUGUAAGACUGAAGCAAGAAGAAUCGAAGCAAAGAAAAAGCAAAGCAAUGAACACAAUUGAAUACUCAGCAAAGUUGUAACUGAACAUUACAUUUUUCAUUCAAGAUUUGAAUAUAUAAAAGAGCUACAAAUUUUGGUUCAUUUGACAGAUACCUAAUGACAUAACUAUUCCCACUUAAACUAAACUAAUACAAGCUUAAGUCAAAUACAAAAUAAGCUGACAUAUCAGCUUUUACAUCAUCAAUCCAAUCAUAAACUUAAUCCAACUAACUAUUAAAGCUAGUUACAAUCAAACUAAACUAAGUUACAUCAAAACAAAACAGCAAUAUCAGUUGCUUCAUUUGGUCUGAAAACCAUUCGUGCAUACCAAGCAAAAUGAGCUGAGCUCGAUAGCUGCUGGUCUCGAUAGUAGCAUGCUUCCGGCUCCAUGUUGCAUUGCAGUCCAGCUUUCAACACUCCUCCUUGGACUGUAUGCAACACAUUCCAAUUGCAUUUCUCAAAGAUUCAAAUCGAGCAGCCCCCAAGGACUUGGUCAUUAUGUCAGCCAAUUGUGUCCCUGAGCUGCAAUGCACAAGGCUGACUUCCUUUGCUUGUUCAGCCUCUCUAACAAAAUGCAGCUUGAUUUUAAAAUGCUUUGUCUUACCAUGGAACACAGGGUUCUUGGCUAUUGCAACUGCAGACUGAUUAUCCACCCAAAUUUCAGUUGCUUCAUCUUGAGUUUCAUUAAGGUCAUGAAGCAGCUUCCUUAGCCAAAUGGCCUGAUUAACUGCUCCUGCUGCAGCAAUGUAUUCUACUUCAGCUGUGGACUGAGCAACAGUUUGCUGCUUUUUUGAACUCCAGCAAAACAUCCCCGAUCCAAGUGUAAAGAAGUGUCCUGAGGUACUCUUCAUGUCAUCGAGGGAUCCUGCCCAGUCACUAUCAGAGUAGCCUUCUAGUUUCAGUUGGUUCCCACUUUCAAACAUUACACCAAAACUAGCAGUGCCCUUGAUGUAUCUAAGGACCCUCUUUGCUGCCUUCAAAUGUGCCUCAUUGCAACAAUGCAUAAAUCUCGAUAACAGACUGACACCAAACAUGAUGUCUGGCCUGGUUGCUGUUAGAUACAACAGACAACCAACUAGGCUUCGAUAGUGCCUCUCAUCAACCCUCUGCUGAUCACCACUGCUAGUCAGCUUUUCUCCUUGGGCCACAGGUGUGCUGACUGCUUUACAAUUAUGCAUGCAGAAUUUGUCUAGGAUCUUCAAAGCAAAUGAGUGUUGGCUGAUGAAGAUACCUCGAUCAGACUGGUGAACUUCCAUGCCAAGGAAGUAAGUCAUGAUCCCCAAGUCUGUCAUUUCAAACACUUGCUGCAUUUGGACUUUGAACUCAUCAAUGAGCUCAAUUUUGCUCCCUGUCACAAGCAAAUCAUCCACAUACAAGGAGACAAUCAGCAAGGUUUCAUGUUUUGACCUUUUAACAUACAGAGUAGGCUCACUAAGGCUCUUUACAAAUCCAAGUUUGGUCAGGUAAGCAUCAACUCUGUCAUACCAGGCCCUUGGUGCCUGUUUCAGGCCAUAGAGGGCCUUUCUCAACUUAUACACUUUGUCUUCAUGUCCAACAACUUCAAAACCUUCAGGUUGUUCGAUGAAGAUCUCCUGACUGUAGCAAAAGUUUGUAUCCAGUCUUGCCACUGGAGCAAAAGUUUCUAGGUAGUCAACACCAUACUGCUGACUGUAGCCCUUCACCACAAGCCUGGCCUUGUGCUUGUUCAGUGAGCCAUCAGCAUUGUACUUGGCCCGGUACACCCAUUUAACUCCUAUGACCCUCUUGUGUUCUGGUCUGCUCACCAACUCCCAAGUCUGAUUUUUGUUGAUCAUUUCCAACUCAGCUUCCAUAGCUUUCAUCCAGCUUCUGUUCUUAGCAGCCUCUUCAAAGUCUGAGGGCUCAAUCACAGCAACAUUGCACCUCUGAUAGACAUCAGCCAAAGUUCUGGUGCCCCUCACUGGUAUAUCAUCGACAGCAUCAUUACUUGGUCCUUUUACUGCAGGUUCAGCAACCAAGUCUAACUGGUCCAAUUCAGACAAGUCAGCCUCAACACCAUUCCAAUUCCACACCUUUUCCUCAUCAAACUUUACAUCCCUGCUGACUAAAACCUUCUUUGCUGUAGGAUCAUACACUCUAUAGCCUUUCUUGUUGCUGCUGUAGCCAACAAAGAUUCCUGGAGUUGCUCUGCUCUCAAGCUUGGUCCUUUUCUCUACUGGAAUAAGUGCAUAACAUACACAGCCAAACACUUUUAAGUGUGUUACCACAGGUUUGACUCCAUGCCAAGCCUCAAAAGGAGUCUUAUCCUUGACUGCUCUAGUUGGCAGUCUGUUGAGCAGAUACACUGAGGUGUUGACUGCCUCAGCCCAAAACUGACUUGGAAGCUUGCCUUGAAACAAGAGGCACCUGGCCAUGUUCAGUACAGUCUUAUUCUUUCUCUCACAGACUUCAUUCUGUUGAGGAGUAUAGACUGUUGUGAGCUGAUGGUAAAUCCCAGCACUGUCACAAAGCUUCUGAAAUCUCUCAGACACAUAUUCAGAACCAUUAUCAGUCCUCAAGGCUCUAAUUUUGCAGCCUGACUGAUUUUCAGCAUAAGCCUUGAAUUUACAGAAGGCUUCAAACACUUCUGACUUUUGCUUCAAGAAGUAGACCCAACACAACCUUGUUAAAUCAUCUAUAAACAGGGCAAAGUACCUGUUCUCACUGAUUGAAGGUGUUCUCAUAGGGCCACAAACAUCAGAGUGCACCAAUUCGAGCUUGUCUUGAGCUCUCCAAGCACUGUCAGCAGGAAAAGGCAGUCUAGCCUGCUUACCAAGCUGACAAACCUCACAAACAUUCCCACUAACUUCAAAUUUUGUAAUGUCAUCAACCAAAUUCAGCCUAUGUAACAGAUCGAUGGAUCUAAAAUUUGCAUGGCCUAGUCUCCUAUGCCACAAGUCAGUGCUUUCAACAAGGCUGGUGUAUGCCUUUCUUUCUAUUUGGCUAACAUCCAGCAUGAAGCACCUAUCAGUCAUAGAGACUGUGACUAACUCCAGACCAUUCAUGUCUUGAACAAUACAGCAACCAUCCUUAAAAACCAAUGUAUAGCCCUUUUCAACUAAUUGGCCUACACUAAGUAAAUUCUGGUCUAAGUCAGGUACAAAAAACACAUCUGAGAUCAGCUUGUUACCUGAACCAGUGCUAAUCAACACACUGCCCUUGCCUUUAGCCUCAAUCAGUCUACCAUCUCCAAUUCUAAUCCUCGAGUGGAAGCUUCUGUCUAGGCUUUUGAACAGCUUCUCAUCUGCUGCAAUAUGGUGUGAGCAGCCACUGUCUAGUAGCCAAUCAUUGCUGGCCUUGGUUGUGCCAACAAAACAAGUUACUGUGAACACUUGCUCCUCCUGAGCUUGAAUGUCCUCAGCAGGUCUAGCUUGUUGCAGAGCAGCCUCCCUUGGUUUGCCCUUGCACACCUUCUCCACAUGGCCAAACUGCUUGCAUUUUCUACACUGAAUAUCUGGCCUAAACCAGCAAUACUUUUCUGAAUGUGUUGUCUUCUUGCAAUGAACACAUGGUGGGAACACCCUUUUUGCUUCAUCUAUUCCUGACUUGACCCUUCUAUUGUGCCAAUGCUGCUUGCCUUUUGCACUCACACUCGAGCCUUCACUGGCUUUAGCCUGGAAAGCAGCUUCAGGAUUCUCCUCCUGCCUAUUUGCCCUCCUUUGCUCAAGUGCAUACAGGAAGUUUAUCAGCUCAGACAAAGAAAUGGCUGAUAAGUCCCUCGAGUCCUCAAGUGAAGAGAUUUUAGACUCAAAUUUCUCAGGGAGAGUUGUAAUAACCUUUUCAACAACUCUGCUCUCUGUGAAGUCCACUCCCAGGAGCCUAAUGCUGUUGAAAAUGGCCAUUAUCCUGUCUGAGUACUGCUUGAUGGUCUCAGACUCCUUCAUCCUCAAAUUUUCAAAGUCUCUCCUGAGGUUGAUCACUUGCUGUUGCCUUGUCUUAUCAGUCCCCAUGAACUCCUCCUUCAGCUUCUCCCAAGCCUGCUUUGGUGAGUCACAGGCCAUGAUGCGAGUAAAUAUCACAUCAGAGACUCCAUUUUGCAAGCAGGCCAUAGCCUUAUGCUUCUUGGCUCGCUCCUCAGUAUGUUGCCUCAUCUGUGCAAUGGUGGGAUUGGCUCUCAAUGGAGGUGGUUCAGCAUCAUUCUCGAUCACACUCCAAAGAUCAUGUGCUUGGAGAUAAGUCUUCAUUUUAACUAUCCAAAUGUGAUAGUUUUCUCCAGUGAACACUGGUGGAGGUGGUAGAGUGAAACUCAUUCUGCUAGACUGAAUCCAAAUGCUUCGAUCUUACCAAAUUUUGAACUUGCUGUUGGUUUUGAUUCAAACACAACAGAUUGCAUACAAAGGCCCCUCAAAGACUCGGGCUCAUGAUACCAUUUGUACGAACAAUGGCAACAGCAAGCAUCAAACAAAGUUUCAAAUCUGUAUUUGUAAGACUGAAGCAAGAAGAAUCGAAGCAAAGAAAAAGCAAAGAAAUGAACACAAUUGAAUACUCAGCAAAGUUGUAACUGAACAUUACAUUUUUCAUUCAAGAUUUGAAUAUAUAAAAGAGCUACAAAUUUUGGUUCAUUUGACAGAUACCUAAUGACAUAACUACUCCCACUUAAACUAAACUAAUACAAGCUUAAGUCAAAUACAAAAUAAGCUGACAUAUCAGCUUUUACAUCAUCAAUCCAAUCACAAACUUAAUCCAACUAACUAUUAAAGCUAGUUACAAUCAAACUAAACUAAGUUACAUCAAAACAAAACAGCAAUAUCAGUUGCUUCAUUUGGUCUGAAAACCAUUCGUGCAUACCAAGCAAAAUGAGCUUAGCUCGAUAGCUGCUGGUCUCGAUAGUAGCAUGCUUCCGGCUCCAUGUUGCAUUGCAGUCCAGCUUUCAACAAGCUAAACCAAGCUGGGUUUAGCCCCAUGCACUUGGCUCUGCAAAAUGACAGAACUCAUGCAGUGCUUCGACUCCUCAGGUUUGAUGAAGGACUUGUUCGUGUUAAAGGGAGGGAGGACCUCACUCCUCUGCAUCAUGUGGUUCAAAAUGAAAACUUGAAUCUUUUGAAAAAGUUUCUUGAGGUUUGUCCUGAGGCUAUUGAAGAUAUGACUGUUCGAGAUGAGACGGUUUUCCAUCUUGCUGUGAAAAACGACAUGUUCGAAGCUUUUCAAGUCUUGGUGGGGUGGCUUAUGAGAAGCUGGUAUGAGUCUCCCCGAUGGGAGAAAGAAUUACUUAGUUGGCCAGACAUUGAUGGCAACACUGUUUUACACAUUGCAGCUAUCAGAAACAGACCUCGGGUAUAUGCUAAUUUUUGUCAUUAAGUCAGUUAUUGAUGAGUAUAUAUGUAUGAUAAAAGGGUUACUUAUAUGAAUAUUUUAUUAACAGGUGGUAAACGUAUUGCUGGAACACAUGAGGCGAGACCAAAUCAAUGCCAAAAAUUUGGAGGGAUUGACAGCACUAGAUAUCCAAUCACAGUACCCAUGGAAUGAAAGGCAAGCGGAUAAGAUUAUAGAUAUGCUAAGCUAAGCUGGAGGUUUCCCAAUACCUCCAUCUCUUCAUUCCACAUCGAAUCUUUAAAAGACAAGAUGUCACGGUCUCAAAAAUGGGCAACAAGAGCAGGUCGAGGAAAGAAGGGUAUGGGACAUGAGAUGCGCAACACAUUUCUAGUAGUGACAGUGCUAAUUAUAAUAACCACAUACGAAGCCUCUUUAAACCCUCCAAAGAAGCCUAAUGACAGUCCAUCCAUGAAAUACCAAGUCUCUUCAAGUCAAGAUGAGCCUCUCAAUUCCCACACAUUUUUGCAUAAAACCGACUUCAAUACUGCUCCCAUACCCAGUCCCUCCGCAAUUGACGUUUUGGAUCUAGAUGAUUGGACAUUUAAAUACUCCUCAUUUUUGUUUUGCAACACGUUCACCUUUUGGGUAGCAGUGUUCUUAACAGCACUUCUCCUACCACCUCAUUCAUUCUCUUCCUUGAUUCUCCUAACACUUUCCUUCUUUGGGAGAUCUUACAUGAAUUUAUUUGAUGUUUCCGCAUGGUCAUGGGGAUAUUCAUAUGAGUUUUCCAAUGAAAACGCACACUUAUUAUAUGUUGUAGCCUCCUUUUGUAAUGUUUUCUUCUCAACAUUGCUAGUUUUCCUUGGAUCAUACCAGACAAUAUUUUAUGUUUGCAGUAGGGUAAACAUUACCAAGCAAAAAUUCUUCUUCCUCCUACUAGUCGUUGUCAUUGGCUGCAUGCAGGUUUUUAUGUUUGCUUAGCUUAGUGAUGUGAUGGCCAUUGAUAAAUAAAAUCAAGGUUGGUGAAUGUACCAUUUCAUUCCAUUGAUAAAAGAAGUUUAAGUUUUAGAGUUGUUAUAUAUAUAUAUAUCAUCUAUCUUGCUCCACAUAUAAAUAUGGAGUGCAAAUCUGUUAAAUACUUAAAUGUGAUAGACUAAAACAUCAUUCUAAUAUAUUAAAUUUAAAAUAUUUUGAUAUUAUUAAAAGAAAUGAUUAAAUUAUUUUAACAUAUAAUAUCUUUUUUUAAGAGUAUUGAUUUUAUUUUUAGCUUUAAAAAAUACAAGUAAAAACAAAAUUUAAUUAACAAAAUUUUUUAUACAAUGCCUCAAAUUUAUGUUUUCUUUACACUAAUAGUAAUAUCGAUACUAACUAAAUUAAAAUUCAAUCGAUAAAUAAUUUAAAUUAUUAAUAAAUUAAAAUCUAUAUUAUACUUUAAAAUAUUUAUGAUAUAAAAAUAUAUUAAUAUAAUACCGACAUAUUGAUUAUUGAUUGUCGUGUUUAAUUAAGACUAGUAUAGCGUCUUAAGGUCAGAUGGGACUAUUGAAGAAACUUUUACCUCUAAGUGCCAAUUCGUUUGGAAUAAGAAAAAACAAUAAAAAGUGCCAGUACUUGUUUCUUUUCUUCUUUCUGUUUAAGACUUCUAUGGCUUGGGACCAUACCAGAAUUGUAUGUUCUACUUUUAAUUCUAGGACGACGUGAGUACAAAUUAAAUAUUUUUGUAUUGGUAACAAUAUUGAUCAUAAUCGAUUAAAAUAUUAAAUUUUACACUAAAGAACUUAAUAGAAAGAAUGUUGAUGAUGCUAACAACUAAACUUGAAUUUUUAAAUUUGAAAAUUAGAAAGAUUAAAUCUUAAAAGUAAAAGUAGAUGGACUAAUUAAAUUUCUAAUGUAUAAAGUGUAUAAGGAGUAAGGACUUAAAGUAUAUUUUAACACUUAAAUUUUUAUUUUAUAAUUUCAGACAAUCAAAUAAUUAAUCCAAUAUAAAACUUGGACGAAAAAAUUCUAUUUUCUUUUAAGCAUGUCGAAUUUAUUUCAAGCCUUCAAACAAACAAGCAAAGAAAAAAUAAAAUCAAAAGAAGAUAUCAAGUUGUCACUAGAUAACAAUUCUAGGUAGGAUUGGACCGAUGAGGUUCCGGUCCACAAUGAGCAAAACGGUGAGAGUGAUCCGAUUAAGUGAAGAAAUUUGAGAAGGGGGGGAGGGGGAACUUUCGUCGUUGUAAAGUGAAAAAGCUAAGGGAGUGAUUACAAUUUGAUUAUUAUUUCAUAUGCAAAUUCAAUUUUAAUUUAAAAUAACUUGAAGGCUAAAUUCAAUAAAAAAAUACUUUUAUAUUUCACUUUAAUAUUUAACAAUAAUAAGUUAAUUAAUAUAAUAUUAAAUUUAAAUAAAAUGGUUAUUUUAUAAAAUAAUUGUUUUUUCAUUUAUGAUAUAUGGACUUUUAUUUCUCAAGUUUUUAUAAAAUAAGGCUGUUAGGGUUGUUGCGUAUGUAUGCAUGUGUGUAUGCCUUGCAUGGGUGACAUUAGCAAACAAUAUCCCUCAGUUAGUAUAUAAGCUGAGCGAUAGUUGCUGAAAUGUGUGAGUUCCGGAAUAAUAAAAGUUCAAGUUUAUGCUUCUAUUUACUUUCUUGGCAAGUUUUCUCAGCUGCCAAACAGCUACAUAUGAUCGUUUGAUGUUCUUAACUAUCGACUUGUUGGAGUUUAGAGAAGUUGAGAGAGCAAAUAAAGAGAAAAAAAAGGAAAAUAUUUGCUUUCAAAAUUUUUCAUUAUUAUUAUUUUUACACAUGUAAUACAAUAUAUGGGUGUAGUGGUUACAGAUAAUUCAACAAGUCCUACUAAUACACCUUAAAAAUAUAAACCUAAAAUUUAUACAGAAACUGAUUAGGUAAAAUCAAUACCUAAAAAUAUCAAUUCAAUACUAACUCUGCUUGCUUUAACAAGUAAUCUCAGCAAAUAAAUUAAUUACAAAACAUUUAUAUCAGCAAAGGUGAACCCUACCAGCAUUACAACUAGUGGUUCACCAAAAACUUUACUAGCUCAUACUUUGAUGAGCUCCCAGCUUCAAUUGAACUCGCACUUUUUGUUCAACUCACAGCUUCACCGGAAGAAUUCGCCACUGCAUGCCACUUCACAACACGAUUGCAAGAAAGCUAAACCAAGCUGGGCUUAGCCCUCUGCUCUUGGCUCCUCAAAAUGACAAAACUCAAGCGGUGCUUCGACUCCUCAAGUUGACAAAGGCCUUUGUUCGUGUGAAAGGGAGGACGGCCUCACUCCUUUGCACCAAGUUGUUCAAACUGGAAAGGUUGAUCUUUUGUUCAAGUUUCUUGAGGUUUGUCCUGAGGCUAUUGAAGAUCUGACUGUUCCAGAUGAAACGGUUUUCCAUCUUGCCGUAAAAACCAGCAUGUUUUAAGCUUUUGAGCUCUUGGUGGGUGGCUUAUAAGAAGCCGCCAUGGAGCUGCCAAAUGUUGGGAGAAAGAACUACUUAGUUGGCCAGACAUUGAUGACAGUACUGUUCUGCACGUUGCAGUUUUAAACUCACCUCAGGUAUGCUAAUUUUGUUAGUUAAUUCAAUUAUUAAAUAUACAUAUAAUAGGGUUAUAUAUUUGAUUUUUUUUUAACUAACAGGUGAUAAAAGUAUUGCUGGAACAUUUGUGUCGACAUCAUAUCAAUGCCAAAAAUUUGGAUGGAUUCACUGCCCUAGAUAUCGAACCAGAGUUACCAGAAUGGCCAUUGGAUGAAGGGCAAGUGGAUAAUCGGGACUCCAUUAAAGAUAUGCUAAGCAAAGCAGGAGUUUGAGUGGUUCUUCGCUACCUAUGAGGCUCCGGUCUACAAUGGGAAAAACGGUGAGAGUGGUCCAAUUGUGUUGUCCUUAUUUGGGACCUGUUGCCCGCUUUUAGUUGCUGUUAACAUAUGGGCACUCAUCCUAUCAUGAUGGCCACAGCAUUGUUAAUUACUGCUGUUAACAAUGUUAACAAAAAAUUGUUAACUGUUUAUCCUGAAUUUUAAAAUAUGAAAAUAAAAAAGAUUAAAUUAUUAAAAAUAAAAUAUAUGAAAAAAAAUUUAAAAUUUUGAAAAGUACAUCGUCAAUCAUAUGGUCUGCUAAACCAUUCUUUCAUCACUCCUUCCACCACUCAUUUAGGUUGUUUUCUGUUUGAUCUAAGAUUUCCUACUUGGAAAUUUCCUUUGAUCUUUCAAGAUGUUUUAUUUUCUCAAAUUAGUGCGUUUUACUCACCUCUCAAAUCAAAACUUUUAUUCAACCUGAGUUGCAUUUGAUUUGGACUGGGUGUCUAUUUUCUAUGGCUUUGGGGUACUUGGAAAUUUCCUUCGACCUUGGAAGAUAAUUGUUUUUUGAGACAAGAGUGUUCGAGUCAUGUAUAAAUUUUGGUCAGAUUCCUGUGUUUUUGCAAAAUAUAAGUUCUAUUUCCUUUCUAUCUUGUCUUCUGGUUCUUUCUUCUUUGUGUUUUGUUGCAAAUUUCAUCAGCUUUCACUAAUCUGAAAAUUUACUGCCUAAUUUAUUACCCCCACAAAAAAAGCUAUGGAUGAGAGGAUGAUAGAAGCUGCCCACAUGGGAGAUAUUAACUUCUUGUAUGAGUUGAUUCUGAAUGAUCCAUAUGUUUUACAGCGUAUUGAUGAUGUGCCUUUUUUUAAUACUCAAUUGCAAGUAGCAACCUCUGUUGGGCAUAUUGAAUUUAUGAUGGAGAUGAUCAAAUUAAAGCCAACGUUUGCAAGAAAGCUAAACCAAGCAGGGUUUAGCCCCAUGCACUUGGCUCUGCAAAAUCACAGAACUCAUGCAGUGCUUCGACUCCUCAGGUUUGAUGAAGGCCUUGUUCGUGUCUAAGGGAGGGAGGACCUCACUCCUCUGCAUCAUGUGGUUCAAACUGAAAACUUUAAUCUUUUGAAAAAAAUUCUUGAGGUUUGUCCUGAGGCUAUUGAAGAUAUGACUGUUCGAGAUGAGAUGGUUUUCCAUCUUGCUGUAGAAAACGACACGUUUGAAGCUUUCCAAGUCUUGGUGGGGUGGCUUAUGAGAAGCUGCCAUGAGUCUGCCCAAUGGGAGAAAGAACUACUGAGUUGGGCAGACAUUGAUGACAACACUGUUUUACACAUUGCAGCUAUUAGAAACAGAGCUGGGGUAUAUGCUAAUUUUUGUCAUUAAGUCAGUUAUUGAUGUGCAUAUAUGGAUGAUAAAAGGGUUACUUAGAGGAAUAUUCUAAUUAACAGGUGGUAAAAGUAUUGCUGGAACACAUGCGGCGAGACCAAAUCAAUGCCAAAAAUUUGGAGGGAUUGACAGCACUAGAUAUCCAAUCACAAUACCCGUGGAAUGAAAGGCAAGCGGAUAGGAUUAUAGAUAUGCUAAGCAAAGCAGGUGGUUUGAGUGCUUCCUCUUCCUCGUUUCCCAAUACCUCCAUCUCUUCAUUCCACAUCGAAUCAUUAAAGAAAAAGAUGUCACGGUCUCAAAAAUGGGCGACAAGAGCAGGUCCAGAAAAGAAGGGUAUGCCACAUGAGAUCCGUAACACAUUUCUAGUAGUUAUGACACAUGCCCAUGUGAAGGAGGCACACGCCUAUGUGAAAAGAGGCACACACACGACUGUGUGCCCUAGAGACAUGACUGUGCGAAUAACCCAUGUUACUCUUUGUCCGAAAUUGUUAAAAUAAGGUGCAAAGCAGACACAGCCGUAUGAAAGUCUCACAUGCUCGUGUGCCACGGAACACUACUGUGUGCCCAGAACACACGCCCAUGUGAUUAUCAACUAAAAUCUCCAAAUCGAAACCACAAGAUCGUAUGACACCAAAAAUCAUCGAAAAACCCUAAUUCCUAAAUUCGCACAGCCGUAUGAACUGCCCGUGUGUGGCACAAGCCCGUGUGGUUACGAAACCACACCGAAACAAGCUACAGAACAUGCAUUUGCUACCGAAACAACCCUCAAUCCUCAUUAACAUAGUAAUACACCAAAAACAAAUAGUAUUUCAAGCAAUUCCAUAACAAUCUACACUUCGAUUGGUAAAUUUCAGAAACACACAAAAUAUGUCGAAUUUCACGGAGGCAAAUCAAAAUUUUAAAAAUGAAAAUGAUGAGCUUUCAAACCCACACCUAAAUUUGUGAUCAAAGCACGAGGAGAAAAACAAAGAAGAAAGCCAGAACGUAGGAGAAGGAAAUAAUAAAAUCUCCCCAACAAAAAUAAAAAAAAUUUGGAACAAAAAAAAAUGGAAACAAAUCUAACGUUUGGAAGAGGGAGGGAGAGGAGGAACGUGAAAAGAUUUUUUAGGAUAACUCCCUGUUGUAGACACAAAAUAAUAAUAAUAAUAAAAUAAAAAGAAUUAAAUUAAAUGAAAAUAACAAAUAAGUAUUGAAACUUUAAACAAGCUAAAAUAAAAUUGAUUCCUCUAAAACACUCAUGAGGGCUCAAACUUGAAAUCCGAAGGUAAACUAACACACUCGCCACUACCAACCAGCAGGCUCAUUCUAACAUUAAAACGCAAAAACAAGCACAAUUACUCAGCCUACUCACUAACCCUUACUUAAAACCUCAAAUCUUCUAACCCCAAAAUUUAGGAUGUUACAUGUAAUGUCCAUAUUUUUCUAAUACAAUUUUAUACAUGAAUUUUGGUUUUGUGCAGUUUUGCACAUGAUUUUUUUAUUUAAUUUAUUUUUCACAAACUACUAACAAAAUUAUUGAUAUAUAUCACCAUUUUAAGUUUACAUAUUAUAUACAUAAAUAAGUAUAUUUAUAAGAUAUCAAAAUAAAUCGAUGUCUUUAAACGUAACACCAAAACAAAGUUUGAUAUAUAACUCAACAUAUAAAAAGAAGUUAUUAAACAAUACAUAUAAUGUUUAGAACUAUAGUUCUAAUAUUAUUGGUAAAUUUAUAAUUUUCGGUUCACGUAAAUCUUAAUUAUAAAAAAUAAAAUUAUGACUUAUCUUGGAUUAAACUUACAUUAUAUUAUUUAAAUAAAUAAUUUACUAGUUUUUAAUGUCAGGUAGAUGUAUGUAAUUUUAUGCUUUUAAUAUUUAAUUAAUUUUAAAUAUUAUAUUUUUAAUUGAAAUAAUUAAUGUAAAAUAAUAUUUUUUAUUUGAAUUAUUGAAUGUAAUUAAAAUAUAUUAACUUAUCACUUCAAAUAUUAUAAUAGAAAUUUUUUAAAUCAAAAUUGCAUUUUUAACAUAAUCGACCUACAAUGUAAUUUUACUUUUAUGUAACUAAUACAAGUAACAUUAUUCAAAACAAUAACUAAUCAAUAUAAUUAAAUUUAGUAAUAAUUAAUUUUUAAUUAAGAUGCUUAAAAUUUUAGUAAUAAUUCAAUUUUACAUUGAUAAAUAUAUUAAUAUAAUUUUUUAUUUGUAAAUAUAAAUAUAAUAAUAUGAUAGAAAAUAAAAAGUAUUUUAAUAUGAAUAAAUAAAUUUUAAAAUUUAAAAUUCAACAUAUAUAUUUACAUAUUUCGCUAAUUCACCAACGUAUAUGCCUUGAUUUGAUAUAGUUAAUAUUCGGAUAAUGUUGUGAAUCACAUAUAUAUAUUUUGAAGUUUUAUCAUAUUUUCAUGGGUAAAAUACUUUAGAAGUUGUUGUACUCUUUGAAAAUUUAGAAUUUAGUUUUUAUGCUUUUAUUUUUAAGAAUUUAGUUCAUUUAUUUUUCAGAUUUUAAAAUUCAAAUCCAAUUGUUAAUAUUGUUAAUAUUUUUAAUUUCUUUAUGUUAAAUUCAAGUUCAUUACAACAUAUUUUUAGUUACAUGGUUUCCAAGUGUUUUUUUUUUUAAAUGUCACACCAACAAAUUUAACAAAAAAAAUUUGAGUGUUAACAAUUGGACCUGAGUUUUGAAAUUGAAAGGUAGAGGGACUAAGUUUUUGGAAAUAAAAGUAUAUGGAUUAAAUUUCAAAAUUUUGAAGAGUACAGAUACUUAUAACAUCUUUUAACCUAUUUUAAAAAUGUUUUGAAUCAUUACUUAACUUAUUUAGCUCUUCCAAUAAUUAUUUUAGAAUCUUUUUAAAUUUUAUCUUUCCUUAUAUAAUCUUUAUAAUUUUUUAAAAUUAAAUAUUUUGAAUUUAUUUUUUGUAAUUUUUGUUGAGAGAGAGACUAACCUACUCAUUUUCAAAAUUGUCAAGGACCAAACGAAUAUUUACAUCAAUCUAAUAUUUGAAUUAUUUGAAUCGAAACUCAAAUUACUAAUUCGAGUUGAGUUGAAAAAUCGAAUAACUCAGUUUCAUUAAAUAGAAAUUUAAUUUUUCUUUCUUUAUUCGAAUUAAAUUGAGUUUAAGUCGCCCUUAGUUUUACUCUAUAAAUAGGAUAUUUUUAAUAAUUUUUACCGUUCCUUCCACUUGCUUUUUGUUUGGUCCAAGGUUUUAUAGUUGGAAAUUCCCUUGGACCUUUAAAUAUGUUUAUUUUCUCAAAUUAGUGCGUUUAUGUCAUAAAUAAAAUCAACCUUUUUAUUUAAUGUGUAUUUCAUGUGGACUGGAUACCUGUUUUCUGUGGCUUUAGUUCUUGGAAAUUUCCUUGGACCUUGGAACAAAUUUGUUUCCUCAAACUAAAGUGUUCAAAUCAUGUAUAAAUUGUGGUCAGAUGCCUGUGCUUUUGCAGAAUACAGGUUCUAUUCCCUUUUCUAUAUUGUCUUCUGGUUCUUUCUUCUUUAUGUUUUGUUGCGAAUUUCAUCAGCUUUCAGUAAUCUGAAAAUUUACUGCCUAAUUUAUUACCCCAAAAAAAGCUAUGGAUGAGAGGAUGAUAGAGGCUGCCCAAACAGGAGAUAUAAUUAACCUCUUGUAUGAGUUGAUUCUGAAUGAUCCAUACGUUUUAGAGCGUAUUGAUGCUGUACCUUUUUCUCAUACUCCAUUGCAUAUAGCAGCCUCUGCUGGGCAUAUUGAGUUUAUGAUGGAGAUGAUCAAAUUAAAGCCAACGUUUGCAAGAAAGCUAAACCAAGCUGGGUUUAGCCCCAUGCACUUGGCUCUGCAAAAUGACAGAACUAAAGCAGUGCUUCGACUCCUCAGGUUUGAUGAAGGCCUUGUUCGUGUCAAAGGGAGGGAGGACCUCACUCCUCUGCACCAUGUGGUUCAAACUGGAAAUGUUGAUCUUUUGGUCAAGUUACUUAAGGUUUGUCCUGAGGCUAUUGCAGAUGUGACUGUUCGAGAUGAGACGGUAUUCCAUCUUGCUGUGAAAAACGACAUGUUUGAAGCUUUCCAAGUCUUGGUAGUGGCUUAUAAGAAGCCGCCAUGAGUCUGCCGAACGUUGGGAGAAAGAACUACUGAGUUGGGUAGACAUUGAUGGCAACACUGUGCUACACAUUGCAGCUAUCAGAAACAGACCUCAGGUUUGCUAAUUUUCCUAAUCAAGUCAAUUAUUGAUAUGUAUGUAUAUGAUAAAAGGGUAAUUUACAUUAAUUAAUUUCCAAUUAACAGGUGGUGGAAGUAUUGCUGGGACACUUGCGUCGAGACCAAAUCAAUGCCAAAAAUUUGUAGGGAUUGACAGCACUAGAUAUCCAAUCACAAUACCGAUGGAAUGAAAGGCAAGCGGAUAGGAUUAUAGAUAUGCUAAGCAAAGCAGGAGGUUUGAGUGCUUCCUCUUCCUCGCUUCCGAAUACCUCCAUCUCUUCAUUCCACAUCGAAUCAUUAAAGGAAAAGAUGCCAUGGUUUCAAAAAUUGGAAACAAAAACAGGUCGACUAAAGAACGGUAUUUCAUAUGAGAUGCGUAACACAUUUCUAAUAGUGAUAGUGCUACUUAUAACAACCACUUACGAACCCUCUUUAAACCCUCCAAACAUGCCUUAUGACAGUCCAUCCAUGAAAUACCAAGUCUCCUUAAGUCAAGAUCAGCCUCUCAAUUCCCACACAUUUUUGCAUAAAACCGACAUCAAUACUGCACCCAUACCCAGUCCCUCCGCAAUUGACGUUUCCAAAAAAGAUUAUUGGACAUCUAAUCACUCGUUUUUGGUUUUGAACAUGUUCAACUUUUCGGUUGCAGUUCUUUUAAUAGGACUUCUCCUACCAUAUCAUCCUUUCUCUUUGUUGAUUCACUUACCACUUUCCGGCUGUAUGGUAUCUUACACGGAGUUAUAUGCUUCCUUAUGUGAGUUUUCCAAUAAAAACGCACUUCUUUCUGGCGUUUAUAAUUUUUCCUUUACAAUGUUGCUGCCUUUUCUCGUAGUAUGCGGGUCAAUCUUUUAUGUUAUGGGCAAAGAGACAAAAUUUUCUAAGAAUCGGAAUUAAAUUGUAUAUUUGUUGAAGUUAGCUUCCAUGCAACACAAGCAGCAACAAACGUGUCCAUGCAAGCCACAUGCAGAAAAGAAGCAGCACAUGAAGGCAGCCGCUUGAGCUCGACAUUGCUGUCCAAAUUCAACUAGUUUUGUUGGAUUAAGUUUAUAUUUUGUAACUUAGUUCUUAUAGAACUUAGUUGGUAAACUUUUGAUGUAAUUUUUGAUGAUUGAUUGACUGAAAAUCCAGCCAAUGUAACUUAUGCAAGCUGAUUAACAAUUUCCAAUGUAUUAAGUGGAGUUAGGUAAGUGAUUAGGUAGUAUUUUGAUUUGUAAGUUUAACUCAAUGUUUGAUAUUUGUAAUGCCAACUUGCCAAUGUUUUGUUAAUGAAAAAUUAGCUUCUUUUUCAUUCAAAUUCUCUCCUUUCUUUGCUUUUGUUUUCUAUUUUCCACUUGCAAAGCUUUUCUUCUGUUUUGUUUCUUCCCCAAGCCACGAGGCUUGCUGUCCAAGCAAGGCUAGACCAGCUUGCUUACUGCCUUUAACACCAACAAUAUUUCUGUAAUAAUAAAAAUGAAAAUUUAUCAAUUUAAUAGUCUAUAUUUUUAUAUUUUUUAGAAGAUUAAAUCAAAAUUUUGUCAUUUAUAGGAGUCAAAAUAUAAUUUUAUCAUUACUAAUUUAAAAUUUUAUAAAUUAUAAAAGACUUAAAUAGAAAAAAAAAAUCAUUUUAAGGAGGCUCCAGCUCCCUGACUCCGCCUCUGCAGGUGGGUAACCAGUACCAAUCCAAAAUUCUCCAACCUCAUAAUAUAAUCUUUUACAUUGGCUUCCUCCUUUCUACACUGUGUCCAGUUUCGUGGAUCCUUCUAAUGUAAAUGCCGAAAGCGUAAUGAAGUUUUGGGGUUUGUAUUAGAGAUGGUGAUGGAGUAGUUAUUGGGUUGAGCUGGUUCAUUAGUUCCCUUCAUCUCUUCUACCGGACUCUUAUUCCUUUUUUAUUAUCAAGGGUGAAGGUCUGCACAUACUUUUGUUUAGGCCUAAUCGUCUCUUGAGGAAGAGCUAUGUUGUAAUGAUAAAAGAAGUGCGAAUUUGUUUGUCAAGUAGUUGUUGAAUAAGGAUCUUAACUAGGAUCUUAAAUAAAGGGAAAUGUAUUUGUUAUGUGCUCAUGAUACAUACCAUCGUGAUUCAUCAAAACAGCAUUCUAAAAUAUUUACUUUAAUUGUAAUUACUUGGUAUGCUUUACAAACGAGGUUGAGAUUUUGUUACAUAUUUUGUUUAUUUUUUCAAAAAACGAGGUUGAGAUUUUGUUACAUAUUUUGUUUUUUUUUAAAAUGAGAUUGAAAUUUUGUUACAUAUCUUAUUUAUUUUUCAAAAAAUUCAAUAUAAUUUAAAGGCACGUGACGAUAUAAAUUCUACUUGCACAAUUAAAAAAUUUCCAUUGGAAAUAUUUUAAAUAAUUAUCCUUAAUUCAAAACAAAUAAGUGUUGAGUGUAAUAGUAAAAUAUAUUGCAUUUCCAAGAAAAGAUGUAAGUUCAAACCUUGGAAAUAAUAUUAUUAGAGCGGCAGCCAUGAACUCCGAAUAUGGACCAUAAAAUAGAUAUAAAAAUAUGUAAAAUAUUUAGAAAAAUAAUAAAAUAUAAAACAUCACGUUAGAGUACUAUUACAUAUUACUAUAGAUUUAAUUUUAUGUGUUAUAAAUAAUAUAAUAUAUAAAAAUAACAAAAUAUUUAACAUUACAAACUUAUAAAAACGGGUUUAACCUGGGCUGACCUGGUCUUUAAAUGUUCAACCCCAUUUUUCAAAUCUAAUCUUUUUACCUAAAUCCUCCUCAUUUUUUAAACAAGCGAAUAUUCGGAGGAUUCUUCUAACCAAAAUAGAAAAUAUAUCAAAAAACUAAAAAGUAUAACAAAAAUAAUAAAUAAAAAAUUUACAUAUAAUUUGGAAUUUCUAAUUGUACUUAGAAUUGUAUAACGUAUAAUUGUAAUUUGUCAGCAAAGUUGUUUCUUUUUUUUUCCCCUUAAAAUUCAAAGAAUUCUUCUCCCUUUAUACAUAGGUCAUCGAUUCAGCAUUAGAAAAAGGGGCUCAAAUCGUUUUAUCGACAUGAGUGUUUUAUGUCGAAAAAAUAUUUUUGUUUUGAAAAUAUUUCUGUAUUUAGUAACAUAGUAGUAAAAAGAGUACCCAAUUGCAUCUGAACUUCAAACGGGUUUGGCCUUAACCAUGUUAAUGGUCCCAGAUUAUUGGUUAAUAAAGAAUCAAAGUCGAUGUGCCAAUGAAUCACGAAAUGCUAUAGUUCUAUAGUAUGAUUUUAAAAAUAUAUUCAGAAGUAAUUCGCGAGAUCAUGCACUCUUUUAUUUCCUAGUUAUAAUGAAAAAAAGUACAACUGGGUGAAUCCAGCUUAUUCUUGAAAUAAACAACUCACACACACUCACUUUCCAAAAAAGAUUAAUACACCAAGGACUACACUUAGAUUUAUUAGAUUUGUUGCUAAAAUAUCGGUAUUAACCCCGAAACUCUCGGCAGAUGGCCAGUGACCCAAGGAAACGAAAGAAUCGAUUACAUUUUUCAUAUGAUCUCCUAUUUUAUUUUAGAUAGACUAACAAAAAGAAUUCAGUUUUUUUUUGUAUUAUAUCGCUUUGACUCCUUUUCCAUUUAUUCUAUUCUAUCAUAUUUAUAUUAUUCUAAUUAUUCUAGUUCUAUGUAUUUCUUUAUUUGUUUUAAUAAAUUAUUAAAUUUAUUAUAAAAUUAUUCAUUAUUAUGAUUAUGAAUUUUCAUUUACCUAUGUCUAAACGGAGUUAAAAAUAUAUUCUAUUUAGCUAGUUAGCUAGAAAUGUAUUUUUUUAAUUGAAAAUUCCCAAUAAUAAUAAUUCUUAUUAGAAUUAGGGAGCAGGUUUCAUGUCAAUGGCAAAAUACCUCAUUUGAUGCUACACUCCUUUAAACAAUAAAUAAUAAAUAAGGGGUUCUUUUGAACUAAGAAGGAGAAGGAAGAAAGCGAGUUGGCGUGAUAAUUCUUCAGCCUCAAAUUAAUCCUUCCCACGGAUUAUUGUCCUAACGAAUAUUAAUUGUAGGGGUGAAAUCUUGAUAGAAUUCGAAAAAGCGAGGAGUAAGUCCCAAGCCAUAAAAUAAGAAAAACAAAUACAAAAUUCUCAUGUUUAUAGGAUUAAAUAAAGGGAUUCACAAAUAAGAGUGCCAGUGCUACAACCAGUGCAUAAAUUGUUAAAGCUUCCAUAAAAGCCAAACUAAGCAAUAAAGUACCUUGUAUUUUUUCCUCCGCCUCAGGUUGUCUCGCGAUACCUUCUACAGAUUGGCCCGCAGCAGUACCUUGACCGCCUCCAGGUCCAAUAGAAGCAAGCUCGACAGCCGACCCUGCAGUAAUAACGAAAGCGGCAGAAAUCAGUGGAUUCAUGAUAAGUUCCUCGCACCAAAAUAAAGAAAUAGUUAAUGAUACAAUCAUCCAAUGAAUUUUGACUUAAUUAUAUUAUAUCAUCCAUAUGUUUUACAGCGUAUUGAUGAUGUGCCUUUUUUUAAUACUCAAUUGCAAGUAGCAACCUCUGUUGGGCAUAUUGAAUUUAUGAUGGAGAUGAUCAAAUUAAAGCCAACGUUUGCAAGAAAGCUAAACCAAGCUGGGUUUAGCCCCAUGCACUUGGCUCUGCAAAAUGACAGAACUAAAGCAGUGCUUCGACUCCUCAGGUUUGAUGAAGGCCUUGUUCGUGUCAAAGGGAGGGAGGACCUCACUCCUUUGCACCAUGUGGUUCAAACUGGAAAUGUUGAUCUUUUGGUCAAGUUACUUAAGGUUUGUCCUGAGGCUAUUGUAGAUGUGACUGUUCGAGAUGAGACGGUAUUCCAUCUUGCUGUGAAAAACGACAUGUUUGAAGCUUUCCAAGUCUUGGUAGGGUGGCUUAUAAGAAGCCGCCAUGAGUCUGCCGAACGUUGGGAGAAAGAACUAUUGAGUUGGGUAGACAUUGAUGGCAACACUGUGCUACACAUUGCAGCUAUCAGAAACAGACCUCAGGUUUGCUAAUUUUCCUAAUCAAGUCAAUUAUUGAUAUGUAUGUAUAUGAUAAAAGGGUAAUUUACAUUAAUUAAUUUCUAAUUAACAGGUGGUGGAAGUAUUGCUGGGACACUUGCGUCGAGACCAAAUCAAUGCCAAAAAUUUGGAAGGAUUGACAGCACUAGAUAUCCAAUCACAAUACCUAUGGAAUGAAAGGCAAGCGGAUAGGAUUAUAGAUAUGCUAAGCAAAGCAGGAGGUUUGAGUGCUUCCUCUUCCUCGCUGUUGGAACAUUUGGCAGCAGCAAAAGAAGAGAACAGAGAGCAUAACAAUGAAGCAAGGUGCAAGAAGGAUUUUUACUUGCUCACAAAUGUGCAGCAAGGGAGCUUAUGGCUGAUAGCCUAUUCAGCUCAUUCAUUCAACUAGAAAAACAACAUAUUUAUAGUCAAAUACAUCACCAAAUACUACCUACUACCACUAGUUUUACUUUGAAUUAAGUAAAACUUAACUUGCACACAAGCUGAUUAUGUCAAUCAGCAACUAAAAACAUCAAAACAAUACCAACUUAGUUCAUUUUCAACUAAGUAGCUUAACAAAGAAACUAAAGAGAAAACCUUGCUGCUACAGCAAGUAUACGUGCUGCAGCAUGUCAUCAAGCUGCAUGCACUUCAAACAGCAGCAUGGUUGGCCAAUUUGAACACUCCUCCUUUGGACUCCAUGCUGCAAAUACAUAUCAUUCAGCAAGUUUUUGAACUAGGCAGCCCUUAGAUGCUUUGUUUCAAGCUGACCAAUUCAUUUUCAACCUUGGCCUCAUUCACAAACAAAUCUGACUUACACACUUGACUAUCCCAGUCUUUUGUGGCAAAGAUUUGUUCACCAAAUGGAGUCUUCUCCUCCUUCACAGCCUUGGUUGACAACUUGUUUCUUCUUGCACAAACAGUUCCUGAGUAUAGUUGCUUGCCUUCAUUCUGCCAUUUUGGCUUGCAACUAUACAACACACAUUAAGCUUCCACAUGUUGCUGAGCUCACACCUUUGACAGACUCACAUCUUUGCAUAUUGUCUUCAACAGGUGUCUUCAACAGGCUCGCACUUUGCUAAGCUUGCAGCUUUGACAUCUUGCUAAGCUUGCACAUUUGGAAAGCUCACACCUUUCUUUGAAACUCCUCCUUCAGCUUAUUCAAGCUUGUUUGGGGGUCUUAUAAGUUUGAGCCGGUGUUGAGCAGGGGAAACAAAAUCAAUGGUCCCUUAAGACUUAGGCUCUUGAUACCAUUUGUUGGAACAUUUGGCAGCAGCAAAAGAAGAUAACAGAGAGCAUAACAAUGAAGCAAGGUGCAAGAAGGAUUUUUACUUGCUCACAAAUGUGCAGUAAGGGAGCUUAUGGCUGAUAGCCUAUUCAGCUCAUUCAUUCAACUAGAAAAACAACAUAUUUAUAGUCAAAUACUUCACCAAAUACUACCUACUACCACUAGUUUUACUUUGAAACAAGUAAAACUUAACUUGCACACAAGCUGAUUAUGUCAAUCAACACCUAAAAACAUCAAAACAAUACCAACUUAGUUCAUUUUCAACUAAGUAGCUUAACAAAGAAACUAAAGAGAAAACCUUGCUGCUACAGCAAGUAUACGUGCUGCAGCAUGUCAUCAAGCUGCAUGCACUUCAAACAGCAGCAUGGUUGGCCAAUUUCAACACUCGCUUCCGAAUACCUCCAUCUCUUCAUUCCACAUCGAAUCAUUAAAGGAAAAGAUGCCAUGGUCUCAAAAAUUGGAAACAAAAAUAGGUCGACUAAAGAACGGUAUUUCAUAUGAGAUGCGUAACACACUUCUAAUAGUGAUAGUGCUACUUAUAACAACCACUUACGAACCCUCUUUAAACCCUCCAAAGAUGUCUUAUGACAGUCCACCCAUGAAAUACCAAGUCUCCUUAAGUCAAGAUCAGUCUCUCAAUUCCCACACAUUUUUGCAUAAAACCGACAUCAAUACUGCACCCAUACCCAGUCCUUCCGCAAUUGACGUUUCCAAAAAAGAUUAUUGGACAUCUAAUCACUUGUUUUUGGUUUUGAACAUGUUCAACUUUUCGGUUGCAGUUCUUUUAAUAGGACUUCUCCUACCAUAUCAUCCUUUCUCUUUGUUGAUUUACUUACCACUUUCCUGCUGUAUGGCAUCUUACACAGAGUUAUAUGCUUCCUUAUGUGAGUUUUCCAAUAAAAACGCACUUCUUUCUGGCGUUUAUAAUUUUUCCUUUACAAUGUUGCUGCCUUUUCUCGUAGUAUGCGGGUCAAUCUUUUAUGUUAUGGGCAAAGAGACAAAAUUUUCUAAGAAUCUGAAUUAAAUUGUAUAUUUGUUGAAGUUAGCUUCCAUGCAACACAAGCAGCAACAAACGUGUCCAUGCAAGCCACAUGCAGAAAAGAAGCAGCACAUGAAGGCAGCAGCUUGAGCUCGACAUUGUUGUCUAAAUUCAACUAGUUUUGUUGGAUUAAGUUUAUAUUCUAUAACUUAGUUCUUAUAGAACUUAGUUGGUAAACUUUUGAUGUAAUUUUUGAUGAUUGAUUGACUGAAAAUCGAGCCAAUGUAACUUAUGCAAGCUGAUUAACAAUUUCCAAUGUAUUAAGUGGAGUUAGGUACGUGAUUAGGUAGUAUUUUGAUUUGUAAGUUUAACUCAAUGUUUGAUAUUUGUAAUGGCAACUUGCCAAUGUUUUGUUAAUGAAAAAUUAGCUUCUUUUUCAUUCAAAUUCUCUCCUUUCUUUGUGUUGCGCGGAAGCGUGUAAAAGAGUAAAAUUAUUGUACUAAAAAAUCACACUAAGUUCAAUUCCUAGGAAAGAGAGGUGGAUCACGAGGAUCGCUUAAGUACCAGGUCUUUCCUAGCCAGAAUAUCCCUCUAUCUUAAUUUAGUAGCACAAUAAAUCACUACAAUCACACUCGCAAAAUAUGAAAAAUAAACAAUAAAGAACACUAGAAUUUUAACGAGGUUCAGAAAAUUUUGCCUACGUCCUCGUGCACUACCAAAUAUAUUUCACUCCAAAAUACAAGUGAAAGUUUACAAAUAAGGAGAGAGAACAAUUGCCUUAAGUAGAGAAUGGUAAAUGUGGGAUGUAGAAAAUGAGAAAUAGUUAGGCCUAUUUAUAGUUGAAGCUCAAGGAUCAACUUGCAAAGUCCCUAUACAAUUAGGGACCAAAAUUGCAAUUAUCCCAAGCCAAAUUUCAACCCUAAAAUCUAUGCCUUAAAUGUUUAGAGUUUCGGUGCCAAAUUUCUGACACCAUCCAUCGUUGAAAAGUCAAAGAUGGUUGCCAAUAAUCUCCACCUUGAAGAUUUGAUUAGGAUAAUCUUAUCUUCACACAAUUCUUUCUGCCUUUGACAACAAUACUUGAUAGUGCCUUCUUCAACUGUUAAACUUACAGGAUAUUGAUCAAGUUCAAACAAUGUUCGAACUUGAUUGUUGUUACCACUUUGGUCAUCAUAUCUGCAGGAUUAUCUGCAGUCUUGAUCUUCUGAAAUUUUCCCCCCAUCAAUAAUUUCUCGCACAAAAUGGAAUCGUACGUCGAUAUGCUUUGUACAUGCAUGAUAGACUUGAUUCUUUGCUAAAUGAAUAGCACUUUGACUAUCACAAUACACGUUAAUAUGCUUCUGAACAAAUCCCAAGGUUUUAACCAUACCUUGUAACCAAAUAGCUUCAUUUACAGCCUCUGUUACAGCCAUGUAUUCGGUUUCUGUGGUUGACAACGCAACUGUAGACUGCAGUGUAGACUUCCAACUUAUAAACACAUAACCGGUGGUUGAUCUUCGUUUGUCCAAAUCACCAGCAUAGUCAGAAUCAACGUACCCAAUAACACCUUUACCAAGUGUAGUAUCCUGCUUGAACAGUAAUCUAACAUCCACGGUCUUCAGAAUAUAUCGUAGAAUCCAUUUCACAGCUUGCCAAUGUCCUUUUCCAGGAUUAUGCAUAUACCUGCUCACUAUACUAACUGCCUGUGAAAUGUCGGGUCUUGUACACACCAUUGCAUACAUCAAGCUACCCACUGCAUUAGAAUACGGAACUUGUAACAUGUAUUCUUGUUCCGUAUUCGUCGAAGGAGAUAGUUGUGCAGAAAGCUUGAAAUGAGAAGCCAACGGGAUACUUACAGGUUUUGUUUGCUCGUUCAUGCCAAAUUGCUGUAGUACUUUCUUCAAAUACUGCUUCUGAGAUAAACUAACUCUGCCAUGAGCUCUAUCUCUACAUAUUUCCAUGCCAAUAAUCUUCUUAGCUUCACCUAGAUCUUUCAUCUCAAACUUGAGAUUGAGCUGAGUCUUCAAUCUCUCAAUCUCAACUUUGCUCUUAGAUGCUAUCAGCAUAUCAUCAACAUAUAAGAGCAAGUAUAUGAAAGUUCCUACUUGUAGCUUCUGAAAAUACACGCAAUGAUCAAAUUUACUUCUUGUGUACCUUUGUCCUUUUAUGAACUGAUCAAAUCGCUUGUACCACUGCCUCGGAGAUUGUUUCAAUCCAUAAAGCGACUUCGUCAGUUUGCAAACCCAAUUUUCUUUAUCAGCAACCUUGAAUCCAUCAGGCUGAGUCAUAUAGAUCUCCUCUUCCAAAUCACUGUGUAAAAAAGCCAUCUUUACAUCAAGCUGAACUAGUUCAAGGUCAUAUUGCACAACCAGGGCUAGCAAAAUCCGAAUAGACGAAUGCUUCACAACUGGAGAAAACACUUCAUUGUAGUCUAUUCCUUCUUUCUGAGCGUAACCUUUUGCUACCAAUCUAGCCUUGUAUCGAAUUUCAUUUUUACCAGAAAAUCCUUCCUUCUUUGCAUAUACCCAUUUGCAUCCAAUUGCCUUAUUUCCCUUGGGCAGUGUCACCAACUCCCAAGUCCUAUUUUUAUGAAGAGACUGCAUUUCUUCAUUCAUAGCCUGCUUCCACUUUACACCAUCAGGGUUACUUAUUGCUUCUGUGUAAGUAGAAGGAACAUCAUCAUCUGCAAUUGGAAGUGCAUAGGCCACUAUAUCAUUAAAGCGAACAGGCUUACGAAUCUCUCUUCUUGGCCUCCUAUAUGCAAUUGAAUCUUGUUGCUAUAGAAGUUCUUGAGUCGAAACUUCUUCAUCAUUUGCUCCUUUAGUAUUAGCUGGAUCAUCAUUAACCUUUUCAAGCUCCACCUGCUGCAAAGUGCCACUAGUUUUGUCAUCCUUUUGUGAAUCCUUGUUCUUCAUCAUGGUUGAUUCAUCAAAAGUCACAUCUCUACUGAAAAUAAUAUUUCUUGUAUCAGGACACCAGAGACGGUAUCCUUUUACUCCACUAGUUAUACCCAUGAAUAAUGCUUUCUUUGCUCUUGGGUCUAACUUAGAUUCUUUUACAUGAUAAUAUGCAGUGGAACCAAAAAACAUGUAAAGAAUCAUAAUCAGUAGCAGGUUUACCAGUCCACAUCUUCAUAGGAGUUUUUCCAUUUAUUGCAGCUGAUGGCAACCGGUUAAUUAGAUGGCACGCAUAUGUAACUGCCUCAGCCCAAAAUUCCUUGCCCAAUCCAGCAUUGGACAACAUACAUCGAACUUUCUCCAGUAUAGUCCGAUUCAUACGUUCUGCCACCCCAUUCUGCUGUGGUGUAUCUCGAACAGUGAAGUGUCGCACAAUGCCCUCAUCUUGACAUACUUGUAGAAAUGGAUCAUUUUUGUACUCAGUACCAUUAUCUGAUCGAAGUCGUUUGACCUUUCGACCAGUCUGAGUCUCCACCAUCUUCUUCCACUUCAGAAAUGCAUCCAAAAUUUCACUUUUUCUUUUCAUUAGAUACACCCAUACUUUUCUUGAAUAAUCAUCAACAAAAGUAACAAAAUAGUGCAUACCUCUCAAAGAAGCCACUUUGGUAGGUCCCCACACGUCACUGUGAACAUAGUCCAGAAUUCUUUCCGUAUUGUGAAUUGCUGAACCAAAUUUUACCCUCGCCUGCUUGCCCAGAACACAAUGUUCACAGAAUUCAAAUUUGCAAGAAUUUACACCUUUCAACAAGCCUUGCUUCGCCGAAGUCUACCAAGCUUUUUCACCAGCAUGUCCUAAUCGCAUAUGCCAUAACCUGGUAGCCUCUGAAUCUGCAUCUUUCGCAAAAGCUGUUGAUAUUGAUCCAAUAAUUGUACUUCCAUUUAAAUAGUACAAGUUAUUUCUUCUAGUGCCUUUUAUCACCGUCAAUACCCCAGCUACUACCUUUAGUAAUCUAUCUCUCAAAGUGACUGUGAGCCCUUUAGGUUCUAGGGCCCCUAAUGAGAUGAGAUUUUUCUUCAAGCUAGGUACAUAGCGAACAUCUGUCAAGACUUGGAUUGAGCCAUCGUGAUUCUUCAAUUUGAUUGUACCUACUCCUAUUGUCUUACAAGCACUGUCAUUGCCUAUAAAAACAACUCCACCUUCUAGUUUUUCAAGACUAGAAAAUCAAUCCUUAUUAGGACACAUAUGUUAAGUACAUCCCAAAUCCAAGAUCCACUCAUCCGUAUGACAUGUCAUUGCCAUGCCAACCAAGCUAAAGUCUGACUCCUCAUCAUGCUCCGUUACACAUGCAUCAGAAAUAGCCUUGCCCUUUUGUAACUUAAGACAAUUCUUUUUCCAGUGCCCUUUCUCACGACAAAAAGCACAUUCAUCUUUGGCGGGUCUCCCUUUGGACUUGCCCCUUCUACGAGGUUUGUUGCUGUGUGAACAACCUCUUACUAUUAAGACUACUGCAGUUGUAUCUCUGUGAUCUCUUUUAUCUUUCUUUCGAGUCUCAGAUCUGUACAAUGCACUACAAACUGCAUCAAAUGUGAUCGUAUCCUUCCCAUGAAGCAAUGUGGUGGUAAGAUGAUCAUAUUCAUCGGGAAGAGAAUUCUACAACAAUAAUGCCUUGUCUUCAUCUUCAAACUUCUCAUCCAAAUUUAGCAAGUCUGCUAAAAUUUUAUUGAAUGAGUUCACAUGGUCAUUCAUCGACAUACCGGGUGCAUACGUGAACCGAAAAAGUUUCUUUUCAUAUAAAGCCUAUUUUCAUGACUUUUCGUUAGAAACUUUUCUUCCAGUGUAUCCCACAACUUCUUCGCUAAUGUCUCCCUCAUGACAGAGUACUUCUGCUCUUUGGCCAAACAUAGGCGAAUUGUACCACACGUCUGUCUAUUGAUCUUGGCCCACUCCUUGUCAUCCAUCUUGUCAGGUUUUUCUUCAAGGGCUAUAUCCAACUCUUGCUGACAUAAGACAUCCAGGAUCUCACACUGUCACAUACCAAAAUUAUUGGUACCAUCAAAUUUAUCUACAAAUUUUGCAUUGGUCACGGUAGUCUUUAUUGAUGACGAUGCCUCUGCCAUUUUUCUCCUCAAUCCCAACUACUGUAUAUGUGAACAGUACCGUCUACGUGAAUAGUACAGUGGAUGAACAAUACCGUAUACGUAAAUAGUAUCGUAAACGGUCGUACUCCCCAAGUACGAAUCUAGCUUCGAUACCAAUUGUUGCGCGAAAGCGUGUAAAAGAGUAAAAUUAUUGUACUAAAAAAUCACACUAAGUUCAAUUCUCAGGAAAGAGAGGUAGAUCACGAGGAUCGCUUAAGUACCAAGUCUUUUCUAGCUAGAAUAUCCCUCUAUCGUAAUUUAAUAGCACAAUAAAUCACUACAAUCACACUCACAAAAUAUGCAAAAUAAACAAUAAAGAACACUAGAAUUUUAACAAGGUUCAGCAAAUUUUGCCUACGUCCUCGAGCAUUACUAAAUAUAUUUCACUCCAAAAUACAAGUGAAAGUUUACAAAUAAGGAGAGAGAACAAUUUCCUUAAGUAGAGAAUGACAAAUGUGGGAUGUAGAAAAUGAGAAAUAGCUAGGCCUAUUUAUAGUUUAAGCUCAAUGAUCAACUUGCAAAGUCCCUAUACAAUUAGGGACCAAAAUUGCAAUUAUCCCAAGCCAAAUUUCAACCCUAAAAUCUAUGCCUUAAAUGCUUAGAUUUUCGGUGCCAAAUUUCUGACACCAUCCAUCUUUGAAAAGCCAAAGAUGGUUGCCAAUACUUUGUUUUUGUUUUUUGUUUUCCACUUGCAAAGCUUAUCUUCUGUUUUGUUUCUUCCCCAAGCCACGAGGCUUGCUGUCCAAGCAAGGCUAGACCAACUUGCUUACUGCCUUUAACACCAACAAUAUUUCUGUAAUAAUAAAAAUGAAAAUUUAUCAGUUUAAUAGUCUAUAUUUUUAUAUUUUUUAGAAGAUUAAAUCAAAAUUUUGUCAUUUAUAGGAGCCAAAAUAUAAUUUUAUCAUUACUAAUUUAAAAUUUUAUAAAUUAUAAAAGACUUAAAUAGAAAAAAAUCAUUUUAAGGAGGCUCUAGCUCCCUGACUCCGCCUCUGCAGGUGGGUAACCGGUACUAAUCCAAAAUUCUCCAUCCUCAUAGUAUAAUCUUUUACAUUGGCUUCCUCCUUUCUACAUUGUGUCCAGUUUCGUGGAUCCUUCUAAUGUAAAUGCCGAAAGCGUAAUGAAGUUUUGGGGUUUGUAUUAGAGAUGGUGAUGGAGUAGUUAUUGGGUUGAGCUGGUUCAUUAGUUCCCUUCAUCUCUUCUACCGGUCUCUUAUUCUUUUUUUGUUAUCAAGGGUGAAGGUCUGCACAUACUUUUGUUUAGGCCUAAUCAUCUCUUGAGGAAGAGCUAUGUUGUAAUGAUAAAAGAAGUGUGAAUUUGGUGUGAAUUUGUUUGUCAAGUAGUAGUUGAAUCAGGAUCUUCACCAGAAUCUUAAAUAAAGGGAAAUGUAUUUGUUAUGUGCUCAUGAUACAUAUCAUCGACUCCAACACCCUUAAAAGUGAUUCAUCAAAACAGCAUUCUAAAAUAUUUACUUUAAUUGUAAUUAUUUGGUAGGCUUUACAAACGAGGUUGAGAUUUUGUUACAUAUUUUGUUUAUUUUUUUUAAAUGAGAUUGAAAUUUUGUUACAUAUCUUAUUUAUUUUUUAAAAAAUUCAAUAUAAUUUAAAGGCACGUGACGGUAUAAAUUCUACUUGUACAAUUUAAAAUUUUCCAUUGGCAAUAUUUUAAAUAAUUAUCCUUAAUUUAAAACAAAUAAGUGUUGAGUGUAAUAGUAAAAUAUAUUGCAUUUCCAAGAAAAGAUGUAAGUUCAAACCUUGAAAAUAAUAUUGUUAGAGCGGCAGCCAUGAACUCCAAAUAUGGACCAUAAAAUGGAUAUAAAAAAUACGUAAAAUAUUUAGAAAAAUAAUAAAAUAUAAAACAUCACGUUAGAGUACUAUUACAUAUUACUAUAGAUUUAAUUUUAUGUGUUAUAAAUAAUAUAAUAUAUAAAAAUAACAAAAUAUAUAACAUUACAAACUUAGAAAAACGGGUUUAACUUGGGCUGACCUGGUCUUUAAAUGUUUAAGCCCAUUUUUCAAAUCUAAUCUUUUUACCUAAAUCCUCCUCAUUUUUUAAACAAGCGAAUAUUCGGAGGAUUCUUCUGACCAAAAUAGAAAAUAUAUCAAAAAACUAAAAAGUAUAAUAAAAAUAAUAAAUAAAAAAUUUACAUAUAAUUUGGAAUUUCUAAUUGUACUUAGAAGUAUAACGUAUAAUUGUAAUUUGUCAGCAAAGUUGUUUCUUUUUUUUUCUUCAAAUUCAAAGAAUUCUUCUCCCUUUAUACAUAGGUCAUCAAUUCAGCAUUGGAAAAAGGGGCUCAAAUCGUUUUAUCGACAUGAGUGUUUUAUGUCGAAAAAAUAUUUUUGUUUUGAAAAUAUUUCUGUAUUUAGUAACAUAGUAGUAAAAAGAGUACCCUAUUGCAUCUGAACUUCAAACGGGUUUGGCCUUAACCAUGUUAAUGGUCCCAGAUUAUUGGUUAAUAGAGAAUCAAAGUCGAUGUACCAAUGAAUCACGAAAUGCUAUGGUUCUAUAAUAUGAUUUUAAAAUUUUAUUCAGAAGUAAUUUGCAAGAUCAUGCACUCUUUUCUUUCCUAGUUAUAAUGAAAAAAAGUACAAUUGGGUGAAUCCAGCUUAUUCUUGAAAUAAACAACUCGCACACACUCACUUUCCAAAAAAGAUUAAUACACCAAGGACUACACUUAGAUUUAUUAGAUUUGUUGCUAAAAUAUCGGUAUUAACCCCGAAACUCUCAGCGGAUGGCCAGUGACCCAGGGAAACGAAAGAAUCGGUCACAUUUUUCAUAUGAUCUCCUAUUUUAUUUUAGAUAGACUAAAAAAAAGAAUUCGUUUUUUUUUGGUAUUAUAUCGCUUUGACUCCUUUUCCAUUUAUUCUAUUCUAUCAUAUUUAUAUUAUUCUAAUUAUUCUAAUUCUAUGUAUUUCUUUAUUUGUUUUAAUAAAUUAUUAAAUUUAUUAUAAAAUUAUUCAUUAUUAUGAUUAUGAAUUUUCAUUUACAUAUGUCUAAACGGAGUUAAAAAAUAUAUUCUAUUUAUCUAGUUAGCUAGAAAUGUAUUUUUUUAAUUGAAAAUUCCCAAUAAUAAUAAUUCUUAUUAGAAUUAGGGAGCAGGUUUCAUGUCAAUGGCAAAAUACCUCAUUUGUUGCAACACUCCUUUAAACAAUAAAUAAUAAAUAAGGGGUUCUCUUGAACUAAGAAGGAGAAGGAAGAAAGCGAGUCGGUGUGAUAAUUUUUCAUCCUCAAAUUAAUCCUUCCCACGGAUUAUUGUCCUAACGAAUAUUAAUUGUAGGGGUGAAAUCUUGAUAGAAUUCGAAAAAGCGAGGAGUAAGUCCCAAGCCAUAAAAUAAGAAAAACAAAUACAAAAUUCUCAUGUUUAUAGGAUUAAACAAAGAGAUUCACAAAUAAGAGUGCCAAUGCUACAACCAGCCCAUAAAUUGUUAAAGCUUCCAUAAAAGCCAAACUAAGCAAUAAAGUACCUUGUAUUUUUCCCUCCGCCUAGGGUUGUCUAGCGAUACCUUCUACAGAUUGGCCCGCAACAGUACCUUGACCAACUCCAGGUCCAAUAGAAGCAAGCUCGACAGCCGACCCUGCAGCAAAAACGGAAGCGGCAGAAAUCAGUGGAUUCAUGAUAAGUUCUUCGCACCAAAAUAAAGAAAUGGUUAAUGAUACAAUCAUCCAAUGAAUUUUAACUUAAUUAUAUUAUUCCAUCGCUAAGAUUCAACCUGCCGAAGUAACUAAGAACUCCGAAUGGAAGUGAGAAGAUUAUUGAACUGUCAGAACUAUUUUGCAUCUUUUUUUAGGUCCUAUCCGCUAGAUUUUUUUUGAAUCCGCACAUAUUUUGUUCUUCCCUUUGUUUUUUCCAACCCAUUCUUUACUUUGAAUUCUUCGUUUUUAUCUUUAUUUUAUCUCUUUAUUCAUUCAAUUCAGAGUCAAAGACAAAAUAGAGGAACUUCUAUUCUUCUAUUAGAAUACCUAUCUAAGUCCACAGUAGUAGGUUGGAUUAGAUAUAUUUUAAGUUCGUAUAUAACUAGUCAAUAUCUCAUAUCUCAUAUACAUGUGUUUCUUACAUAACGUAAACCAACUAUUCAUGUCUUAGAUUCAAUUGGAUUCUAGAAUUAUUCCUCAAAGGAUAGACAAUAGCUGUCUUAUAGCCAUUAGAUUCCAUAUACCUAAUUUUACCCCCUUUUUUUCCUAAUAAUUUUUUAUAUCAUUUUUUUAUUGUAAAUUCGUCUCUUCCUUUUAUUUUUUUAUUUAGCAUUAUCUCACAUGGAUACAAUCUAAAUGGACGAAUUCAUUAGACCAAAUCAUUGCAUACAAAUAAAACAUCAAUAUCAGUAUUUGAUUGAGCUAAAUUCAUGCAAUUUAUUUUAUUAUUUAUGAAAAAAAAUUCUUUAGGUCAAUCAUUGAAUUGAAUGUAGAAAUUGACUAAAAUGGGAAUCAUUCUAUAUAAAGAACAACUUUUUUAAAAUCAUAGACCCUAAAUUGAUAAGAAUUCCUAUUCUAAUUAGGACUCAUAAUAUUGAAAUUGAAUAAACAAAAACAAUAUCAAGAUAAAGAUAAUAUUGAUUGAAGGUAAAUAUGAUAUAAAUAUAAGUAAUAAAAAAAUGGACCAACCCUGAAUUUUAGGAAAAAGAUCUUUUCAAUUAGAUCUCUUUCUUUUUUUUAUUACAAUUCUCUAAUAUCAUAAUCUUUUUUGUUAUUACUCUAGAUCGUCGUAUUUGUAUAUUUAAGGUCCCUAAGUAAGUAGAUUAUCCUGAGUUGUACAUACAUUGGAUUGGACCAAGCUAAACUAAAAAAGGGCUAGGCUAUUUCAAAAACAAAAACUAAUCAAUGAUGGCCCUCUAUGGAUUCGCUUAUAUAAGCCGCAGCUAAAGUUGCAAAAAUAAGAGCUUGAAUCCCACUUGUAAAUAAUCUAAGGAACAUGACAGGUAUAGGGACUACUGAAGGUACUAAAGAAACAAGAACAACAACUACUAAUUCAACAGCUAAUAUUUUCCCAAAAAGUCGAAAAACUAAGUGAUAAGGGUUUUGUGAAAUCCUCUAAAAUGUUAAUAGGUAAAAGAAUUGGAGUGGGUUGAAUGUAUUUACUAAAAUACCCCAAUUCUUUUUUUGAAAGACCUGCAUAGAAAUAUGCUACUGACGUGAGUAAAGCUAAAGCAACAGUAGUAUUUAUAUCAUUUUUGGGUUCGGCUAACUCUUCAUGAUGUAAUUGUAUGAUUUUCCAAGUUAACAGAGCGUCCGACCAGUUAGAAACAAAAAUAAAUAGAAACAUAGUUCCAAUAAAGGGAACCCAUGGACCAUAUUCUUCUCCAAUCUAAGUUUUGCUUACUUCUUGAGUGAAUUAAAGAACAUAUUCGAAGAAAUUUUGACCGACAGUUUGAAUUGUUUGUGGAUUCCGAACUGCGAUAACGACGGAACCUAAUAAGAUAGCAAUUAUAACCCAAGAAGUAAUAAGUACUUGGGAAUGGACUUGGAAACCUACUAUUUACCAAUAGAAAUGUUGGCUUACUUCCACACCAGAGAUAUCGUAUAACCCGUUUAGUGCGUUUGAUAUACCAUUCAUAUUGCCCUCUGACAGAAAUAGAAGUUUACUUUUAAAAAAAGGAAUUAUUUUUAUUCAAUCUUCUCUUGCCUACUCAAAUUCUAUAUUUUUGACACUGACGAAACUAAGCACACAAUAUUCACAAUUUUUUUAUCUCUUUUGUGCGAUUCAGGAUAUAGUAACUGAUUCCAUAGAUCUAUGUAAUUCCAAAAAAUAAUUUAUUUAUCUUAUUAUUAAUAAAGGAUUUCGUAUAUAACUAGAAUGACCCUCACAAAUUGCGACUACUAAUUUGUUAAGAAUUAAUCGAAUUAAAGCUAUAGAGUCAUCAUUUGCUGGAAUCGAAAUAUCUGCGAGAUUAGAUUGCUAUUUGUAUCGAUUAAACAAAUUGCUAGAAUUCCCAAAUUGAUACAUUCUCGCAGAGCCGUAUAUUCUUCUUGCUGAUCAAUGAUGAUUACAAUAUCAGACAAUCUCGUCAUAUAUUUAAUCCCGCCUAGAUAUGUUUGUAAGCGAGAUAAUUGUCUUUUUAACAUAGCUGUAUCUCUUUUCGGAAGAUAGUUGAGUCCCCCGGUCUUUUGUUCUGUUCUCAAGUCCCUGAACUUAUGAAGCCUCGUUUUUGUAGUGGGCUAAGUUGUUAACAUACCACCGAGCCAUUAGAAAAAGACAAUUGAAGAAGAAUUGUCCAUAAAUUUGCAGUCAAUAGUUAAUGGUUCCAAUUUAUUUGUCCUGAAUUUUGACUUUUGGAACUGAGAAUCCACAUUUUCUUUUUCAAUAGAAAAGAAAGGGAAAGUUUUUAGAUAUUGUGUGUCUUGAGAUACUAUAACCAAUUGAAGUUAUGGAUCCGAUCUAAAAAUGAAAAAGAAAAGGGAGAUACUCUCCUUUUUUUGUUUGUAGCCUUUUGGUGACAUGGCUGAGCUGUAAGGCGAGGGACUGCAAAUCCCUUAUUCCCCAGUUCAAAUCCGGGUGUCGCUUGAUCAACAAAAAACUCGAAAUCCUAACGUUUCCUAACAUCUAAGAUUCAAGGAAAAACUAAAGUAGUGGAAGGGAAUCGAUAAAUCUUGAUAUGGGAGCCCCCCUUACUAAUGGAGUGGCUACUAGAGGAGUCUUGAAUUAGAUUGGAUAACGGGAGUGUCUAAUUAACUAAUGAAUGGUUGUAGAAGGGUUGGAAGAUACUUUGUAUACAGACGGAUGAAAGUCUCUGAGUGUUCAGACAUCCAAUUAAUAUUAGAUUGGAUAGAUAAUUGACUUUUACUCUAUGAGAGACACCAAAAGAAAGAAUAAGUCUUAUUAUUGAUACAUGUGAGUAACAUUCUUUUGAUACUUCCAAAAGUGUUACUGCGCAUUUUGUUUGUGCUUAAUGGUUCUCGAUUUUACUCGAAAUCAUAUAUAUGUCUAAUUACAAUCUUAAUCCCCAUCAAAGUAGCAACAAAAUCAACAUUUAGUAUCUUAAUAAAGUCUAGGAUCUCUGAGAUAAGUUUUAAAGAGAUUUGAUCCUGUCUCCUUAAAAUAGGGGAUUCGAUUGUUUGAUCUAAUCCAAUAUUCAGGAUACAUUUUUUCUUCUAGAUCGAUUUCCAAUAUAAAAUAACACACGUCCAAAAUAACAAUAAAGAUCAUGAGCUAAAUGUUUUGUUUUAAAAACUUACCAACUCUAAAUAAAACAAGUUAUGUAAUUUACACAGCACAGAAUGCAGUUGUAACUUCCAUCCUCAUCAUUCCUUCAACAAUUUUCUCUUAAAUUUAACAUCUUUGAACAAAACACUAACAAAGGGGAAUCCCACAUUGUGCGGUUUCAUCAACGUUGGUUUCUCCUUGUUUUGGUUUAAAAUUAGGUCAUUUCAAGGGUUUUCCAUUAUAUGAAUGAAGUUUAACAUAAAAAAAAAGUACACAUUCCAAUAAAUAAUCAGAAAAUUAGCGUAAUUUUAAUAACUAGAAUAAAAUUUAUCAAUAUUAUAAAGAAGUGAUAAAUAGCGAUUCCGAAUUUGCUAUUAGCUGAUUUGGUCAAGAUUUAAUACUUCAAUUUAACCAUUUCCAAUUUCCUGGAAGGGAAGGGACCCCUUUUCCCAUACACAUUCAGCAUUGCUCACACUUUUUAGUGCAUGUUCUUUAAUGAAGUUUACUUAUAUUACAACAUCUAGACUUAAUUAUAAACAAAUUAUUUAUAUUUAUUUACUUAAAUAGAUUAUCCUUUACAAUUAAAGACAAAAACAUUCCACUAACCUUUCCUGUCGGAGCAGCUGCCAGGAAGGUACCAAUUGACAUAGGAGGAAAAUUAGAAGUUUAACCACCGAAAGCGAUUAAUUCAAAAAUUAAAGACUAGUAUGGUCCGUCAACAAGGAAACAAUAUAAAGUCAAAAAGGGCAGACAAACAAAGUAGAGAUUUAUGCCUAAAUGGCACCAUAUCAAAGCCAACUUGAUAUCAAGAAAAGAAAUCAUAAAUAAUAUAAUUGUUUUUUGAAAGUAAAAACAAAAUUGUGAUGAAAAAAAUAAAUUUACUUUUUUUUUUCUAAUUCGUUAUAAAUAAAAGGUGAAUUUAAUCUCUUUUACUAUAGAUUAUUAGUAAAAAUAAAAGUUAAAUUUAAAAGUUUUUUCAUUAUUAUAAAUAUAUUAUCAUUGUUUAUAUUUAAUCACAUUUCUAUUUUUUUUAAUAAAAAUGUUUAAAAUUAUCCAUAAUUCCUUCUCAAUAUUUUAAUAGGAGGAUAAAUACAUUCUAUCGUAAUCGAACCCACAUCCUCCUAUACCAACAAUAAUGCCGAUACUAACUGAGCUAACACUCAAUUAGACUAUUGAGUAGAGAAGUUCAUUAACCCAACUAGAUUAUUACUUAAAGUUCUUAGGCACAUCAUAUGUGAAUAAAUUUGAAAUAGAAAGAAAAAAGAACUUUCAAGGAAAAGUGAAAAAGCAAAGGGAAUGAUUAUUAUUUGAUAUAUAGUAGAAUCUUUUAAUUCUAUAAAUGAGAUCUUUUUAUAAUUUUUAUUUACUUUUUUGGAUUUAUCUAUUUUUUUUUUGAAUUUUUAGAAAUUAAUUUAAAUUGAUAGAAUAGGUAAACAAUAGAAUUAAUUUUGUUAUAUUUUUUAAAAUUAUCAAAUUUAUAGAAUAGGUAAAUAUUAAGAGCUAAAAACAUCAAUAUUACAUUAAAAAUUUAACUUAUGAGUAACCUCUUGAAACCGUUUUUUGAACAAAAUUGGCUUAUGAUAUUAUAGAAAACAUAAAAUUUUAAUUUUUAAACCGUUGGGUUUUUACUAAGAAAAUAGAAAUCGCAACCAUUCAUUUUAAUAAGGUGCGAUCGAUCACCUAAUAAAUUAACUUUUUAAAAUGAAAAUUUUUUGAAAUUCUCUUAAAAGGAUAAUUUUUUGAAACUACGUUUAGGGUUUGGGAUAUGUACAAGAAAAAUUAUAACACCUUCGUAAUGCCCAAAAAUUGAUAACUUGUUCAUUACGUGUUGUAUCAUAUCUUAGAAAUAUGAGUUCAAACUUUCAGUACUUAAUUGUCAUCCUUUAAAAUUAAAAUGAAUACAAAUUUAUUUAAUGAGCGAAUUUAAAAUUGAAAUUUGAAAAAUUGUCAAAUUUUGCAUUUUUGUUUAUUUAAAAGACAUUUUUUUUAUUCAUCCGAGUUUGAAAACAGCAUUCCAUCAUUAAACACAAUCAACAAUAUCAUAUUCCAAAAAUUUUGGUAUCGACCUCAUCAAUUUUUUAAUAUUGAAAUGUCAGCAAAAUAUAUUUAACGAAUAUACAUAAUAUCACAAUUAAAUGUCAAUCUCAAUCACGAAAUUCAACUAUAUUUCAAAAAAAAAAAAAUCUUCACAUGGAUUUUAUUUUAUGGUAUAUGUCAUGACAGUUAUUAUAUAACAAGAAAUUGGCAACCUAGCAAUGGCAUGGCGAUAUAAUUUGAACAAAAAAUUUGGGAUAUUCAAGUUUGAAGAGACAUGGAAUCACACUAUAAUAUUAAGGCAUUACAAUAUCUUCAAAAACAUCAGUCACAUAUCUCAACAACAUGAAGAGAAAAAAAUAAAGCUGCAUAAGGGAACUAUACCGAAGUGCCAAGCAUUGUAAUGUUGUGAGUGCUUACAUAUAUGGACGCAUAGAAAUUAAAUUUGAGAACAAAGACUCCUGGGGGAAACCAAAACUUCGAAUAUAGAUCUGGGUGAAACCAGAAUUUUGAAAUGACUAACUGGACGAAACUAAAAUUUGGAAAGUAGACUGAGCAAAACCAGAAUUUGAUUAUUUAGGUGAUUAUUUGAUGCUAAUGGUGAAUUUUAUACUCUUAAUCCUUUAAAUUCAUGUUUUAAUGCAUAAUAGAGCAUUUGGGUGCAAAAUGAGUGAAAACCGAAAAAUCGGAGCAAGUUAUAGGAGCCACAUGGGUUGACCUAUUCCACACGACCUAGACACAUGACCGUGUGAGCCACACAGCCAUGUAGUAGGCCAUGUUGAUUUCGUGAAUUUGCACCCUAAACUGUGGGAAAUCGCAUUUUUUAGAUUUUUCAGGAAUUCUAAGACGUAUAUAUGAUAAAAGUAAAAAGAUAGGAAUGAGUCGUCAUAGAAUACUCAAGAAAACAUCUCGACAAACACCAUUGAAACUAAUUCUAAAGUAGAUUUCCGUCAAGAUUGAAGAUUCUCAUUUGAUUUCUUUGGAGAUUGUCAUGAGUUUCUUUAUUUCUUUUCAAUUAUACUGUGUUUUGGAUUUUUUUAUUUUAUUUUCAAGCAUGAACUAAUUUUCUAAAUACCUAGGGGAGAUGAACCCUAUGAUAAAUUCUGUCUUUUGAUUUUUAUUUUUCGCAAUACAUAUUUAGAUCUUGUUUUCAAUUAUGUGUGCCUAAUUCUUGCUUUAAUAUUUCUAAAUUAUUGAUUUAUAUUUGAUGUACUUAAAUCAGAGGAGGAAAAGACCCUGUCUGAGAGUAGAUCUUGUGUAAUUGAGUGGAGUUACAUGCAAUUCUAGACAUAGAAUGACAUAAAUAUACUGGAUUAGAUUCAAAUCUAAUGGGCGAAUCCAUAGCACGAGUUAAUGCGAUAAUAGGGGUCUUAAUUAGAAAGAAAAUUCAAUUAAUCAACCUAGAGUCAGUUACUCUUCUUCUCGAAAGUGAUAUUAACAUAAUUUAGGGAUUUUUACAGAUCAAUAUACUAAGUAAAGAAAUAGCGUAAUUUAGAUUGAUAGUUACAAAUGAAAUUUAGGCGAAUUCUUUCCUGAGUAUUGUUUCACUUCUUGGUUAUUACUCUUUUUUUUAUUUGUUCUUUGAUCGUGUUCGUUAGUUAAUUAAUUUAGUUAAUUUUAGUUUUAAUCAUUCACUCGAAUUUAUCGGUUAAAUAAUAGAAAGACAAUAAUAACUAGUACUUUUAGUCUUCGUUGGAAUGAUAUAUUUGCUCAUUGUAACUAUAUUAUUAAUUGAUAAGUCCACUUGCCUUAGCCAAAUUUUUAAUUAAUUUCGUGAGACAUUAAUACUUUCUUGUUAUACUACUCUUACAUUGUUCUAUAAAAAAUUACUACAAAAAUACUUUAUAGAAAUUUAUUUUCUUGCUAUACUCUACUCAGUACUUAAUGAACUAUUUUCUUCAGUAUAAAACACAAACAAUCACCAGACUUCAUUGUAUUCUCAAAGUUUAUUUUUUCUUAAAACUCAUUUGCACACUAAGUAUAGGUGCGGUGGAUAGGACUUUAAAGAUAAUGACUUGAUACAUGUCUUGAAGCCUUAUCUUAUUGCUUUGAUUUUCUAUUCGUGUUGUUGUUCAUGCUUCGUUCAUAUGUUUGAGAUUUUCCUCACCAAAAUUCGGCAUUACCAUUUAAUUCUUCUUUAAGUCAUCCCAUAACUAUUUGUUCCAUUAAAUUUUGGUCAUAUCUACUUUCAUUUUUCAAGGGUUUGAUUAAGACUUCAUUAAUUUGUUAACCAUUACAGAAUUUGGGCCGAAGCCCAUAGAUUGUCAUGAAUAUUGGUUUAAUAAGCUCUCCUUUUGAAAACAUCACAACCACUUAUGCUCCUCAAUGAAUCACUACUUUCCCACUACACAAACAAAUUGUCACUCACACAUCAAACAAAUCACAUUCAAGAGACUACAAGGCCUUGUUAACAAAAGCAAACAAGACCUCAUACAAGAGAUGAAAGGGGACCAAUUAACCAGCUGAAACGAAUAAGAAUUCAACGAAGAUCACUCAAAGAAAUUGGAGUGCUUCAAUAUGGUUUCGGUAUUAAGGAUAGCUGGAACAAGAAUAAAAGCAAAGAGGAUAAAGGAAACGAUUUGUACGAGGACGAACAUCUUUGUUUUAGGCACAAACCUGCAGAAAACAUAACGGGCUAUCCGGUAUGAAACCAGCAGUGCUAGCGAUGUUGACAAGCAGUAAUUUAGAAUGCAGAGAGCACGAUAGGUCAAGGGUAUAGUAGUUUGAAGAGAAACCACAUACUGAAGUUUCCACGACCAUGUGGACACAGCAACUAAAAGCAUGUAACAGGUCCCAAACAAGGAAAGGGUUAUGAGAAGAAACAAGCUGAUUGAACGACUUGGUAGGAGAUAUGCUGUUAACCCGAUUGCUGCCCAAAAGGUUAAUGUGUUGUAUAACCAAAACAUGGAUGAUACGUCUAUUAAAUCUGACCAAUUAAUCUGAUCAUCGGCCAGUGGUGGCAGAGGACCUGGUAGGGGUGCAGUGCUGUCGGUUGAUUCUAAAGAUGCGUAAUACUUGAUAUGGUAUUUCAUGGAUGAACUGUUAUCAGCUUUCUUUGGAGGGCUUAAAGAGGCAGCGUAAGUGACUGUUAUAAUUAGCACUGUCACUACUAGAAAUGUAUUACGCAUCUCAAGCGGGAUACCCUUUCUUCCUCGACCUGCCAUUGUUGCAAAUUUUUGAAAACAUGACAUCUUCGGCCUUAAUGAUUUGAUGUGGAUUGAAGAGAUGGACUUAUUGGGAAGCUUGGAACCACACAAACCUCCUGCUUUUGUUAUCAUAUCUUUAACCGAGCCCUUAUAAUUAUUCACUUGCCUUUCAUCCAAUGGACAGUCUGGUUGGAUAUCUAAAGCAGUGGAUCCCUUCAAAUUUUUGGCAUUGAUAUGGUCUCGACGCAAGUGCCCCAGCAAUACUUGCACCACCUGUUAAUUAGAAAAUUCAUGUAAAUAACCCUUUUAUCAUAUACGUAUAUACAUCAAUAAUUGAGUUAACUAGCAAAUUAGCAUACCUGAGGUGAGUUUUUGAUAGCUGAAAUGUGUAGGACAUUGUUGCCAUCAAUGUCUGCCCAACUAAGCAGUUCUUUCUCCCAACGUUGGGCAGCUUCAUGGCGGCUCCUUAUAAGCCACCCCACCAAGACUUGAAAUGCUUCAAACUUGUCGUUUUUUACUGCAAGAUGGAAAACCCUCUCGUCUCGAACAGUCACAUCUUCAACAGCCUCAGGGCAAACCUCAAGGAACUUGAUCAAAAGAUCAACAUCUCCAGUUUGAGCCACAUGAUGCAGAGGGGUCAAGCCUUCCCUUCCUUUAACACGAACAAGGCCUUCAUCAAACUUGAGGAGUCGAAGCACAGCUUGAGUUAUGUUAUUUUGCAGAGCCAAGUGCAUGGGGCUAAACCCAGCUAGAUUUAACUUUCUUGCAAACGAUGGCUUUAAGUUGAUCAUCUCCAUCAUAAAAUCAACAUGCCCAGAACUGACUGCUACAUGCAAUGGAGUGUCAAGAAAAGGAACAUGAUCAAUACGCUCCAAAACAUAUGGAUCUUUCUGAAUUAGCAAAUACAAGACAUUAAUGUUUCCUGUUUGUGCAGCCUCUAUCAUUCUCCAAUCCAUAGCUAUGGAGAAGUGGAGGUAAUAAAUUACGCAGCAAAUUUUCAGGCUACUGAGAAAUGAUGAAAUUUGCAGGAAAACACAGAGAAUAGAGACACAUAAGACAAUAUAAAGGGAAUAGAAGCUAUAUUUAGCAAAACACACAGCAAUCCAACCACAAUUUUAUACAUGACUUUAAACGCGCUAGUCUGAAGAGAAACUUCUUAAAAAGUCGAAGGUAACUUUCACACUCCAAUUACGACUUGUUUAAAAGAAUAGAAAAUAUAGAACCCAUUUUGGUUGAAUGGAAAUCUUACUUCCGAAAAAAAAAAUCUAACCAAAAGGUUAGAGGUACAUAAAAUCGAAAUGAAACCCAACUCCUAGAACAGGAGGACAACAAACAGCUAUCAUCCUGGAUUAAAUAUAAAUGUUAAUUUCAUUCUAGAUACACAAUGCUUAAUAUAAUAUACUUCAACACACUCGAAUCCACGCCCUUCUGACAACAAUGUCAAUUGAACUAAUACGCAAUAAAUAACACCACUAUAUUUAAUUUUUUUAAAAAUAAUAACAUAUAUUUUAAAAAAUUCAAUUUAUAUGAGCCGGCCACCUUGCUAAGAUGAGAUUUUUUUGUUGUUUUUGGUCAUUUGCUUGUUAAAUUAACAAUUUUAUAUGAAUCUAUGUCAAAGCUGAACAUUUGGCAUACAUUCAUAUUAUAGAUGAGAUAGGUGAUUCACAUCAAAAUCAAAAUGUCGAGAGUCAAUAAGAAAUUUGAAAAAUACGAAAAGAGCUUCCAAUGAUAUCAUUGACGUUAAAGUAGGAAGAAGAAACUUGAUCUCUUUUUGUGAAGAAAAGGAAGAGAUCUUAUAUUGGUGGUGGAUUUAAUAAUGAGCCGGCCGUGGACCUCGAUGAAUGGUUGCUUUAUUUAUAUAGGAUUUGGUGGUAUGUAACAGGAUAUGGCUAGACCUCACUAAGAUAUGAUCAACCAUGCUGUAGAUAGUUGGUGGCAAGAUUUCUAUGAUGUGUAUUGGUAGGAUGAAGCUAGAAAAUUUUGUAGGGAUCAAAAUUAAAUUGUAUUUUUACGAUAAUAAAAAUAUAAUUUCAUCAUUUUAAUAGUCUACGUUUUAUAAUUUUUAAAAGAUUAAAUCAAAUUUUUAUCAUUUUUAGGGGGCAAAGUGCAAUUUUACCUUUACUAAUUUAAAAUUUUAAAGAGCUUAAAUGAAAAAUUUUCUAUUUUAGGGGAGACGGGCCCUGCCAGCCCCCUUAACUAGGCCCUUGUGUACUAGGAAGCAACAAAUGUAAUUGGAGGGUUCCGAUUGGAUUUGAUGGUGAUUCCAUAAGCAAACAAGACCCUAGUAAGGGGCGAACGUUUGAUUGAAUCGAGUAAAAAAAUUGAGUUAGUCGAGUUUACAAGCCUUGUUUUUAUCAUCUUAUCUCGACUUGAAUUUUUUUGCAUUCGAGUUCAUUGAAAUAAAAUUUCAUUUAAGUCGAAUCGAAUCAAGUGAAAUUGUUUGAGUUAAAUUUAAAAAAAUUAAACAUGUCAAGAUAAAAUCUUGUUACAAUAUAACUAAUUCUAUGUAAGAGCACAUAAAUUUGAAACAAUAUAUAUAUAUAUAUAUGAAAACUAUAAGAGAAAAAUAUAAUAUAUUUAAUACGAUAAACUUGAAUUGGUAAAUUUACUUGUUUAGAUCCUCAAAAUUAAUGUAUUGAAAAAUUUUAAACAUUUUUUUAUAUAUUCUUUAUUUUUUUUAAUUUUAAAAAAUUAUGAAUUUUUUGGAAUUUUUGAAAAAUAAUUUGAAUAUUUGAAAUUUAUUUUGAAUUGUUUUGUAAAUUUUUGUUGAGAGAGAUCGAUUUGAUCAUUUUUUAAAAUCGAUAGGGGUCAAAGGAAUAUUUACACUAAUCAAUUACACGAAUUGUAAAAUUCAACUCGACUCGAAUUCGAAAAAUUGAACUACUUGUUUAAGUUGACUUGAAAAAAUUGAAUAACUCGAUUAUUUCAAUUCGAUUAACUCAAAUUUUGAAAAAAAUAUUUUUUAAAUUAAAUCGAGUUUUGAUAAACCGCAUCUAUCUAGAUGAAAUGCCUUGAAAUUAGUUCAUCAUCAAUUAGAAAUUAGUUAUUUGACUCCUACUUUAUUUAAUAACAGAAGUCCAAUAAAUUUUAACUUAAUUAGAUCACUUUAAAUUUGGGCUAACCUUUUAAGAUAGUAAAUAAUAACAUGUAGUUGACAUUAUUAUAUAUGUUAUGUCCAUAUUUUUCCAACACAAUUUUAUACAUGACAUUUGGUUUUGUGCAGUUUUACGCAUGAAUUUUUUAUUUGAUUCACUAAAUCAAAGUAUCCACUGGAGCGAGCUCAAUACUAGCCUUUCACGUUCCGUAGGCCCAUUAAAUAAGUAGGCGUUUGCCACGAGUUUUAAAGUUACUCCAUACUUGGACACAGUUAUAUAUAUUACUUUAUUUUGUGUGAUGCACAAAUUUAAUUGUGUGGAUCAAUUAAAAUGUAUUCUCAAUGUUUCUAGUUGUUCGUGCAUUAUGCUACUUAAUCUUUGAUUUUGUCUGGUCGGUAAACAGUACGAAUAAAAAAUUCUUCGUCCUCGUACUAAUCGUUUACAUUGGCAUGGUUUCUAGCCCAAUCUAAAUACCGAAACUGUAAUGAAGUUUUGGGUUUUGUAUUAGUGAUAGUGAUGGGGUAGUUCCCUUCAUCUCUUGUACCGGAGUCUUUUUCUUUUUCUUUUUUUUGGUAUCAAGGGCGAAGGUCAGGUCACAAACUUUUGUUUAAGCCUAAUCGUCUAUUGAAAGGGUGAAUUUGUUUGUGAAGUCGUGGUUGAAUAAGGAUCAUAACCAGCUGUGCUUUUAUUGUAUUUUGUUCUUUUUGUAAUACAUCUUGAAGACAAUUCGAAGUCACAUAUCUUAUUUAUUUAAAAUCAAUAAGACUCAUGCCAAAAUUCCAUUUUCACUUGUAGGUUAAAAUUUUCAUGUUCAGUGUCUUAAAUAAUUAUUUUUAAUAUAAAAUCAAUAACGGUUAAAUACAAUGAUAAAACACAGUGCAUUUUUAAAAAAAGAUAUAAGUUUAAAUAUUGAAGAUAAUAUUGUUGAAUAGACAACUAUAAAAUUUAAAUAUAAAUUGUAAAACAGACAUAAAAAAGAUAUAAAAAAUUACCUUUAUUUAUUUAAUUAAAUAAAUUACCCUUUACAGUUUAAUCUAUACAAUUUCACUAGCCUUUCCCGUAGGAGCAGCCGUGAGGAAGGGACGAAAUGACAAUAGAAGGAGAAAAAUUGGAAGGGUUUAACAAGGAAACAAUAUAAAGUCAAAAAGGGCAGACAAAAAAUUUGCCUUUUCCAUUGAUUUUAGUUCUUGUCUUAUACUAAUAAAAUUAUGCCAUUGAUAUGUUCAUAAACAAAAGUUUCAAGGAAAUGGCACCCCCUGGUCUGAACCACAAAGCCAACUUGAUAUCAAGAAAAGAAAAGAAACCAUAAAUUCUUAUUUAUUGAAAAGGCUAAUAUUUAAAGUAUAAACACAAUUGUGAUGAAAAAAAUAAAUUUACCAUAAUUCCUCUUCAACCACAAUCUUUAAAUAAAAGGAUAAAUGUGUACCAACUAUUAAUCGUGCAUCUAUUUUGUUGAUUAGAGAAGUUCAUUGAACCAAUCAGGCUAUUAGGUAAAGUUGUUAGAGAUGUCUGAAAGAAUUGGGUAAAUAGAGAGAAAUAUCCAGCCAAACAGAGAAAUAUAAAAUGGAAAACUUCUUUUUGUUUGUUUAUUCCAAAAUCUUAACUCUCUGAAUACACAUGUUCAGUAUUUAUAGGCAUGAGUAACCGCUCCAUAUUGAGCAACAACCUUCACCGGAUACAUAACUAACUAACAACCUAUAAUACUCUAAUAUUCAUCCAUCUUCCCCACAGGCAAAACCCGUAGACAAUUCCGAAACCAAGCAAAAAUCGAUAGUGAAAGUGGCUUAGUGAGAACAUCAGCAACUUGAUCACACGCCGGAACCUCGCCAACGGCAACAGUACCAUCAGCAACCUUUUCACGAACAAAAAACAAAUCUAAUUCAACAUGCUUAAACUUUGAAUGAAGAACAGGAUUAGCAGCAACUGCAACCGCACCAGAACUAUCACACCAAAUAUUUGGAAUACUAGAAGACCGAACAUGUAACUCUUGAAGUAACGACAAAAGCCAUGUAACCUCACUAGUAACCGCAGCAAGACUCCGAUAUUCUGCCUCAGCAGUAGACCGAGCAACAACCUGUUGUUUCUUCGUACACCACGACACAGGAUUACAUCCGAAAUAAACACAGUACCCGGUAGUAGACCUUCGGUCAUCAAAAUCUAACCCCCAGUUUGCAUCAGCAUACCCAACUAAGGACAGAUUAGGUGACGGACGAAACAUAAUCCCAAACUCAAUCGUUCCACCUAGAUACCUCAAAAUACGCUUUAGAGCCGUCAUAUAGACAGAAGUGGGACAAUGCAUAAACUGACAUAUUUGAUUCAAAGCAUAUUCAACAUCUGGUCGCAUAAGAGUGACAUACUGUAGUACCCCAGCAAAGCUCCUGUAUUCAGUUGGAUCCUCUAAACACUCACCACCAUCUUUAGUUAAGAAAGAAGAACUAACCAUCAGUGUAUUAACACUCUUCGCAUUUUCCAUCGAACACCGAAUAAGAAUAUCACGUAUAUACUUCUUCUGACAUAGAUAAAGACAACCUGAUGAAGAACGAGUAACUUCUAUCCCAAGAAAAUAAUGAAGAUCGCCCAUGUCCUUAAGUGAGAACUCACUAUUCAGCAAUUUAACAAACCAUUCUAUAACAGAUGGCACAUCACCUGUCACAAUAAUAUCAUCAACAUACACAAGAACAUACAACGUUGAACCGGAAACAACCCGAACAAACAAGGAAGCAUCAGACUUCGAUACUACAAAGCCCACAGAUACUAGAAAUCCUUUUAGCUUCUCAAACCAGGCACGAGGGGCCUGACGAAGACCAUACAACGCUUUCUUCAAACGACAUACCAGAGGUCUGCCAUCGGAACCAUACUGUACAUAGCCAGGAGGUUGAUGCAUGAAGACUUCAGUAUCAAGAUCUCCAUUUAGAAACGCAUUAUUCACAUCCACCUGUCGAAGGGACCACCCCCUAGACAUAGCAAUAGACAGAAUAACUCUGAUAGUAGCCGGUUUUACCACCGGACUAAACGUUUCCUUAAAAUCACAACCUGAAACCUGAGAGCAGCCUUUCGCAACCAAGCGAGCCUUAUGGCGAGUAAUAGUACCAUCAGAAUUCCUCUUAAUCCUGAACAACCAUUUGCAUCCUAUAAUCUUACGAUUAGACGGAGCUGAAACUAGCUCCCAUGUGGAAUUGCGCAUAAGAGCAUCAUACUCAUCUUGCGCAGCAGCACGCCACUCAGCAGUAGCAAGAGCUUCUUCAAUUGUAGAAGGUUCUUUAACCUCAACAUGUAAAACCUUAGGCUUGUAAACUCCCGCUUUAGCUUAAGUGACCAUUGGGUGAGUAUUACCCACAGGUGGUCUACUAACUUGACUGUCAGAUGACGACGAAACGCCUUCAGACAGUCUUGAGAUAGACUGAGGAUGAUCAGUAAAAUCACCUAGUGAAGCCGACUCAUGCAAAAUUGAAAGAGCAUCCAACCCAGACCCAACAUCAUCCGAAGGAGCAUGAGAUUGCACCAAAUCUGUAUUUGAAGUAGAAACAUUAGGCUGAGACUGGAACCCUUGAAGAGAUGGUGACACAACACAAGGCAUAGGAGACGACGAAGAAGAAACAGUGGGCCACACAACGGGAACAACAUUCGAACUAGUCUGACUGGUCUUCGUCAUAGACUUAUCAGGGCUAGACUCAGCAAACAAAAAUCUCUGCUCAUCAAACACGACAUGUCUCAAAAUAAUAACCUUACCAUCCGGUAAAAGACACUGAUACCCCUUAUGACGAGGACUGUAACCCAACAAUGUAGACGGCUGAGACUGAAAAUCCAAUUUAUGACCAACAAACGGACGUAAAUAAGGAUAGCAGCAGCAGCCAAAAACUCGAAGAUGAUCAUAGGUCGGAUCAUUACCAUAAAGUGCCUUAAACGGAGAAUUUCCCUGAAGCACAACAGUAGGAAGUCGAUUGAUCAGAUGAACCGCGCAACAGAACGCAUACCCCCAGUACUGCAUAGGCAAACUCGCAUGAGCCAAUAACGUAAUACCCAUUUCAACAAUGUGACGAUGUUUACGCUCAGCCACUCCAUUUUGUUCAGAAGUGUACAGACACGUCAAUCGAUGAAUAAUUCCCUGGGAUUCCAAAACAGAUGUAAAACCACGGUAUUCUCCUCCCCAAUCACUCUGAAACUGCUUAAUAGACUUGCCAAAUUGUGUCUCAAUUAACUUUUGAAACUGAGUGAAACACUCUAUUGCUUGAGCUUUUUGACGUAUAAGAUAAACCCAGGUAAACCUAGUGCACAUGUCAAUAAACGAAACAUAAUAUCUCUUUUCAUCACAUGCAACAGAUGCGGGACCCCAAAGAUCAGAUACAACUAACUCAAAAGGUUGAUAACUAGUAGUAGAAGGUGAAAAAGGCAACUCAAAUUGACCUCCUGUAACACCUGAACUUGACGAUUCUCACAAUCAACCAACGCAUCAACCACACGCUUUAACGGCAGUACACCAGUCGACAAUCGAACAGACGAGAUGACCGCCUCAUAUUCCGACAGCAAUCCCGCAAGCACCACUUCAACCUUCUCUUCAUCAGAAAUACGCGAACCGGACGUAUCUAACAUAGCACAGAGAUCUUUAAUCUUAGCAACAUAAGUUUUAAUAGAGAGGUUACAUUUCUUCAAGGAAUGAAGCUCAUGCCGAAGUCUCGAUUGCUUGGCGCCAGUAUUGGUCGCAAACAGAUUAACGGCCAUACUCCAUACAUCACAAGCCGUGCAAGCAUCAUCAAAGGAAGAUUGAUGAGAAGAGCUUACUGUAGAUAAAAGCCAGGACGUCAGAAGUCGAUCUUGCUGCAUAAACACCUGAGCCGCCGGAUUUGGAGCACGCAAGCCAUCGGGUAGAAGAUUGAAACGUGAUGGUAGAGCAAUGGUGCCAUCUAAGAAGCCUGUAAGUCCAUAACCAUCAACUAUCAGUUUUACCUGUUUGCGCCAUUGAAGAUAAGUACCUUCAUCAAGUUUAACGACUUCAUGCCGAGGAAAGACAUUCGUGACACGAUCGGCAUCAAACACACCGGAGCUAGGUUCACCAAACUCAGAAUCAACGGAAGCCAUACUAAGAAAAAUCCAGAAUCAACCUGCGAAUGAUACCAUGAAAGAAUUGGGUAAAUAGAGAGAAAUAUCCAGCCAAACAGAGAAAUAUAAAAUGGAAAACUUCUUUUUGUUUGUUUAUUCCAAAAUCUUAACUCUCUGAAUACACAUGUUCAGUAUUUAUAGGCAUGAGUAACCGCUCCAUAAUGUCAUACGUGAAUAGAUUUAAAAAAGAAAGAAAAAAUAACUUUCAUCAUUAUAAAGGAAAAGUGAAAAAGCAAAAGGAAUUAUUAUUUGAUUUAUAGGAGAAAUUUUUAACUCUAUAAAUGAUAAUUUUUUAUAAUUUUUAUUUACUUUUUAUAAUUUUUAUAUUUAACAAAAUUAUUUUUUAAAAAUUUUUACAAUCUAAAUUAAAUUGAUAAAAUAUAUAAAUAAUAAGGUUAAAAUUUUUUUAAUUAUGAUAAAAUUGAUAAAAUAUAUAAAUAUUAUUAAAAAUUAAAUCAUCAACAUUAUUCUAUACUAACGAUUUAACUUAUAACCUGUUAGAAACAAUUUUUGAACAAAAUUGGUUUGAUGAUGGCUCCAAAUAAAUUUCAAGUCUAACGAACUUGUAUCAACAUCACGAAAUUCAACUAUAUUUCAAAAAUAUAUAUAUAUAAAAUAUAUAUAUUUAGGACUUUUUUAUGGUGCAUGUCAUGACAGUUAUUAUAUAACAAGAAAUUAGCAAUGUAAAAAAGGCAUGGAGAUAUAAUUAGAACAAAAAAUUUACAAAAUAGGGACGCUUGGGCUAUGAAGAUACUUAAAGUUUGAAGAGACAUGGAAUAUUAAGGCAUUAGAAUAUCUUCAAAAACAUCAGUCACAUAUCUCAACAACAUCAAGGGAAAAAAAAGAAAGAGCUGCAAAAGAGAACUAUACCGAAGAGCCAAGAAUUGUGAUGUUGUGAGUGCUUACAGAUAGACAUUAAAUUUGAGAACUUGAACACUGCUGCACUGCCACACAGAUCAAAUACUUGAUGGUUUAGUUUUAAGGAAGAAGGUAGUGAAAUUGUUGAUGGGAAAAUGGAGGUUCUAAUCCCGCUCCUUGUUGGAGACAAUUGUCUCAAGCUUUUUCCUUGUUUAAAGGUUCUCACCCCAAAACCCUUGCAUUCUUUUUUUUAAAACUCAAAAAGGAACUUUUAACUUCCUUUCUCCCCACCGCACCCAUGUAACUGCUUAUAUAUUAUAUGUACGUAAUAUGUAUAUAUUAUAUGUAUGUAAUACGUACAUAUUAUAUUAUAUAUUAUAUAACCCCACAUAUAUGUAUAUAUAUAUAUACACAUAUAGCAUUUUGUCCCUCAUUGCACAUCGGGGUUCGACAAGUGUUGCGGCUGAAGUAGUGAGAAUAUACAUUUUGUCUUGAUAGUUUUAAAAAGAUUGUUUUUAAAGAUAUUUUCGAUAUUUCUAAUUUAAAAAGAAAUUUAAUUUUAAUUACUUGUUAAUUUAAAGACAGCUUUAUUAUGACUUUUAAUAAUAGUAUUGUAAUUUUUAGAAAUUGUUCACUUAUCUAUAAAGGAUUGAUACAAAACAAUCUCUAUUUUAUCGAACUAAAGAUGUACACAAUGAUAGAAAUCGAAAUUGCAAAUAAGGAACUUAAAACUUUGUACUUUUGACAUUUGAGAUUGGGCCGUAUUAAGUAAGAAAAAAUUACUAACUUGUGAAAGAUGACAAUUUAAGUACACUUAGGGAAAUUUAUCUCCGACAAUGUGAAUCUUACUUGAAAAGUAAGAUUUCCAAGUAAUCUUUUAUUGAAAAAGGUACUAGAGUAAUUCAACCUUCAGAAUUUAUUCACACUAAUGCAUGUGGCCCCAAAAAUUUAUUGCGCGAAGCGAUUAUGAUUAUUAUAUUAAUUCAAAAUAUAUACAAUUGAUUUACCAUGCAUUGUAUUUUUCUUUAUGAUUCGUUUUACUUUUAGAUUAGGAAGGCCUACAAUAAGUAUGUAAAUGCAAAGAAAAACUGAGUCCAAUAUAUCAGGUAGGGAAAGUUUGUACAUUUAUUCAAGGUUCUUUAGUUGUAAACUAUGUAAUUUGGUUGGUGUUGAUUAAUAAUGAUCUAAAGUUUGUACAUUUAUAGAAGUGGAUGGUCUAAACCGGUGUUGAUUAUGGAUGGCAGAUAUGUGCAGUGCAGUGUUGCUAUCUUCGUCAUUUUUGGUUCAUCACUUGCCAAUGAAAGUCUUUCUUUUUAAGCAUUUGAAUCAACAGUUAAGAGAACAUCCAAUCUAUUGAUUUUAGUUUCUUAGCCGAAUGACGGCUUUUAGUUCAUAAUUUCCAUUGGCGAACCCAAUGCAGCAGCUAAGUGUAAUGAAGUGACAUCAAUGCGGCCUAAAAACAUUUCCAUCUCGGUAGAUUAAUCUAUACAAUUCGCCUUUCCUGUACGAGCAGCUGUGAGGAAGGGGCCAAUUGACAAUAGCAGGAGAAAAUUUGGAGGGGUUUAACCAUCGAAAGCGACUCAUUCAAAAAUUGAAGACUGGUAUGGUCCGUCAAUUACGGUCGACAAGGAAACAAUAUAAAGUAAGAGAAGGUAGACAAUUAUUUUGGUAGUGGUGAAGGUUAAAAGAACUGCUUCUUCCAUGGAUUUUAGAUUUUAAUCAUUCUGUACUAAUUGGAUGAUGCCUUUGAUAUGUUCAUACUUCAUAUUCAAAAGUUUAAACAAACUGGCACCCCGUGGUGUGAACGAGGAAGCCACCUUGAUAUCAAGAACAGAAAAUAAAUAUCAAAAUUAAGUUUUGUUAAUAAAUGAACUUCAUUUAAUUUUAAUUAAAAAAAUACUUUGUUAAUAUUAAUAAGAUUUUGAAAUAUAUUGUCUAAUAUUUUUAAUAAAGAAUAAAUCUUAAAAUCACAUAAAAUUUUAGUUCCAUGUGUAUUGUGUUCUAACCAGAAAUAUGAUAUAAAUAUUAAUAAACAAGGAUAUGUCAUGUCAAAUAAUACAGAAUAAAUUAAGAACAAAACUAAAUGUGAAAGCGUACUUGAAUUCAUUUAAAUAUUGUGGUUUUGAUCUUUAAAAUUAACACAUAAGUGUUUUAGAGAAGGCGAUACUCUCUUUUUUGAAUAAAUCGAUGUUUUUAUUUCUUUAAACUUGAAUAAUUGAAUCAAAAUUAAAAUUUCAAGUAUACAUUUAAACCACAAUCAAAGUUUCAUGUGUAUAAUGGCACCAAAUUAAAGUUCGUGUAUUGAUUUGCAUAUCCAAUCAAUGUUUAUGUACAGUUCUGAGAUUUAUCUCUUUUAAUAAUUUUGAAAUGCAUUUUUAAUAAUUUUAAUUUUUUUAAUUCGAAAAAUAUAGUUUAAGAAAAUCUCAAAUUUUAGGUUUUCUUAAGGAAAGUUCAGAAUUUUACAAAAAAAAAUUAGAAUUUUUCGAUUUUUUAGUAAUUUUAGAGAUCAUAAUGUGUUUUAUUUUUAUUUUGAAUUUUUUAAAAAUAUUAGUUAAAUACAUUUGUCAACCUCUUAAUCCCAAUUGUGGAGUUAAGAAGUUAUAUUAUAUGUGUAUCAAAUAAUUAUCCUUAGCAAAGGGAAGUGAGGAUUAUUAUUUGAUAUAUAGGGGUUCUUUCAACAAAGGAUGAGUGUUCAAUCAAAUCAAGUGAAAAAAAAUUAGAGUUAAUUGAGUUGAUGAGUCAUAUUUUAUCAUCUUAAAUUGAUUUGAUUUUUUUCAAAUCAAGUCGAGUGAAAUAAAUUCAAUUUAAAUCAAGUGAAAUUGUUUGAGUUAUUUUAAAAAAAAUUAAACAUGCCAAAUUGAAAUCUUAUUACAGUACAACUAAUUUUACAUUAAAACACAUAAAAUUGAAACAAUAUAUAUAUUUGAAAAAAAAAUUAAAGCAAAAUAAGAAAAAAAUAAAUAUUCUUUAGUAUGAUAAACUUAUUCAAUCAUCAAUUAUUUUAAUUUUGUAUAUAUAAUAUAUAAAUGUAAAAUGAUGUUAUGUGAAUAGUUUUGUUAAUAAUUUGUAUAUGUAAAAGUGAACACAUAUAUUAUACAUUUCCCUAAUUCACCAGCAAAUCUGCCUUAAUUUUGAUAUGGAUAUACUUAAUACUCGGAUAAUGUUGUGAAUCACAUAUAUUGUUUAAUUUUCUUUUUUGAAGUUUUAAUAUAUUUUAAUGGGUAAGAUAUGUCAUUUUUACUCUUUGAAAUUUUGGAAUUUAGUUCCUAGACUUUUAUUUUUAGGAAUUUAGUCAAUUUACUUUUUAGAUUUUAAAAUCAAAUCCAAUUAUUGACCCUCUUAAAUUUUUUUUGUUAAAUUUAAGUUUAUUAUAACGUUAUUUUUUUUAGUUAUAUCGCUACCAAAUGAGUUUCUUUUCAAAAUGUCACACCAAAAAAAUUUAACAAAAAAAGACAUUUAACAAUAUUAACAAUUGGACCUGAAUUUUGAAAUUUGAAAAGUAAAGAGACUAAAUUCUUAGAAAUAAAAGUACAUGGAUUAAAUUUCAAAAUUUUGAAGAGUAUAGAGACUUAUGGCAUAUUUUAACCUAUUUUUAAAUUGUUUUGAAUAUUUAUCUGCUUGUUUAAUUUUUAUAUUUUUUUGGAUUUUUAAUAAUUUUUGUGAAGUUUUUUAGAAUCAAGAUUAAAUUGAUAUAAUAUGCAAACAUUGAGGGUUAAAUUUAUUAAUUUUUAGAAUUAUGAUUAAUUUGACAGAAUGUGUAAACAUUAAAGGAUGAAUUUGUUAUUAUGUCAAUAAAAAAGUUACGUCAACAUUCUAUUAACAUUUAAUAGAUAAUUAACCAAAAAUAUUACUAUUGAUAACAUUGGUGACAAAACCAAAAAACGUGCUAAUACUUAGUGACUAACAACUCUUGGAUGCAAUGAUACGACUCAUUAUACUCUUAAGAAGAGAACACGAGUUUAAAAAUGAGACACAACAUUAUUAAGAGGGGGAUAAUAACAAACCUUAAACACUUACAGUAAAUAUAUAUCCAGAAUCAUAUGGUGCAUUAAACCAUUCAUUCAUCACUCCUUCAGCUAGCUUUUUGUUUGGUCCAAGAAUUCAUAGUUGGAAAUGUCAUGUAUAAAAUCAACCAUUUUAUUUCAUGUGGACUGGAUACCUUCUUUCUGUGACUUUGCUGCUUGGAAAUUUCCUUGGACCUUCGAAGAAAAUUAACUCCUUAAACUAGAGUUCUGUUCAAAUCAUGUAUAACUUGUGGUCAGAUCGGAAACAUGUGUUUCCGGAAAAUAUAGGUUCUAUUUCUAUUUCUAUGUUGUCUUCUACUUCUUUCUUCUUUGUGUUUGGUUGCAAAUUUCCUUAGUUUUCAGUAAUCUGAAAAUUUACUGCUUAAUUUAUUAAACCUCAAGAGAAAAGCUAUGGAUGAGAGGAUGAUACAGGCUGCCCAAACAGGAGAUAUUAACCUCUUGUAUGAGUUGAUUCUGAAUGAUCCAUAUGUUUUACAGCGUAUUGAUGAUGUGCCUUUUUUUCAUACUCCAGUGCAUGUAGCUGCCUCUGCUGGGCAUAUUGAGUUUAUGAUGGAGAUGAUCAAAUUAAAGCCGACGUUUGCGAGAAAGCUAAACCAAGCUGGGUUUAGCCCCAUGCACUUGGCUCUGCAAAAUGACAGAACUCAUGCAGUGCUUCGACUCCUCAGGUUUGAUGAAGGCCUUGUUCGUGUCAAAGGGAGGGAGGACCUCACUCCUCUGCACCAUGUAGUUCAAACUGGAAAUGUUGAUCUUUUGAUCAAAUUACUUGCGGUUUGUCCUGAGGCUAUUGAAGAUGUGACUGUUCGAGAUCUUGCAGUAAAAAACGACAUGUUUGAAGCAUUUCAAGUCUUGGUGGGGUGGCUUAUAAGGAGCCGCUAUGGAGCUGCACAACGUUGGGAGAAAGAACUGCUUAGUUGGGCGGACAUUGAUGGCAACACUGUGCUGCACAUUGCAGCUAUCAGACACAGACCUCGGGUAUAUGCUAAUUUUCCUAAUCAAGUCAAUUAUUGAUAUGUAUGUAAGUAUGAUAAAACGGUUAUUUAUAUAUGAAUAUUCUAAUUAACAGGUGAUGGAAGUAUUGCUGGAACACUUGCAUCCAUACCAAAUCAAUGCCAAAAAUUUGGAGGGACUGACAGCACUAGAUAUCCAAUCACAAUACCCAUGGAAUGAAAGGCAAGCGGAUAGGACUAUAGAUAUGCUAAGCAAAGCAGGAGGCUUGAGUGGUUCCUCUUCCUCGCUUCCCAAUACCUCCACCUCUUCAUUCCACAUCGAUUCUUUAAAAGAAAAGAUGACAUGGUAUGAAAAAUGGAUAAAAGCAGGUCGAAGAAUGAAGGGUAUGCCACAUGAGAUGCGUAACAUAUUACUCUGCUAAUUAUAACCACCACUUACGAUGCCUCUUUAAACCCUCCAAAUACGCCUGAUGACAGCCCAUUCAAGAACUACCAAUUCUCUUUAAGUCAAGACCAGCCUCUCAAUUCCCACACAUUUUUGCAUAAAACCGACAUCAAUACUGCGCCCAUGCCCAGUCCCUCCGCAAUUGACGUUUUCAUAAAAGAUGAAUGGUCAUCUGAAUACUCCUCGUUUUGGGCUUACAACUCGUUAACCUUUUGGGCAGCAGUUUUUUUAACAGCAAUUCUCCUACCACCUCAUUCAUUCUGUACGUUGGUUGAUACUCCUAGCACUUACCGUGUUUGGGAGAUCUUACAUGCAUUUAGCUGCUGUUUCGACGUGGUCACGGGUACCAUUACCAUAUGCCAGUGAAAAGGCAUACUCAUAUUUUUCUUCAGGCUCCGUUUAUAAUCAAGCAUUCUUAACGUUUCUGCCUGUCCUUAUGGUAUUCCGGGCAAUCUUUUAUGACCCGCAAACAUUACCAAACCAAAUUUCUCCAUGCUACUAUUAUUUGGUAAAGUUCUCUGGCAUUGUAUUCAAGAGAAGGUCACGGCGAGACGAGCCGUUUAUCAUUACGAUAGGUGUCAAGUGGAAGUGCAGUGAUGUAUGCAGCUGAGGCAUCCUAACAGACCGGUAGACUUGAACCUUGUUCCUACAUGACCCGAUCAAUUCGAUCAGGCACUCGCCAUCUAUUUUCAUUGUUCAACUCUUUGACAACACGAAAAAUCCAUUGUUCAACUCUUUGACAACAUGAAAAAACCAAAAGCUCUGCCCUCCCUCUCUAUCUAUCCAUGGGAUGGAAGGGCGGAGGCCUUUGGUGUCCCCUCCAGUCAAGAAUUGGGGCCUCAUAGAGAUAGCAAGCAAAACAGAAAAGAAUCAGAGAAACGAACUAGUAACUAGAAAAUAGAGAAAAGAGCUCAUUUUGUGUAUUGAAUCAGAUCAUCAAUUACAAUGUAGCAAAGAACUUAAGUAAUUAAAUUAGUUACUUAAGUUCUUUGCUACAUUGUAAUUGAUGAUCUGAUUCAAUACACAAAAUGAGCUCUUUUCUCUAUUUUCUAGUUACUAGUUCGUUUCUCUGAUUCUUUUCUGUUUUGCUUGCUAUCUCUGGUUGCCUUCCUUGCAACUGUCGCCGGAGCACUGCCAUUUUCACAUGGUAUCAAAGCAAAGGUUUUUCGACCAGUAGAUCGACGAUUACUCAUUUUUAUGGAUCCACCAUCAAUUCCCAUUGUUGCUUAGGUCAAUCUGUCUUUUACAAAUAACAAAAUCAGUGUUUAUCUUAAUGAUCAAUGUUUAUCAAAAAAAAAAUGGUGGAAAUCCACUUUCAAAAUGAAAAUCACCUAAAAAUUGAAUUUAUAUUUUUUUGAAGUUUGAAAAUAGAAAUAAAUCAUUUGGUUAUAUUGAAUCGUUGAAUAUGAGAAUAUUAAAUAUAUUUUAUUCUAGAUUCUUCUACGUAAAGUCGUCAUGAUUUUAAUGGAAUUAGAAUUGGAUUGAGAAAAUUAUUUAAAUAAAAAAUAUCGGGUUGAAUCGAAUUAUAAAAUAUUGGAUUAAAAGCUCAAAAAGUACUUGGACUUGGACCCAAUAUGGAAUAGUCCCAAAAGCCCUUUAUGUGAAAAGAGGUGGAAGUCUAACCCUAGUAAAAAUAGCUAGGGUUGUCGCCACCUAUAUUCUUAGUUGGACCAGGAGUUCGUUUUACUAGUUGAAAUAAACUUCUAUAAUUCAACAAGAAUUCUACCUUAUUUCCCUAUAAAUAGAUUACAUCAGUAGGGUUAUUUACAAAACUUUCAGAUAUUAUUAUUUUGCCUGAAAAUAGAGAGACUUUUAUUCUCUAAGAAUUAAAUAUAUUUUUUGGAAUAAUGAUUAUAUCGGUUUCUAUUUGAGAAGAGAUUUUCGUUUCCACAAAAAAAAAUAUUUCUAGUUCUGUGUUUGAUUCGAUUUAUUCGAGCCCACACUCAAAGUAGCUCGUGGUACGAGAAUAGCAUAAAAUAUCGUUUGGUUGAAAGUCGGGAACGACAAUAAUCCGUCUAUCCAAAAAUGCAGGUGCGAAUUCAGCCUAAAGUUUAUUACUAUAAAACCAUUUUUGAACCUAAUUUUUUUCAACAAGAAAAUCAUUUUCGAACCUAAUUUUUUUCAACAGUUAGUAUUAGAGCGUCAAGUUGUGCUAUGUUUAUAGUGUAAACCGAUAUCAAAAUUCUCUCUCUUCUUCAUGAUUAAUUAUAUUUGAUAAAAUGUGACAUUCUUGUGAUAAUAUGCAUGCAUGUUUACGGGAAUGUAUGCGGAUGAAUAUAUGAUAUUAUUUUAUUGCUAUGGAUGAUAAAGUAAAUUUGCCAAAGUUGUGAUUCCUAGAAAAUAAUAAUAAUUUAUUAUUAAUUUAGAUUGUGAACUAUCAUCUUCAUGCAAGAUUUAUUUUAUUUUAGAAUAAAAUAUGUGAGUAGGAAACGGAAAUAGGAAUUUCGUAACCUAAAUUUUCCCACCGAAACCCGAGAACUGAGAUAACGCAAAUUCAACCUAGCCAAAACAGCAAUGGCCGGAGGUGGUUCGAUGAAAGUGGUCGGUGGUGAUCCGACGGUGAUCGGCAAUGGUGACGACACAAAAACGAUGGCGGAAAGAUGAUGACAAAAACAUGAACCGCUAAAGCAGCAGAAGUCUGUGGUGACAAAAUUGAAGACUCAAAGUAUGCUUUGGGGUGAAUUUUGUAAUCUUAUUUUUAUUUAUUUUUGGCUUGUUAGAGUUGCGACCCAAAUUCUUUUUAAAAUAAAAUACCAGUGGCAAGAUGAGGGGAUCCACGAGGGCGACUUCUAUUAAAGUCAUGACGACUUUAUCAUACUAGAAUCUAUGAGUAAAUAAAUUUAAAUUGUCUUAUUUCGUAAAAUUGCAAUGACUAAUUGAUUUAAUUCCCACUUGAAACUUCAACUAUUUAAUUAUAACAAAUUAAUUAAUAAUUUAAAUAAAUUAAAUUAAUCAUUAAGUUAUCUUUUGUACCUCAUGAGAAAAUGCAUUCACUUCGAAUAGUGAUACAUGCAAUAUGUUUCUCUAUUUGUUGUUUUCAUUCACUCAACAUAUCAAUUCAAAUGCAAUUUAUAAAUGGUUGUGUUGAGCUAGCAAAGGGACAAUUGAAUAUAUAUAAUUAGGGCUCAAAUAAUUUAAAAUUAAGUUCUAACUCUUCCCUAUUAAUUACAACAUUAUUUAGUCAUAGAGUUAAUCCACUAAAAAUACCAUAACUAAAUUCUCUCUUAUUAUAUACCAUUACGAAAGCAACUGAAUUUAUAUUUGUCUAAUGACCUUGUCAUAUGUGUGUUGCCCUCAUAGGAUAUCAUUUAUCUCAUUGGGUUAAAUCUGUUCAAACAAUAUGAUCAUAUUUUAUCUCAUGAUGACCACCGCAUCUUCCACCAUGAAAAAGCCAAUUACUAAUACAUAGUAAUUAAAUCAUUUUUCCUAGACAAAUGACCCAUGACAACGUUACUUCUCCAUCAACCACGCAAUGUCAAAGAGAAGAUAUCAUUAACCAUUUAUUAGGCUAUGAAUUUCAUUGUUGUAAGUAAACCAAUGUCAUGCAUAAGUGUAAUACCCAAUAUACUGACUUUUGGCUCUAUUACAAAUUGAACUCUGGCUUUCAAUAUAUCAAAGUAUACAAGUUACAUACACAUAGUCAGUUACUUAUUCAGGAUUGAGGUAAGUCAUACUAUGAAUGUCACAAGCAAAUAAAUCCAUAAACAAAUGUAGGAUAAAUUCAACUUGGGUCUUGUCUGAUGUAUUAUCAAUCUAGACAAUCACACCUAUGUCUCUAUGUUUUGGGGAGUCAUACGUUCCAGUACCUAGGAUAAGAUAUUUCCCCAAUUGGACUUGAUAGACGACACAAUAGUCUCUUGAAUAAUUUUGCUCAAUUUUGAUUCUUUAGACCAUAUAGCAUUUAGAUUAUCUACCAAUAUAAGUUGUCUCAUAUCAUGAUCUGACCACAUGAUGCAACUUAAUAUUAGUUAAACAUUAAUUAAUCAGUGAGCCAAUAUUUACUUAUACAUUUUGGUUUUUAUGCAAAAAUCAUUGAGGAUAGAAAAAGGAUAAUAAUGUAAAUGAUGGAAUUUUACUAAAUAAAUUUAUUCAAAAAAUUACAAGCAUAUAUGACAAAAUAACUACACUAAAGACACUAGAUCAUAACGAAAGAAGCACUCUCUAUUUUUACAUUUCAUUUUAGAGUGACUAGCAUAAGCUUAUGGUGGAAAGUGAUAGCCAAAUCAUUUUGAAUCCAAUGUAAACAUGUUAUUUGUUAUGAUAUAUGGAAAAAUCUGACAAAAAUUAUAUAAAAAAAGGAAUGGUAAUAUUAUUAAAAGUGUAACAUUUGAAGUAUAAUGUAAUAGAAAAAAUAUUUUACAAAUAGACAAAAUAUUAAUUUUAGUUGAGAUGUACUUUAAAAAUAUAUAAUAAAAAAUGGAAGAAUUUAAUUCAAUAGUUAUUAUUAUUUUGUUUAUGUUCAAGUAAAAUGAAUUAAAAUCAUUAAAAAUAAGAGUAAAAUAAAAAAAAGGUGAUAUACCUUCUAAUUCUUUGGUAUUAUUGGGAAUAUAAGGUUACCUGCUUGUUAGUUGGAUUUUAUUUUUGGAUUGUAUUUUGUCCAUUUUAUUAAAAAAUGACAAAUUAAUCUUGUUAGAUUAAAGAGCAAAUUAGUACUAUUAAAAGUUGGUUCAUUUACAUUAGCAUGAGAUACACAUGGCACGACGCGUGUAACUGUUUGAUUAUGUCAUCAGUCAUACCAAUUUUUAACGGUAAAAAGAGAAAAAAAUUUACAAAAAGAAAUUAUUUCCUUUUUGAUCCAACCUAAAAGAAUUAAACAAUUACAUUGUUUUUAAAUAAUAGUUUAAGAACAUAUAACAAUUACAUUGUUCUAAGCAUUGUAUCAAUAAAAAAAGAAAUCAAAUAAUUAAUUGCCAGCUCAUCAAUAUAUAUAUUUCAGAAUGCCUAAAUGGACAAAUAUAAAGUUUUGAAGGGUGAAAUUUUUAUAAUUUGAAAAAUAAAAAACAAAGUUAAAAUAUACUAGCGGUUUGAGAAUUAGGUUAUUGCAUGGGAACCAUCUAUUGUAAGAAUGUUAUAUGGUCUAAGAGGGCAAAUGAUUCUGCUCAUUUUAUAAAAUAUACAUCAUGUUUUUUUUUCCUUAUGGAGUCUUCAUUUUUCUUUUAUUGGGAAUUAUCCAUAUUUAUGGAAAAUCAAAGAUAUGGGUAUCAAAUAAUAGAAAGUCAAAGAUAUGGAUAUCAAAUAUUGGAAAGUCAAAGAUAUGGGUAUCGAGAUAUUGGCAUAAUAAAAUCUGAGAUAUUUGCAAUAUAUGGUCCCUAAUUGUAAAGUGACUUUGCAAGUUGAUCCCUGAACCUCAACUAUAAAUAAGCAUGACCAUCUCUCAUUCUGUAUCUCAAACUUGCCAUUCUCUACUUAAGGCAUUGUUUUUUCUCUCUCUCUUUGUAAAUUCUCACUUGUAUUUUGGAGUGAAAUAUAUUUGGUAGUGGCCGAGGACGUAGGCAAAAUUUGCUGAACCUCGUUAAAUUAUUGUGUUCUUUAUUGUAUUAUUCUGCAUGAAUUGUGUGUGUGAUUGUAGUGAUUUAUUGUGCUAUUAAAUUAAGAUUGAGGGAUAUUCUGGCUAGGAAAGACCUGGUACUUAAGAGAUCCUUGUGAUCCACCUCUCUUUCCAGGGAAUUGAACUUAGUGUGAUUUUUUAGUACAAUAAUUUUACUCUUUUACACGCUUCCGCACAACAAUUGGUAUCAGAGCUAGAUUCAUACUUGGGGAAUACGAUCGUUCACGGCACUGUUCACGUACUGUAGUUGGGAUUGAGGAGAAAAAAUGGAAAAGGCAUCGUCAUCAACAAAGACUACUGUGACCAAUGCGAAAUUUGAAGUAGAGAAAUUUGAUGGUACCAAUAAUUUUUGUAUGUGGCAAUGUGAGAUCCUGGAUGUCUUAUGUCAGCAAGAGCUGGAUAUAGCCCUUGAAGAAAAACCUGACAAGAUCGAUGACAAGGAGUGGGCCAAGAUCAAUAGACAGGCAUGUGGAAUAAUUCGCCUAUGUUUGGCCAAAGAGCAGAAGUACUCUGUCAUGGAGACAUCAGGGAAGAAGUUGUGGGAUACACUGGAAGAAAGUUUCUAACAAAAAUUCUUGAAAAUAGGCUUUAUAUGAAAAAGAAACUUUAUCGGUUCACGUAUGCACCCGAUAUGUCGAUGAAUGACCAUGUGAACUCAUUCAAUAAAAUUUUAGCAGACUUGCUAAAUUUGGAUGAGAAAUUUGAAGAUGAAGACAAGGCAUUACUGUUGUUGAAUUCUCUUCCUGAUGAAUAUGAUCAUCUUACCACCACAUUGCUUCAUGGGAAGGAUACAAUCACAUUUGAUGCAGUCUAUAGUGCGUUGUAUAGAUCUGAGACUCGAAAGAAAGAUAAAAAAGAUCACAAAGAUACAACUACAGAAGUCUUAACAGUAAGAGGUCGUUCACGCAGCAACAAAUCUGGUAGAAGGAGUAAGUCCAAAGGGAGACCUGCCAAAGAUGAAUGUGCUUUUUGUCGUGAGAAAGGGGCAUUGGAAAAAGAAUUGUCCUAAGUUACAAAAAGGUAAAGCUAUUUCUGAUACAUGUGUAGCGGAGCAUGAUGAGGAAUCAGACUUUAGCUUGGUUGGCAUGGCAAUGGCAUGUCAUACAGAUGAGUGGAUUUUGGAUUCAGGAUGUACUUACCAUAUGUGUCCUAAUAAGGACUGGUUUUCUAGUCUUGAAGAACUAGAAGGUGGAGUUGUUUUUAUGGGCAAUGAUAAUGCUUGUAAGACAAUGGGAGUAGGUACAAUCCAAUUGAGGAAUCACGACGGCUCAAUUCAAGUCUUGACAGAUGUUCGCUACAUACCUAGCUUGAAGAAAAAUCUUAUCUCAUUAGGGGUCCUAGAAUCUAAAGGGCUCACAAUCACUUUGAGAGAUGGAUUACUAAAGGUAGUAGCUGGGGUAUUGACGGUGAUGAAAGGCACAAGAAGGAAUAAUAUGUACUAUUUAAAUGGAAGUACAGUUAUUGGAUCAACAUCAACAGCUUCUACGAAAGAUGCAGAUUCAGAGGCUACCAGGUUAUGGCAUAUGCGAUUGGGACAUGCUGGUGAAAAAGCUUUGCAGAGUUUGGCGAAGCAAGGCUUGUUGAAAGGUGCAAAUUCUUGCAAAUUGGAAUUCUGUGAACAUUGUCUUCUGGGCAAGCAGACGAGGAUAAAAUUUGGUUAGCAAUUCACAAUACAAAAGGAAUUCUGGAGUACGUUCACAGUGAUGUGUGGGGACCUACUAAAGUGGCUUCUUUGGGAGGUAUGCACUAUUUUGUUACUUUUGUUGAUGAUUAUUCAAGAAAAGUAUGGGUGUAUCUAAUGAAAAGGAAAAAUGAAGUUUUGGAUGUAUUUCUGAAAUGGAAGAAUAUGGUGGAGACCCAGACUGGUCGAAAAGUCAAACGACUUCGAUCAGACAAUGGUAUUGAGUACAAGAAUGAUCCAUUUCUACAAGUAUGUCACGAUGAAGGCAUUGUAUGACACUUCACUGUUCGAGAUACACCACAACAGAAUGGGGUGGCAGAACGUAUGAAUCGGACUAUACUGGAGAAAGUUCGAUGCAUGUUGUCCAAUGCUGGAUUGGGCAAAGAAUUUUGGGCUGAGGCAGUUACAUAUGCGUGCCAUCUAAUUAAUCAGUUGCCAUCAGCUGUAAUAAAUAGAAAAACUCCUAUGGAGAGGUGGGGUGGUAAACCUGCUACUGAUUAUGAUUCUUUACAUGUUUUUGGUUCCACUGCAUAUUAUCAUGUAAAAGAAUCUAAGUUAGACCCAAGAGCAAAGAAAGCAUUAUUCAUGGGUAUAACUGGUGGAGUAAAAGGAUACCGUCUCUGGUGUCCUGAUACAAGGAAAAUUAUUUUCAGUAGAGAUGUGACUUUUGAUGAAUCAACCAUGAUGAAGAACAAUGAUUCACAAAAGGAUAACACAACCAGUGGCACUUUGCAGCAGGUGGAGCUUGAAAAGGUUAAUGAUGAUCCAGCUAAUAUUGAAGGAACAAAUGAUGAAGAAGUUUCGACCCAAGAACUUCUACAGCAACAUGAUUCAAUUGCAUAUAAAAGGCCAAGAAGAGAGAUUUGUAUGCCUGCUCGCUUUAAUGAUAUGGUGGCCUAUGCACUUCCAAUUACAGAUGAUGAUGUUCCUUCUACUUACACAGAAGCAAGAAGUAACCCUGAUGGUGUAAAGUGGAAGCAAGCUAUGAAUGAAGAAAUGCAGUCUCUUCAUAAAAAUAGGACUUGGGAGUUGGUGACACUACCCAAAGGAAAGAAGGCAAUUGGAUGCAAAUGGGUAUAUUCAAAUAAGGAAAGAUUUCCUGAUAAAAAUGAAGUUCGAUACAAGGCUAGAUUGGUAGUAAAGGGUUACGCUCAGAAAGAAGGAAUAGACUACAAUGAAGUAUUUUCUCCAGUUGUGAAGCAUUCGUCUAUUCAGAUUUUGCUAGCCUUGGUUGCGUAAUAUGAUCUUGAACUAGUUCAGCUCGAUGUGAAGACCACAUUUUUACACGGUGAUUUGGAAGAGGAAAUCUAUAUGACUCAGUCAGAUGGAUUCAAGGUUACUGAUAAAAAAAUUGGGUUUGCAAACUGACAAAGUCGCUUUAUGGAUUGAAACAAUCUUCGAGGCAGUGGUACAAACGAUUUGAUCAGUUCAUGAAAGGGCAAAGGUAUACAAGAAGUAAAUUUGAUCAUUGCGUGUAUUUUUAGAAGCUACAAGAAGGAUUUUUCGUAUACUUGCUCUUAUAUGUUGAUGAUAUGUUGAUAGCAUCUAAGAGUAAAGUUGAAAUUGAGAGAUUGAAGACUCAACUCAACCUUGAGUUUGAGAUGAAAGAUCUAGGUGAAGCUAAGAAGAUCCUUGGUAUGGAAAUAUGUAGGGAUAGAGCUCAUGACAGAGUUAGUUUGUCUCAGAAGCAAUAUUUAAAGAAGAUACUACAGAAGUUUGGCAUGAACGAGCAGACUAAAGUUGUAAGUACCCCGUUGGCUUCUCAUUUCAAGCUUUCUGCACAACUAUCUCCUUCGACAAAUAUGGAACAAGAAUACAUGUUACAAGUUCCGUAUUCUAAUGCAGUAGGUAACUUGAUGUAUGCAAUUGUGUGUACAAGACCCGACAUUUCACAGGCAGUUAGUAUAGUGAGCAGGUAUAUGCAUAAUCCUGGAAAAGGACAUUGGCAAGCUGUGAAAUGGAUUCUACGGUAUAUUCAUAAGACCAUGGAUAUUGGAUUACUGUUCAAACAGGAUACUACACUUGGUAAAGGUAUUGUUGGGUACGUUGAUUCUGAUUAUGCCGGUGAUUUGGACAAACGAAGAUCAACCAUUGGUUAUGUGUUUACUCUUGCUGGAGGACCAAUAAGUUGGAAGUCUACACUGCAGUCUACAGUUGUGUUGUCAACCACAGAAGCUGAAUACAUGGCUGUAACAGAGGUUGUAAAGGAAGCUAUUUAGUUACAAGGUAUGGUUAAAACCUUGGGUUGGUUCAGGAGCAUAUUAAUGUGUAUUGUGAUAGUCAAAGUGCUAUUCAUUUAGCAAAGAAUCAAGUCUAUCAGGCACGUACAAAGCAUAUCGACGUACGUUUCCAUUUUGUGCGGGAAAUUAUUGAUAAGGGGAAAAUUCACCUUCAGAAGAUUAAGACUGCAGAUAAUCCUGCAGAUAUGAUGACCAAGGUGGUAACAACAAUCAAGUUCGAACAUUGUUUGAACUUGAUCAAUAUUCUGCAUGUUUAAUAGUUGAAGAAUCCACUAUCAAGUGUUGUUGACAAAGGCAGAGAGAAUUGUGUGAAGAUAAGAUUACUCGAAUCAAAUCUUCAAGGUGGAGAUUAUUGGGAAUUAUCCAUAUUUAUGGAAAAUCAAAGAUAUGGGUAUCAAAUAAUAGAAAUUCAAAGAUAUGGGUAUCAAAUAUUGGAAAGUCAAAGAUAUGGGUAUCGAGAUAUUGGCAUAAUAAAAUUUGAGAUAUUUGCAAUAUAUGGUCUCUAAUUGUAAAGUGACUUUGCAAGUUGAUCCCUGAACCUCAACUAUAAAUAAGCAUGACCAUCUCUCAUUCUGUAUCUCAAACUUGCCAUUCUUUACUUAAGGCAUUGUUUUCUCUCUCUCUCUUUGUAAAUUCUCACUUGUAUUUUGGAGUGAAAUAUAUUUGGUAGUGGCCGAGGACGUAGGCAAAAUUUGCUGAACCUCGUUAAAUUAUUGUGUUCUUUAUUGUAUUAUUCUGCAUGAAUUGUGUGUGUGAUUGUAGUGGUUUAUUGUGCUAUUAAAUUACGAUUGAGGGAUAUUCUGGCUAAGGAAGACCUGGUACUUAAGCGAUCCUUGUGAUCCACCUCUCUUUCCUGGGAAUUGAACUUAGUGUGAUUUUUUAGUACAAAAAUUUUACUCUUUUACACGCUUCCGCACAACAUCUUUAAUGAUAAAAGCUUAAAGAAUAAUCUUUAAAAUUUGGUUGUUGGUAGCUUUAUUUGGGUAGAAUUUGAGAUUUAGUUCAUAUAUUUUAAAUGUUAAAAUUUUAAUUUUUUUUACUUUUUCAAUUUAAUAUUGUAAAAUAAAACCAUAAAAAAUUGUGUACAAAUAGUAUUGAAUUUACAUAAAAAUAUAUAAAAAAUGCAGGAUAAAUUUGAAUAAUAAUACAUGAACACUUAAAAUGAUAAUAUAUGAAAAAAAACUUAAGAUAAUAAUAUACGAUAAAUUUAAACAAUAUUAAUAAUGAAUUUAAAAUAAUAUUAAGCAUAAAUAUUAAAAUAAGGUUAGAUUUAAAAAUAUAUAAAAAUAAUGGAAUAAUAAAUACUUAAAUAAAUUAGAAAAAUAAGCAAAUUAAAUCAAGCUAAUAAGGAUUAAAUUGGAUUUAAAACAAAAUUAGAAGGUAAAAACGUAAAUAAAAUAAAAUAAAGGACCCAAUUGAAAAGCGCGAAUAACUCAAAGGGACCAAAUGGGGAAAUAUCCCCGCCUUUUGAAAUGCAUCGUUUCACCAGGACCAAAUCAGAAACCAAAUAAAAUUUAAAGUAUCAAUUGAAGAAAAUAAAAAAAUUGAAUUAAAAUAAUAAAAAAUACGGAGGGGGCAAAUGCAUAAAUAUCCUUACCAAGACCAGAACAGGCAGAUCUAGCUGCCUCUGGGUCGAGUCAUCGGGUAUAGUCAAUACGGCACCGUUUUGGAGCCAUUGAAACAGACUUUAAAUGGUGUCGUUGCAUGGCCUUUAUAAAACAAAAAAAAAGAAAAAUAAACAAGUUUUUAGCCAUUUCGAAUCAGAUAAAAACCUUAGCCACACGCCGUUUAGAAGCCUGGCCAUUCAAAGGCCAAUCGAUCCCUGUCUGAACUUCGAUUGCGACAGAGUGAGCAAGGAUUCGACACCACCAAGUAAUUUUCUCACCUUAAAUUGUUUUUUUCUUUUUUUACACAUGAUGAGUAAACAAAUAGAUGAGUCUAGAACAGAAAAGAAAAACAACGAAAAGAAAAAAAAAGGUUUCAAAUCACCUUUAGAAAAUUCUGAUUCUUUGAUUUUUCGUCCCCUUUUAUAGAUUUGUAAUUGGCUUUUUAUAGCCGAAACGAAAAAAAGAAAAUAUGUAAAAAAGAAAUCUAUUAUGUUAUCUAGCUAUUUUCAUUUGCUGGCAUAUUGUUGCUCGCUUUUUACUGUUAUUCGUUUCUAUUUCAGGUGUACGAAGGAGCGAUGACGUGGAGGUGCAACACGCGUGGAGGCCUGGUUCCCAGCUGCGGCGUGGACUGUUCCAAAAACCCUAGGGGUUUCUGGAGAUUUCAAAUUGGGCCACUUCAAAUCGGGCUAGGGUUUAAUUAAGUCUAGGAUUGUAUUAGGUCUAGGAUUGGGUUAGAUUUUGGGUUUAGGCCUCAAUCCGAAUUUGGCCUAUUGUAACUGAACUUUUGGACUUAUUAAUGGUUAUUUUGGGUAUUGGGCUAUUAGGGUUUGUUGGGUUUGGGUUUUAGAUAUUUGGGCUGAUUUGUGUUUGUUUAUUUUGGGUUGUUUGUGUAAUUCUGGACUUUUUAUUUUAUUGGACUUUUAUUUUUUGAUUUGGUUUUUUUUGUGUGGGCUCGAGCAGAUUGGGCCUGCUACAAUAUUGAUGCAAAACUUUGUCACUAAAGUGCAAAUUGUAACAAUAGUUAAGUAGUCUUUUGUUCGAAUAACAUUAGAAGCACAUCAAAGUCAAAGCACAUAGACUUUAAGUUCAUUGUUGUUAAAAUAAAAGUUUAGGGUGGUUAGAUGUCUAUAAAGUAUAUUGAGACAAACUCCAUGGUUGUGGAUUCGCUUAUUAAGGGACUACCACCCAAAGCUUUUUUCCUGAGCACACUGUUGAUAUGUGUGUAAUGUCAUUCAAGGAUAUUUGAUUUUAGUAGGAGUUUGUACUUUUAAACGUUUUUAUGUUAUAAAUACAUUUUCAAUUAUUUUAGUUUACAAAUAUUAAGUUUUUUUUUUUUGUAGAAAGAAAGUUUAUUUGGUAAAGUUUGAUCUCACUAAGAUUAAUGUGGACCGGUUAGAAUAUGCAUGUUUGAAUCAUAUUACAUGUAAUUUUCAUGUUACACAUCCAUACUUAAUCUAUGUCAUUUGGUUGUGCUAAUAUAUGUGAUUAAGGCUGGAUUUAGUUAUGAUAUAUGUAACAAAGUUGCAUUCUUUCUAUGUUAACAUAAUUAAUGGACAGAUUGUUCGAAAUACCUUUUAGAUACGAUAGUAAAAUUUUGAGCUCAUAAAGUUAUAUAAUGACAUGUAAUUAUAAGGUAAUCGGUAUAUAUAUAUGUCAUCCAAGUGGUAUAUAUGGACAUCACAUAUAUAAUAAGCAUGUUACAUGUUAUUAUUUACUAUCAUAAAAGAUUAACUCAAAUUAAAAGUGAUCUAAUUUGGUUAAGAUUUAUUGGAUUUUAGUUAUUAAAUAAAAUAUAGGUCAAUAAUAUGUGUAGAUACUCUAGUAACUAAUUUCUAAUUUAUGAUGGGCUGAUUAGAAAUUAGGUUAAUGUGAAAAUGUUAUAUAUUAGGAUUUUGGUCUCCAAGUUAUGCAUAUGUAACUUUUCUAAUAUCCCAUCUUGAGAAAAGAGAGAGUCACAUUCUUUAGAUUACUUGUGAGCUAAUUUGGAAGAUCAAAACCUUAAAAUUCGUAGAUUUCAAGAAAUCGGUAAAUUCAAAUACGCUUCUGCAUUUAGUUUUGUUCUUAAUUAUUUGACAUGAUAGAUUCUGGUUUAUUAAGUUUUGUAAAAGAGUUUUACGGUUUUAAUAGGAUAAUUACGAAUCCCAAAUAUAAACUGUAAAACGGACAUGAAGAAUAUAAAAGAAAUAUUACAAGAAUUUUGAAAGAGAAAAUUAAAUUGAAAAUUUUAAUGUUAUUUUUAUCUUUCAUAAUUAUUUUUAUUUAUAUUUUAUUUACAAGAACAUUUUAUUAAGAGUUUAUUAGGAUUAAGUUUAUUUUUACUUUUAUUAAAUAAAUGUUAGACUAAAAAUAAACUUUUUUUUCCACUGUUGGUAUAAUGGAUAGUAGGCUAGGUUGUCCUUUUUUAUUUGUUUAGGCACCCGUGUACGAGAAUAAUUUAUAUUAGAAUAGUCCUAAAGGUUAAAGAUUUUAAUAUUAAUAAAAUUUUGUCACAUCAUCAAAUUUUAAAAAUAUAAAAUUAUUAUUAUACACUCGUUCAUAUUAAAUUUACUUUUUAACUUUCGUUCUUUUUAAACAUAAAUAAUUAAAAUAAAAAUAGAAAAAUAGAAUAUUUAAAAUUUAUACAAUCCUUAAAGAUUUAAUCCAAUAUUUUUUUUUGUUUUAAAAAAUGUAUAAUAUGAAAUAGAAAAAAAAAUUAAAAUGGAAAAACUCCAUUGCCUAUAAACUAAUUUUUAAAAAAAAAUUGGUUACAAAAAUUAAAAAUAUUAACUUCUGAAAAAAAACUAAAAAUGAUUAAAAUUUAUAAAAGAAGAAAAGAUGUUUAUUUAUAAUUUAAAAAAAUUAAUUAUUUUAAGUAAUUUAAUUAAAGUUAAAUUAAGUUAAAGAAGAAAGGAGAAAUGGAUAAGUAUAUAAUAAUACAUAAUUUGUUAAAUAUAUAAAGAAAUUUAUUUGAUUUAGUACCUAAAUAUUAAUAUUCGAAACUCUCGAUUUUUCACAAUUUAUUCAAUCAAAUUUAGAUCCAACUUUAAUUAUAUUACAAAGACAUUCUAUUUUAUUAUUUUAUUAACGGGUGAAAAAACUUAGUUCAACCCAUAAACAUUGACCACAAAGGGAAAUUUGAAACACUUACCACCAAUCCCCUAUCAGAAAGUCUUUCCCACAUUCAACUAGAAAUCAGAGCUCACCAAAAUGUUUAUUCUUUUCAAUCUGAACCGACUCUACAAUCACUUAUUGCUCAUGGUCUUCAGCCUAUAAACCCAGAAGCAUUAUUAACUUCUAAAUCCAAAACACUAAUAUCAGCAUCCAACCCUACAAUGGUAGUCUUAUUGACUCAUUUAAACAAGUUUCCUUUGUCAAUCUAUAUUCCAUAUUGGGUAAUCUCCAAUAUUAAUUCAGAAUUUAGGAUAGCUGGAACAAGAAUAACAGCAAAGAUGCAAAGCGAAACGACUUGUAGGAGGAGGAAGAACCUUCUUUUGGGUACAAACCUGUAUAGCAUAUAAUAGGAUGUCCUGUAUAAUGUCACGAGAGCUAGUACCGUUGCCAAGCAGUAAUUAGUAGUGCUGAGUUUAGAAUAGGAAACGGAUCCAGGAGUCGAAAGAUAGAAAAAAUACUGAAGUGCGAGUGUCCGUAUGGAAACAGCAACCAAAAGCAUGUAACAGGUCCCAAACAAGGAAAGUGUUAUGAGAAUAAACAAGGACAUUGAACGGCUGGGUAGGAGAUACGCUGUUAAAACAGUUGUUGCCCAAAAGGUUAAAGUGUUGUAUAACCAAAACAUUGUGGACACGUCUAGUAUAUUUUCUAUUUUUUUUUCUUCAGCGGGUGGAGGACUUGGUACGGGUCCAGUGCUGGUUGAACCUAAAGAUAUGUCAUACGUGAGAUGGAAAUUCUGGGAAUUUGAAAUGGUAUCAGGCUGCUUUGGAGGGUUCAAAGUGGCAGUGUAUGUGGCUGUUAUAAUUAGCACUGUGACUACUAAAAAUGUGUUACGCGUCUCAUGUGGGAUUCCCUUCUUUCCACGACUUGCUAUUGUUGCAAUUUUUUGAAGAACUGACACCUUUCCUUUUAAAGAUUCGAUGGGGAUUGAAGAGAUGGAGGCUUUGGGAAGCGAGGAAGAGGAACCACGCAAACCUCCUGCUUUGCUUAUCAUAUCUUUAAUGGACUCCUUAUAGUCCACUCUCCCUUCAUCCAAUGGGUAUUGUGAUGGGAUAUCAAGUGCAGUCAAUCCCUCCGCAUUUUUGGCAUUGAUAUGGUCUCCACACAAGCGUUUCAGCAGUACUUUUACCACCUGUUAAUUAGAAUAUUCAUACAAGUAACCUUUGAGUAUAUAUAUACAUAAAUAAUUUUACUAGCAAAAUUAUCAUACCUGAGGUCUGUUUCUGAUAGUAGCAACAUGUAAAACAGUGUUGCCAUCAAUGUCUGCCCAACUCAGUAGUUCUUUCUCCCAACGGUUGGCAGCUUUAUGGCGGCUCCUUAUAAGCCACCCCACCAAGACUUGGAAAGCUUCAAACCUGUCAUUUUUUACGGCAAGAUGGAAAACCGUCUCAUCUCGAACAGUCACAUCUUCAAUAGCCUCGGGGCAAACCUCAAGGAACUUGAUCAAAAAAUCAACAUUUCCAUUUUGAACCACAUGAUGCAAAGGAGUGAAGCCCUCCCGCCCUUUGACACGAACAAGGCCUUCAUCAAACCUGAGGAGUCGAAGCACUGCUAGAGUUUUUUGAUUUUGCAGAGCCAAGUGCAUGGGGCUAAACCCAGCUUGGUUUAGCUUUCUUGCAAACGAUGGCUUUAAGUUGAUCAUCUCCAUCAUAAAAUCAAUAUGCCCUGCAGAAGCUGCUACAUGCAAAGGAGUAUGGAAAAAAGGUACAUCAUCGAUACGCUGUAAAACAUAUGGAUCAUUCAGAAUUAACUCAUACAAGAUGUUUAUGUCUCCUGUUUGUGCAGCACCUAUCAUCCUCUCAUCCAUAGCAAGGUGCGGAAAUUUGCAGAAUAUAGAAAUGGAGUGAAGAAAAAACGCUUUAGCAGAGGAUAUGAUUAUGUUAAGGAUAUAAUGAAGUGUUUGAUUAUUUUUUCCAGAUGAAGUGUUAGACAUUUUAUAGCACUUAAUUAUUUUGGAUUUAUAUGUGAUGUCAGCCUCUACACGUAUAUACGUGAAUGUCACCUAUUAGAAAGAAAUAGUAAUUAAAUUCAUAUUUAAUAUACAUUUUUAAUCUAAUUUUUUUAAUUCAAUUUAAUUUUAGUUAAAACGUUUAAAAACAUUUAUUUAAUCUAAUUUCUUUAAUAUAUUAAAUAAAAAAGAAAUAUUAAAUAAAUUGGAUUAGAGAAUAUAUUGAAUAUGGAUGAAUACUGUAUCAUACUAAUUUUAUGUCUCUAAAAAUUUUAUAUAUUAUUUAGUGGUUUAAUUUUUUAAGAACAUUUGAUAUAAUUCAUAAAGAAAACAAAUAAUAAUUAAUAAUAAAUUUUUUAAUAAAAAAGGUGUGAAAAAUGGUAAGUAGAUAAUAGCUAUUAUCGCUUACAACAUGUUUGGAUUAAAAAGAAGAAAAAAGAAGGGAAAAUUAAGUAAAUUGAGGGAAAGAAAAUUCGGUUUCUUUGUUUAAGUAAAGAAAAUUAAGUAAAUUUUUUAUCGUAUCAUUAGAUUUUAUAUUUUAGAUUAUUAUCUCUUCUUCUUCUUUUUAACUUGUAACAAUCUUAUUUUUAUUUUCUAUUUUUUUAGGUUACUAGAAAUAUUUAAUUUUAAAUUUGUUUGAUAUAUAUUUUUAAAAAUUUUAACAAUAUUUUUUUAUUAACUAUUUUGUUAAAUUAUUAGGAAUCCUUCAUUUAUAAUUUGGUUAAGAUUUUUUUUUUAGUUUGAUCAAAUAAGCUUAUUAAAAAAAGAAUAUACCAAUAUAUUAUUGGUUAACAUUUUAAUUAUUAUUUUAUAUAGAAUAUUGAUAUUUUUCUAUAAAUUUAAUUUGCUGUGAUUUAAUUUUGUUAUUAUAUAUUAUUUAUGAACUGUUAAAAUUAAAAAAUAAAAGUAAAAUAAUUCAUUUUCUUUCCUUUUCACAGUUUAGCAAAACAAGUCCACAGGCUCGUCUCAUUCAAAAAAAGUAAAUUAUAUAUAUAUAUAAGGGCUAGUUUUAACAAAUGAAAAAUAUAGAAAAACUAUAUUAAAAGAAAUGGGGAAGGGAAAAGAACAGAGGGAGAAACAGAAGAGAAUGAAAAAUAAAGAAAAGUUAAAAUAACAUAAAAAAAAUUAAGGGUGGGUUUGGAUGGGCGAUUGGGUGCGGUGCGGUGCGUUUAGCUUAUUUUUUGUCUCACACUACAGUGUCGCUACAGUAUCUAAUCUCACCGCCACCGCUGUUUUUACACUAACUGCAGGUAAACGCACCGCCCAUCCAAACCCACCCUAAAUUGAAUUGCUCAAAACGAAAAAAUUAUAGGAAUCGGUUGUAUAAAUCACCCUAAAAUUUUUGUUUGAAAGAUGAUUUAACAUGUCACAUCAGUUUAUCGUUACACCAUUAACGGAAAUUAACAGCUCAGUGACUAAAAUGUUACAACGUGAUAACGUAAAUGACUAAAAUGUAACGUUUCAAACAUAAGUGACUAAAAUGUAAGCAAAAGUGACUAUUUUAAUAAUUUACCCUUGCAUUUAUCCAAACAUACGCUUAACGUAAACAUUUUUUUAAUUAUUUUUAUUUUAUUUUAUUUUUUACCAUUAUCCGUUAUCCUUAUUUUUAAAAAGUAUAAUUAAUAAAUAGUAUAAUUAUUUUUUAAAAUUAAUUUUAAGUAAUACACCAAAUAGAUUUUAUAACUUAAAUUUAAUAUUUAAUUUUAUAAUUUUUUUUUAUCAAACAACGUUUACUCCUAAGUAAAUAAAUAAAUAAAGGCCUUGUGUAAUUAAGAAAGUUGAGAAAGAGUUAGUCCUCACAUUGGCUAAAAUAACGGAGGAAAGAGAAAAAUUGGCCAAUAAUGGGGAGGCAAUGUCAAUGAGCAUACCCCACACAUACUAUUUACUGUCAAUGGUGAUGGCUGAAUUGGCUACUAUACAUGGAUUUUGUUUUCCUUUUCUUUUUUGUUCUUGUCCUGUAUUAUUUGCAUUUGUGAUCCCAAACUAUGUAAAAUUCCAGUCACUAUGUGAUCACAUUUUAAAAAAAAAAUUAUUUAUUAUCGAUUGAGUAUCAGCUUGAUUGGUAUAAAUAUUAUUGUUAAUGUAUAAGAACAUAAAUUUGAGUGUGUUAAAGCGCAUUAUCCUCUUAUUUAUAGAUUGAGAAGUGGUUAUUGGUAGUUCUAGACAUUGUGUAGAAAAGAAUACAUAUAAUCAGAAUCUAUAUUAAAAUUUUUCAAAAAAAUAUAUUUAUUACACAUGAAUUAAAAGAAAUCUAUUUAUGGGUAGUUCAAGAUUGUUGAAGCUAUAAAAUAAAAAUUCAAUUCGAAAAUAUAAAUCUCUUUUGUUUAACAAAAUAUUAAUAAUUAGUUGAGUUAAUAUUAUGAGUCAAUCGAACACCAAUUUAAUUAAGAAAUUACGAAAAUAUCGUUCCAUAAUUAAAAUAAAUUAUAUUAUUUGAGGAUAUUUUAAUAUUUUUUAUGUAAAAAAAAAUCAAUAAAAAUAUGAAUAUGAUGGGAUUUGAAAUAAAAUCUAGAAUUUACCACUCAACCAAAAUUUUAUUUUAUUAUAUUUUAUACAUUUUUAUUUUAAUAAGCACACUUUAUUAUCUCCGUCAGUUAUAUAUAUAUUAAUAAAUUUAUUGAUUGAGUUGAUAUCACAAGUCAACUCAAUACUAACCGACAAUUGAAGACAACACUUUGAUAGACAGUUGUAGUGCAUUUAAUUAAUAUUUUUAUUUUGAUGUAUUUAUGUGUUUAAAUUUUAUUUUUGCUCCCAAAUUAAUUUAAUUUUUUAUUUUAAUGUCAUACAUAUUUUAUAUAUUCUUAUGAUUAAUUAGCUUCAAACCAUAUGUUUUAUUAUUUAUUUUAUUUUUUUAAGCAUAUAUCUGUAUUCCAAAUCUAAACGCAAUUGCUUAUGUUAGUCAAUGUUACAAAUUGAGAAAUUUAUUAAAACUAUUGAAAUCUUCACAUCUAACCUGGUUUUAUCAUGUUUGGAAGACGCUAUUGAUCUUCUUCAAGUGGUUUUUUCACAAAUAUACUAUUCAUAUAUAUAAAAUAUGAUGAGUAAUAAUGUAUAGUGACGUGUCCAAACACUAAUUGAUGAAAAAAGUGAGUAAUAUUUUAUUACAACAUGAUGCCUUUUCAUAGUAUAAAAUGACUAUGCGAAUGAGGGCUUCCUACCAUUACCAGAAAGCUGAGGCUGUAGGAAUGAUGGCUUUUGCAAGUUGUGAUUUUAGGAUUUUGUGUUUGAUUAUUGUUUAGUUAUGCUAAAAUGUCACAUAUGGGUACUGUUUUAAGUUAUGUGUGAAUUCUAAGUUGAAUAUGUAGCCGCCUAAAAUAUUUAGGAGCGCUAAUUGAGAUCAUUACGAAAGAAAAUUGUAUUCUAACGGUGUAUGAAAAUUUGGACAAAAAUCUCAACUUUUUAUUUUUUUUUAAAUUUUAUUUUUGCUCCCAAAUUAAUUUCAUUUUUUAUUGUUGUACAUAUUUUAUAUAUUCUUAUGAUUAAUUAGCUUCAAGCCAUAUGUUUUAUUAUUUAUUUUAUUUUUUUAAGCAUACAUCUGUAUUCCAAAUCUAAACACAAUUGAUUAUGUUAAUUAAGGUUACAAAUUGAGAAAUUUAUUAACACUAUUGAAAUCUUCACAUCUAACCUGCUUUUAUCAUGUUGGGUAGAUGCUAUUGAUCUUCUUCAAGUGGUCUUUCACGAGUAUACUAUUCAUAUAUAUAAAAUAUGAUGAGUAAUAAUGUAUAGUGACUGUCCAAACACUAAUUGAUGAAAAAAGUGAGUAAUAUUUUAUUACAACAUGAUGCCUUUUCAUAGUAUAAAAUGAUUAUGCGAAUGAGGGCUUCCUAACGAUGGCUUUUGCAAGUUGUGAUUUUAGGAUUUUGAUUGUUUGAUUAUUGUUUAAUUAUGCUAAAAUGUCAUAUAUUUGUGAGCCCUACACUCACAUCAAAUUUAGAUAUGACAAACAUGAUUUAAAACAAAACCAUAUUAUAUUACUAGCUGUGAGCAAUUUAAAGAAAUUGAAUUUCUUUUUUACAAUUUUAAGUUAAUCAAUUAUUUGAUUUUUUAAAAUUAACUUGAAUGAGUGAUUUUGUUUUUCAAGUUUAAGUCAAGUUGAAUUUUACAACUCAAAUAUAAAUAUCUCUUGGGUCACUGAUAGUUUUAAAAAUGUACAAACUGAUCUGUCUCAAAAAUUUUAAAAAUUCAAAAUGAUCUUCUAAAACUCAAAAUAUUUAUAAAAUAUUUUCCCAAAAUUUUAUAAAUACAUAUAAAUUCAAAGAAUUUACCACUUAAAAAUAUAUAAAAAAUAUUAAAUUAUAUUUUUUGAAAAAAUUAAUAAAAUAAAUUUGAGGUCUUAAAUAAGUAACUUAUUAAUUCAAUUUUAUCAUACUAAUUAUCUUGUAUUCCAAGAGUUUUCAUAUAUAUCAGGGGCGAAGCCAGAAAAUUUUUUUUUAGGGGGGCAAAAUGAAUUUUUUAUUUUUAAUAGUCUAUAUCUUUAUAUUAAUAUUUGAACUGGUAUAAAUUAAGAUUGUUACGUCUAACAUUUAUAUCGAAUAAUUUUUACUAUAGAGAAAAGAAGUAAAAAUAAUAAUAUAUGAUGUAAAAUUAUUAAUUUGAGUCUUAACACAGUCGGUAUUUGUAUGUUGUUUAUGUAAUAUGGAGUGAGUUCAAGUAUGUUCAUGUGUAAUUUUUCUUUCUAUUUAAAGGUUGGAGAGGAGUUAGGGUGAAGCUAGAAUUUAUUUUUUUUGGGAGACGAAAUUAAGUUGUAUAUUUUUAUGAGAGUUAAAAUACAAUUUCACAAUUUCAAUAGAUUAUAUGUUUACAAUUUUUAAAGAACUAAAUCAAUAUUUUAUCAUUUUUUGGGGCUAAAGUACAAUUUUACCAUUUAUUAACUUAAAAUUUUAUAAACUUAAUUUAAAGGGUUAAAAUUUGAAUUUCACAUUUUAAAGGGAGGGAUAGAAACCCUUCUAGGCUCCCCUCUUGCCGCCCCCCUAAGAUGAUAUAAAGUAAAGCAAUAAGUGUCUAAAAUAUAUGAAUUAUGAGUACUGAUUACACUUGACCAAUUGCUUUUCUUCAAACAAAGCAAACACUAAUGCACAUGAAAAUGCAAAUUCACAUGCAACCUAGAUAUGCAUUCUAUAUACAAUGCAAUGCAAUGAAUAAAUAAAUAAAUAAAUAUAUAUUAUUUAAUCAUGAGAGUUUUGAUCCCCUUGUGAUUCUUUAACCAACCAUUCUCACACCUAAUUAUAAUUCUAGUAUAGUAAAAGUACGUGAGUGAGUUGAAUGGAUGGUGGUUGUUUGACAUAACAUGUAGAAAGUGAAAAAAUAGUUGAAAAUAAAUCAAGUAUUAAAACAAAAAAUUUAUGAAAGAAAUUCUAGUAUUAUCAAUUUUUCGUGAGGCUCAAAGCUAUUUGGAACAAAAAUAAAAUCAAUGUGUAUAGGCUUAACAAAAUAGCUAUCAUCUUGCAUUGUUAUUUCAUCCUAACCUCUUCCCUCAUAACUUCAUCUUCUAUUUUCUGUUUGACAUUAUCAAAAGUAAAACAUAGUUUUUUUAGGUUUUUCGACUAUUUAUGCAUCAAACUUUUAGGCCAUUUUGGACAUCUUCAUAAUGUUUUUGGGCUUUAAUCUAAGAAAUAAAUUUAGAUAGAUCUUUCAAGUCACAUCAACAUUUCAUAAAUGAUUUAAUAAAUGAGUAAUAAAAGGAUUUAGGGUUAAUGUGCAAAUUUGUCACUAUACUUCAAUUUGAUUGGUAUUUGAUAUUUGAUAUUGAAUUUUAUUGCUUUAAUUUAAUUGAAUUUUGCCACUAAAAUUAGAAUUUUUAUUGAAUUUUCUAUUCAAUUUAAAUUUAAAAUAACUUGAAGGCUAAGUUGAUUAAAAAAUAGUUUUAUAUUUCGCUUUAAUAUUAAAAAAUAAUAAGUUAAUUAAUAUAAUAUUAAAUUUAAAUAAAAUAGUUAUUUUAUAAAAUAAAUUUUUUUUUCUCUUUUAUGAGAUAUGGACUCAUUAACAAUAGAAAUUCUAAUUUAAUUUAUUAAUUUUUAAUAUUUAUAAGUUAAAUUAUUGUUAAAUAUUAAAAUAAAAUAUUUGAAAGAAUUUUUCUUAUUAUAUAUAUUAUGUUUUAAAAUCAUCAAAUUAAUAUUGAGUGGUAAAAAUUAAUUAAAAAAUUGAUUUGGAGAAAUUUUUUAAUAAAAUUGAAAAUUUAUAGUAAAAUUCAAUCACAUAAUAGUUGAUUGAUAAAUUUACACAAAAACUUAAAAUAUAGCUAUGAAUAUCAAUGAAAAUAAAGUAUAGUAGCAAAAUUCAAAGUAUAGUGACAAAUCAUAUAAGUUCAAUGAAUAAAAGAAAUAAAAAAUUAAAUAUAUGAUUAAAAAGAUUUUUUUUUUUUUACGAAAUUGAAAGAUCAAAUAAAUCAUUAUACGUAAUAUAAACAAAAUCACAAGUAUCCUUAAACUUGGCUUAAUUGCCAAUUAGACAAUUUAGGAUGUCAGAUGCAUAAUCAACAAUUUGGAGAUAAAAGGAUGAAUAACCAAGUAUUUUUAUAAAUAAAUUUGUUUUAGAAGAAUGGGAUGAGUUUUAGAGUAUAUAGAGAAGUAGGGUAGUUCUUCCUUCUCCGCAUAGUGGUUUUGCCUACAAUAAUGAAGCAAAGGGAAAAACACGAGGAUGAGAUGCAAUGAAUUCCCCUUGCAUACCCAAUACGUACUAUUUACUAUUUCUUUUCCCACUGAGAAGUUGGUAUUUUGGAAUUAUCGUUUUCAGCUCUACAAAUGUUCUUGGUGCUGUGUCUGUCUUUCUUUGGUGGGUUCUUGCUUUCUGAAUCUGGUUCUACUGUCGAUUUGGAUGGUUAGGAUACAGCGCUUCAGGCAACUGAUGUUCAAAAGGUUCGAUGGCAUUGGGGAUAUGAUGAUUUUAAGUUUAUUGUCGCCCCAUCAGUUGGUUGUUUGGGUGCACAACUAAAUUUUAGUAUUAUUUUAUUUUCCAUAAUUAUAUUUAUUUAAAUUUUAUAAAUAUUUUCUAAGUCUUAAGAUUUUAUUUUUUGCAUUUUAUGAUUUCUUUUUUUGGAUUUUUAAUGGUUUUUAAAUUUUUAUAAUUUUUCUAAAAUGUUUUAAGUAUUUUGAUUGUGUGAGGUUUUGUGAAUGAAGCGAAGGGUAUCUUUAUUGUGGUGAACUUUUAAUUAGCUCAAAAUGAAGUGAUUUAUUACGUCGUGUGAUUUACGGAUAAGUGUUAAAAAUGAAAUGAAUUGUUGAAUUUGAAAACAAUGGUGUAAUAUUGCAGGGAUUUCCAACAUUAUCAUAAAUUUUAGUGAAUUUAGAGACGAAAUCACAGGUCCACUGAGUUUUGUUCAAAUUUAGGGAUUUCAUCGUCAUAUACGGUCGAUUUGGAUAGUUAGCAUACAAAGCUUCAGAUCAUUGAUGUUCAAAAGGUUUGGUGGCCAUGGGUAUAUGUUGAUUUUGAGUUUAUUGUUGCCCCAUAAGUUAGUUGCACUAAAAAAAUGGGUAUUACCGAUGCUAAAAAUUGUUACUAAAAUUUUAUUGUAGCAAUAAAAGUUGUUGCGGGAUUGUUGUGUAUAUCUUUGUUGUCUAAAAUAUAUGCAACUCUACUCAAUUACACAAUAUUUACUCUUAAAUAUGACCUAUUCAACCACCGAUUUCAGCACAUUAAACACAAAUUAAUAAUCUAGAAAUAUCAAACCAAGAAUUAAAUACACAUAAUUGAGAACAAUAAAUUAAGUGUUUAUUGCAUAAAAUAAAAAAUAAAUGAUAGAAUCCAUCAUAGAGUUCACCUCCCUAGGUAUUUAGAAAAUUAGUUCAAGCUUGAAAAUAAAAACAUCCAAGAAAUAGUACAACCAAAAGAAAUAAAGAAAUUCAUGAUAAUCUCCUAAGAAAUCAACUGAGAAUCUUCAAUCUUGACAGAAAUUUGCUUCCAACUUGGCUUCAAUGGUAUUUUUCGAGUUGUUUUCUUGAAUAUUUUAUGACGGCACUCUCAUAUCUUCUUAAUUUUGUCAUAUAUACGUCUUAGAAUGCCCAAAAAACUUAAAAAUUGUGAUUUUAUGCUGUUUGUGUGGCAAUUCCACGAAAUCGACACAGCCUACUACACACCAGUGUGGGUCAUACGACUGUGUGCUUUCCUCGUGUGAAAUUUAGAAAAUGCAAAAGAUUCCCUAUGCACUAGCUGCUGGAAUCUAAUGUAUGCUCAAGUAUGUAUGCGUCCAGAUAUUGCAUACAUUGUUGGGAUGUUAGGCAAACAUUUAAGCAACCCUGGUAUAGACCAUUGGAUAACAACUGAAAGGGUUAUGAGGUAUCUUUAGAGAACAAAAUAUUACAUGCUCACAUAUUGGAUGUUUGAUAAGUUAGAGAACAUCAAGUUUACAGACUCCAAUUUUGAUGGAAUAUUGAUGCAACAUUUUGCCACUAGAGUGCAAACUGUGACAAUAAUUAGUAGUCUCUUAUUCCAAUAACAAUAAAAGCACAUCAAAGUCAAAGCACAUAGACUUUAAGUUCAUAGUUGUUAAAAUAAAAGUUCAGGGUGGUUAGAUGUCUAUAAAGUAUAUUGAGACAAACUUCAUGAUUGCGGAUUCGCUUACUAAGGGACCACCACCCAAAGUUUUUUUCAUGAGCACACUAUUGAUAUGAGUGUAAUGUCAUUCACUACAGAAUAAGUUUUUAGUGGCGUUAUUUUGGGGCUAUAACUGCCUUAUAAGCGUCGCUAAAACAACUUGCGGCGUUUUGAAAAGCACCGCUAAAAACGCCACUAUAGAACAUGACCUUUAGGGGCGCUUUUCCCACAAAUGCCGCUAAAAGUAUGACCUUUAACAGUGUUUGUGGGGCAAACGCCACUAAAGAACAUGACCUUUAGCGGCGCUUUCUCCACAAACGUAACUAAAUGUCAUGUUCUUUAGUGUCGUUUUUAGUAAAAGCGCCGCUAAAAUUCAUGUUCUUUGGCGACAUUUGUGGAAAAAUGCUACUAACUUUAGCAGAUUUUUACCAACCCAUUUUCAUUCAUAUAGAAUCCUAAUUGUUAACAUAAUUUCCUGUAACAUCAAAUCCAACCAAAAACUAAAAAUUUAAAUGAUACUUCAAUUCCAACGAAAGAAAUAUGUAUGUGAUCUAAAUCAGUAAAUGAAAUAACAAAAUAUAUUAUAUUCAAAAGUUAUAUUGUUAAAAUAUUCUCACAAUAAGAAAACAAACAUCUAAGAUGAUGGAUUCUACGACUGUUGAAACAUCUUCAUCAUAUUCUGAAGCUGUAGCUGGAGUUUGUCAUAUUUUUUGCUUGCCCCUGCUUCCCUUGCUGCCGCCUCCGCUUUAAGUUAUAGUUGGAGUUUUUCAUAUUUUCUUUAAGUCUUUGCUUUUCUCGAUGCUGCCUCCACUUUAAAUUGAGCAAUUUGCUCAACUGUGCUCGCUUGCAUUUGAACCAUCUGGUCUCUUAACCUCUGAACUUCAGCUUGAGCCUGAUUCUCUGAAGGCAUGUAUUGUUGCGAACUGGAUCCAAAAUAUUGGGUUGGGUUAACAAAAUAUCCUUGAAAUCAAACCCGACCAUACUUUUCGAGACCCAAAACUUCGGUAAUAAUUCAGUUAUCAAUGUCAUCAAUAUUAACAGAACUAUCACUUGAAGCGAUCGCUUCAUACUCUGCCCUUUUAUCCUUUAGUUUCUCCUAAUAAAUCAACCAAAGAGUUAGAAACGAAAUAUAUAAUCAAAACAAAUGCAAUAUAACUUUGGGAGUCUAAUGUAUGCUCAAGUAUGUAUGUGUCCGGAUAUUGUGUACAUUGUUUGGCUGUUAGGCAAACAUUUAAGCAACUCUAGUAUAGGCCAUUGGAUAACAAUCGAAAGGGUUAUGAGGUAUCUUUAGAGAACAAAAUAUUACAUGCUCACAUAUUGGAUGUUUGAUAAGUUAAAGAACAUCAAGUAUACAGACUCCAAUUUUGAUGGAAUAUUGAUGCAAAAUUUUGCCACUAUAGUGCAAAUUGUGACAAUAAUUAGUAGUCUUUUAUUCCAAUAACAAUAUAAGCACAUCAAAGUCAAAACACAUAGACUUUAAGUUCAUGGUUGUUAAAAUAAAAGUUCAGGGUGGUUAGAUGUCUAUAAAGUAUAUUGAGACAAACUUCAUGAUUACAGAUUCGCUUACUAAGGGAUUACCACCCAAAGUUUUUUUCAUGAGCACACUGUUGAUACAGGUGUAAUGUCAUUUAAGGAUAUUUGACUUUAGUGGGAGUUUGUAUUUUUAAAUUUUUUUAUGUUACAGACACAUCGGUUAUCUCAGUUUACGAAUAUUAAGUUUAUUUUCUUUAGAAAUAAAGUUUAUUUGGUAAAGUUUGACCUCACUAAGGUUAAGGAGGACCAUUUAGAAUAGGCAUGUUUGAAUCAUAUUGCAUGUAAUUUUCAUGUUACACAUCCAUACUUGAUCUAUGUCAUUUGGUUGUGCUAAUAUAUGUUAUUAGGGAUGGAUUUAGUUAUGAUAUAUGUAACAAAAGUCACAUUCGUUCUAUGUUAACUUAAUUAAUGAAUGAGAUUAUUUGGAAUACCUUUUGGAUAUGAUAGUAAAGUUUUGAGCUCAUAAAUUUAUAUAAUGACAUGUAAUUAUAAGGUAAUUGGUAUAUAUAUGUGGCCAAGUGGUAUGGACAUCACAUAUAUAAUAAGCCUAAUUACUCCAAAAUCCUUGCAGCCCUUUAAUGACUUUUAAGCAAUCAUAACCAUUUUAUUUACAGGUCAUUUGUAUGAAGGAACUUUGUGGUCAUGAUCGAGAGAUUCGAAUUUAGCAUAUUUACAGAGAAGGAAAUCUUGUUUCAGAUUUCUUGGCCCAUAUGGGAUUCCGGCUUUGAUCUAAGUUUACUACGAGAGCCACCUGGAAAUGCUCUCUCAAUUUCAACUAUACUAUGUGAUGAUAUUGCUAGUUCUUUGCCCUAUCGCCUGUGCUCAUUUGUGGUUAAUUAGUUUGUAAUAACCCAAAUUUGCCCAGGCUUACAACCCAAAAAUAAACAGAAAUAAAACCCAAAAAUAAAUAACAAGGCCCAAAUAAUAAUAGCCCACAAAACUUAAAAAAAAUCCAGCCAACUGAAACCCUAAUGCCCUCAUAUACGCCGCACCUCCUCCUCGGACACACUGCUCGUACCUCGUCCCAAGGUCUGACUCUUCCCAUAACAGCCCAAUUUUCAAUGAUAUCAGAAACAAUGAUUUUGGAUCACUAAAUCUGAUAAGUAAGCUUGAAAAUUUAAUAAUUAAUAAUUACGGGUCAAGUGUGAAUUUAGAAGAAUUUUUGAAUUAGUGAAUUUUGUUAUUUAAAAAGAAUUUAAUAGGUAAAUCGGGUCUAAAAUGAGGUAUCGAGACCUCGAAUCCAUAAGUCAACACAUAAAUAUUUUUAUAAAUAUUUAUGGAGUGCCAUUGAGUUAGUAUUAAAGUUUCAUCAGAAAAUUUUAACGUUUUGAUAGUCAAUUAAUUAAAAAGGACUAAAUAGAAAAGAUGCAAAACUUGCUAAAGUGAUUAAAUAGCCUAAAAAUUAAAUAAGGAAGGCCUAAAAGAUAAAAUGGACCAAUUUAAGUGGCUGAGGUGGCAUACGGUUAAAAAAAUUAAAGAUUUUUAUGUAUUUAAGGGCAAAAUUGGAAUUACAAUAAAGUUUAUGUGGCCAAAAUUUAUUUUAAGGAUUUCAAGACCAUUUCUUCUUGAAAUUUCGGUGUAAAACAGCCAUGGAAGAGGAUUGAGAGCUGAUAUUUUAUAUUUUAGCUUCAAGUUCAAUUCUUGUUUUUCCCUUGAAAUUUUUAUAUUUUUGGACUUUUACAAUUAGGUCCAACUUAGUAUUCUAUUAGUUUUUUAUUUUGUUGAAAGUUUUGGAAGAUACCAUUGAUAAGUUCAUAUGAUUUUUAUUAUUUGGUGAUGAAAUUGAGAUGUUAAUGGAUGUUUAAAGGUGUUUUAUUAAAUAAUUUUGGAUGAAAAUAUGUUUUAGGGAUUAAAUUGAAAAGUAUUGAAUUUGUGGAAAAUUCUAAAAUUUUAAGAAAUCCAUGGGCUUUCAUUGACAUGUAUGCGAAUGAUUAGGCUUGUAUCAAUGAUUAAAUUGAAAUAAUUUCAUUUUCCGAGCCUAGGGAUGAAAUCGUCAUGUAUUAAAAGUUUAGGGUCAAAAUGGUAAUCAAUAUAUUGCACUAAAAUAGUUUUGGGUAGUAGUAGUGUGCCAACUUUGAAAAAUCACCAAAAACUGUGGGAAUCGAAUUAGAAGAUGAGUAAAAGAUGAAAUUAAAGCUUAUUGUGUCUAGUUUCUCAUAGAAGAAACAGUGUAAGCAAUGGAAUUAUAAAUCAUGAGAUAUAAUAAAUUUUGUGAGACAGAGUCAGAAUAAUUUUGGAAUCCCCUGUUCUAAUUUUGGAAAAUCAUUAAAAAUUGUAUAAAAAUAAUUAUGAGUUAUAGUUUAUAUGUUUAAAAUCCUGAAAGAGUUUAUUUUCAAGAGAAACAAACAAGAACAUCACCCAAACUCUGUACAAUGAGAUAAUUACUUUUUGGUGAAGAGAGGUCAGAACUGUCAAACAGUGAAACAGGGGAGAAUUUAAAGAAUAAACUGUAUUUAUUGGCUAAGCCAAAAAUUCUAAAAAUUUUAUGGUAAAAUGAUAUAUGAGACUAGUUUCUGGAAAAAUUAACAAAUCUUAAUUUAGAGCUUCGUAGCUCGAGAUAUAAAUAAUUUAGUGACUCUGACUCGGAUAGACAACUUUGAAUUUAUGUAUAAGUAAAUCGUGAAAAUAUAGUUAAUGUUAUUUAAGCAUGUUAUAUACAUUAAGGAUGUGGAAUGGAGAGGAGGAGGAGGAAAAUUGGAAAAUAUAUGAAUGACUUGUGUAUGAAUUGGUCAUAUGCCUGAUUAUAAUCGAUAAACGUUGAAUUUGAAAUGAUAUAAUGUUUUAUUUCAAAUAGUUAUUAUGAAAUUAUGAUUAUCAUUAUGUUACAAAAUUUAAUUGUAAGUUCAUAUGGCAGAAUUUUAAUGAUUAAUUGUUAAUUUCAUAAUUAUAUAAUAUAUGAUGGGAUAUAAUUGUUGAUGAAUUGAGAAUAAAAUAACAAUGCGAAAAUCGAAUAAAUGAUCAAAUUUAGUGGAACGUCGGAUUUGAGUACUUCUGAUCAGUGACAAGUGAUAUAUGAUUUCCGUGUAAGACCAUAUUUGGGAUAUGGCAUCGUUGUGACAUGUGUUUCCGUGUAAGACCAUAGCUCGGCUAUGGCUUCGGUGUGUGAUAUGUAACGAUGUGCAAUACCAUAGCUAUACUAUGGCAAUGUGGAAACAAAGUACUCAAUUCCAUAAGACGUUCUCUAAUUUAUCAAAUUGUGGUAAGUGUUAAGCAAAUUUUAUGUGAUAAAACAUAUUGAACAGUGAAAUUGAGCUGAAUUAUGUGAUCUCAUCAUUCAGAGAUUGUGUUUGAUAGGUUAUGUUAAUAAAUUAUGUGUAUGUGAAUUUAAGUGACAGAAAUUAAACAGCUAAUGAUAUUGAGCUCAUUUACAUGAAUCUGUCAUUUGAAAUUGUGAUUGACAGAAAGAAAUAGUGAAUUGAAUAUGAAAAUGUGAAUAGAAAGCACAAACUAAAUGUUCUUGCGAUAAAUAAUGGCUCAAUGUGAUAGUAAAUGAUGUUAAUCUAAUGAAAGUUAAAUUGAAUUGUAAAUGACUUGAAUUAUCCGAAAAUGUUCUAUAAUCUCUGGUAAUGUCUCGGAACCCUAUUUCGGUGACAGAUACGGGUAAGGGGUGUUACACUUCCCCUGGCCACCUUGCCUAGCCUUGUAAAACAAAAUAGAAGAAGAAGAUAGAAGCGAAAAUAGCAGGGGAUAGCAGAAAAUAGUAGCAUAAUCGGCUGUAAAAGCCCCAAUGAAAUGUAAUUUAUUUUUUUUCUACGGAUAAUCAAAUAUUAAGAGAACAAAAUAUCAAUCGAAAAUCCUGAAGGUUUACUUCUACUGUUGUUUUAAGUUUUGGUUCAUUUUUAUUCUGCCUUUUAUUUUUCAUUUUUUUACAUACAAAGAAAGGAAAAAGAAACAGAAAUAAAAUACCAUAGUUUUAAAACAACAAAGGAAUUUCUUUGCAUAUUUAUCGAAAAUAGAGCAUAUAUACAUAGAUAUAUUCAAAAAAACACAAGUUUUUUUAACCUCUGUUGUGACUGAAGAAGGUGGAACCAAAUGGUUUUUUUUCGCCUUUUCUGAAUUUCAAAGGGGUUUCUUAGGAUUUUAACCUCGGAUUGAGAUUUGGGAGGCCGAAUAGGUCGAAAAGGGGCCUUUUUUUGAACUCCGGUCGACGUAUACGGCGGCAUACGGUGGUGGAUGACGGUGGACGGACGGUUGCCCAGUGACUAGGGUACAGCUAGACCACGACCGGAGGAAAAGGGAUUGAGAGAGAAUCCCCUGAUUUUUUUUGGAAAAAGAAGAAAAUGAAAUUUUUAAAAAAAAAUUGACUUAACUAGGGCCCCUAAACGGCGCCAUUUAGGGCUGGUCAUAAUAGCCCUAAAACGAUGUCGUUUUGCCCAAGACCCGCGCAUGUGACCCGACCCGCCAGAGGAUCCGCGUGUUUUUAACUUUUGGGCUAUUUGCGCUUUAGGCCCUUCAUCAUUUUUGGUCUAUUUCAAUUUAGUCCUUUUGCAUUUUUUCUUUAUUUUUUAAUUUAGACCACAGAUUUGUCUCGGUUUUCAAUUUGGUCCUCAAUUCGUUGGACCCCUGGGGAGGAGAUGCGUGGCCUGGAAAACUGGUUUAUUACCCAUUUGGCCCUCCUCCCUCUCGCGCUCUUUCAUUUUGGUCUUUCUUUAUUCAUUUUAUUAUAGCUUUGACCUUUAAAUUUCAUUUUUAUCCCGAGUUAGUCCAUCUUUGUUAUUUUUGUUAUAUUAUUAAUUAAUCUAAUUAUUAUCAUACUUAUAUUUUCUUUUUAUAUUUACUUAUUAUAUUAUUAUAUUAUACUAUUAGUUUUGUAUUAUUAUUAUUAUUAUAUUAUUAUUAUAUUUAUAUUUAUAUUUACUUAUCUAAAUUUUAAAUAUAUUUUGUCUUAGUAUAUAUUAUUAUGUAAUUACUUAUAUCUUUUGUAUUUUUUUAACUCUAGAUUAUUCGCUAUUCUAUUAUUAAUAUUAUUAUUGUUAUUAUUUACUUAUUUAUAUCCUUUUUAUUUCAAACUUUGUUAUAUAUAUACAUACAUACAUAUAUUAUUUUUUAUAUUUUUAUAAUCUUAUUUAUUUUCAUUAUUGUUAUUAUUGUUUUACUUGAUAUUUAUUUAUUUAUGUGUCCAUUAUUAUUUUAAGAAACAUUUUAGUUCUGUUUGUUUAUUUACUUGUUAUUUUAUGUAUAAUUGAUUUGUCCCCUUUUUUUAUUUAUUUAUCUUAUUUUCGUUGUUGUUGCUCGUAUUAUUUAUGCUUACAUCAUUGUAUUUAUUAUUGUUUUGUUACGCAUAUUAACCCCGUGUUUUAUUUCUACCAUUUCGUGUUAGAUUAAUCUCAUUUGAUGCAUAAAUCAUGACUUUAAAACAAGUAAAACUAGAUAUUUUGAGAUCCGAAAAGGUCGUGCCCUAACUUACGGGGCUUUGAUUUUCUCGAUAAAUUCAAAUACACGAAUCUUUUCAAACAUAAGUUUUUUAAGUGAUCUCGGGAAUUAAUAAAAGAUCGGGUUCUAACUUACGGGACUUGAUUUCUUUUCCAAACCCGAGAUAAUCAAAUCGAAUAUCCUUCAAAUAAAUAAAGCUUUUGGCAUUUAUUCUCGAAUCAAGUAUUUAAAUAUAUUGUGUCCUAACUUACGGGAUAUAAUUCUCUUUCUCGAUUAACGCGAAAUAUGCCCUUUUCUUGAAAACUUUCAGCAUUUUAACAAAGGAUUGUAUUUUGAAUCUUUUCAAAGUUUCCAAUUCUCGACACUAAGACACUAAUUAAUCAACCAGGUACCAAUUUCUAGGCGUUAUGAGGGUGCUAACCCUUCCUCGUAUGUAACCGACUCCCGAACCCAUCUUUCUGAAUUUCGUAGACCAAAAGCGUUGUUUUAAUAAAUCGAACCGUUUUGUUAAAAAUAACCAUUUUUUGAGUUGACCUGAUCACACCUCCUCAAAAAAGGAUUGGUGGCGACUCCCAUAUUCAUUUUCGUUUUAAAAAUCCAAGUCGACCUCUUUUAUCAAAAAAUGGUUUCGACAUAGUUGUUAAGGCUUUUGCCUCUUUCUUUUAUUAAAAAAAAAAGCUGGGCACGAUGAAUCGACCUUAGCUAGUAAAAAACUUCAAUCACCGAAUUGCAUAAAAUUCUAACUUAAAUUCAAAUGCAGAAGCAGGAUCGUUUAUCAAUCCACAAUAUCAACAAAUCUCAAUUCAAACACAAAAUUAACCGGUGAAAAAAAAUAGUUCAACCCAUAAACAUUUACCACAAAGGGAAAUUUGAAACACUUACCACCAUUCCCCUAUCAGAAAGUCUUACCCACAUUCAACAACUAGAAAUCAGAGCUCACCAAAAUGUUUAUGACGAAGCCAUUUUUUUGAAAAGGGUCGACUUUUUAUUUAAAAACGAAAAAGGGAGUCACCACUAAUCAUUUUUAUGAGGUGUGAUCGGGUCACCUCGUAACGGUUUAAUUGAUUAAAAUAAAAAUUUUGGUCUACAAAAUUUAGAAAAAUGGGUUCAGGAGUUGGUUACGUACGAGGAAGGAUUAGCACCCUCGUAACGCCCAAAAUUGGUACCUAAUUGAUUAAUUAAUGUCUUAAUGUUGAAAAUUAAAAACUUGAAAAGAAUUUAAAAUACGAUCCCUCUUUAUUAAUGUUAUUUUUUAGUUAAAAUUUCUUGGAUAAAUCAAAAUGUGUGCUUAAGACUUUCUCGUCCCAAAGUAGCAAAAAUAUUAUGUCCCGUAAGUUAGGACACAACACUUUGAACUUUGGAGAAUGAACUUGCCUUUAUUUUUUAUUUUAAAUCUUAUUAUUUUGAUUUUAAAAGGAUAUUCGGUUAUUUGAGUUCAACGAGAGAAUCGAAACCCCGUAAGUUAGGUACGAUUUCCUGAAUCUCCAAAAUAUGAAUUAUUGCCUAUUCUUUUGAAAAUUUUCCAUUUUUAUGAAAUUGGAUGAAAAUUAAUGAUAUUUAAAAUGAUAUGCAAUAUAAAAUAAAAUAUUAUAAUAACCAUGACGUAAUUACAAAGAUGAAUGCAAUAUUGUUUGGUGGAAAAUGUUUUCCGAAAAAUAUUUUCUGAAUUUUCCAGCGUUUGUUUGGUGGAAAAUGAAUUCCUAAAGUAAAACAUUUUCCAAACACGGGUAAAAUUAGUCCCCAAUUUUUGGAAAACGUCUUACUAAUUUGGAAUCAGUAAGAAAUUUUCCCGUUCUCCCUUCUCUACACUCUCGUUCUCCCUGCCUCUCUAAACCAAUCUUAGGGCUCAUUGAGCUGGUUCCGGGCUAUUUUUCCCCCUUGAUUUCUUCUCCUUUUUAUAAAUUAAUUUGGGGCUUUUCAUCACUGUGUGUUGUUUUUGUCUGGGAUCUCUUGCAUGGGUUUUCUGCUAGUUUGGGUUCUCUGUGCUCAGGCUUUCUACAAAUUCUGCUCUUCCUCUCUUGCUUGGGUCGGGUUUUUGUUACCGUUUUGUAGCCUGUGGCGUUUGGCUUGUCUUGGGCAAACUUUCUUCGCUGACUUUCUUUAGAAAGGUAUAUUUUCUAUUUUCACUUCCAUUUUCUACUUAUUUUUUAGACGCAAAAUUUCUUAGCAAUUCUUUUAUCUUGAACAAACAAUGUUUUGAGGUUUUGGGUCGUUUCAUAAAGUAGAAAAGGAAUCGAACUGUUAAUAUUCUUAAGAUUGAGAAAUUGAGGACACGUUUGGUUCGCUGUAAUGGAAUAGAGGCGUAAUAGUAAUUCAACUGUUUGGUCGAAUGGAAUGGAAUAGAGCUAUAAUAGUAUUCUUGUGUUUGGUUGAAUGGAAUUAUGUUGUAAUAGCAUAAGGAAAAAAACUAAAAUGAGUAUACCCUUAGCAGAAUUUUUUUAGGUAGAUGAUUAUUAUUAUUCUUAUUAAAUUUUAAUAAGAUUAUUAAUAUAAAUAAUAAAUAAUAUAAUCAUAUUUAACAUAAUUAUUAUUAAAUAUAAUUUAAUAAAAAAUAUAUAAUUUAAUAAAAUUCUUAAUAUAAUUAUUCUUAUAUUAAUUUCCUAAAAUCAUAAUAUAUAAUAAUCACUACACCAAAACAGGUUUUUAGCGGCGUUUGGAUAAAAAACGUCGCUAAAAAUUGAGCAUUAGCUGCGAUUUACGUCAAACGCAGCUAAAGAUCGAGCAUUAGUGGCGCUUCCAAGAAAGCGCCUCAAAAAAUGAGCAUUAGCGGCGUUUAUCCAAAAAACGCCGCAAAAAACGUAAACCCAACGGCAUCGUUUUUGACCUUUCGGGGCUUUAGCGGCGCUUUUUCAAAAGCGCCGCUAAUACUCGGGUCUUUAGCAGUGCUUUUCCCAAAAUGCCGCUAAUGCUCUAGUCUUUAGCGGCGCUUUUUCAGAAGUGCCGCUAAUGCUCGGGUCUUUAGCGGCGCUUUGUCAAAAAUGCCGCCAAAGCUCGGGUCUUUAGCAGCGCUUUUUCAAAAAUGCCGCUAAUGCUCGUGUCUUUAGCGGCGCUUAAUCCCAAAUUGAUCCUCCAUACCAAAAUGAGUGGAAAUGAGUUUAAAAGAUGUCCAAAACAUUAACAUUUAAACAUUUGUUAAGAAAUUUUCUUUUGUUUUCAAUAUAAAUGGCUUAAAAAAUGAAAAAAAAGUCUUAAACUUUGUUUGAUUAAAAAUUUUCGUAUAUAAAAAGGAACAUAUUUAAAUUUAUGUGGAUGGUUUUUAUUUAGUUUCAUUAAUAUAGGGAGAUUAAAGAUUGGUGGAGAUUUUACCUAACAAAUUAUUAUAGAAAGAGAGAAGAUGGAUUUAACACCUUUUGAGAAUCCAUUCCCCAAUGAGUUGUAUGGUGUAUCAAUUACGCAUGUAUGAAUAUAUUUUCCUUCCACCAUGUGCUGCCACGAAACUUAGGGCCAAUAUUGUGGAUUCCCGGAGAAUUAGAAGAUAAAAGAAAACCUAUAGGAGAUUCUUGUAAGAGUUACUGGUUUAAGAUUGGUUUUGGAUUUUGUAGGAAAGAUAUGCUGCAUCAAUUACACAUGGGGAUUUAAUACAAGUUGGAUCAUUUUCCUCAUCAGCUAACAUUUUCUUAUGCUAGUUUAGAUCCAAAUCCACACACCCAAUUUUGAUUUGCGCUUCCAUCAAACUAAUUCUUUUUACUGUGAAAAACAUAUUAUUUCAGUAAUAAAUGUUGAAUCAACAUUAUUUUAAUAAUAAAUUAUUUUAUUCCUUUUACUAUAGUAUUUUUUUCCCAUCAUGUUGAUUUAGGUAUAGUUUGGAUAGACAUUGCGUUUACUUGUGUUUAGUAUAAAAACAACAGUGACGAUAAAAUUAGAUAAAAGUGAACUAAUCGCACCGCACUGGCCAUCCAAAUCCAAGUACCAUACUCUUCUUUUAGUUUUUUUUAAACCCUAAAUAAGAAAGACAACCUCAUUUAGCGAAGUCAUUAACCCCUUUCUUAAAUUUCCAUAAUAAAACUCAUACCCUAUUCAAAAACCCUAUUUUAACAAAAUUCAACUAUCUUUGAAUUAUUCGUAACCCUAUAUUUAUAAUACAGACGUGGUGAUCAGUUAGACCUUUAAUUACUUAACAUACUUUUUUUUUAUUGACUAACAUCUCUUGUUUUUAUUGACUCCUUUAAUUUUAAUUUAAUAAUUUUAUAAUUUAAUCUAAAGAGGUCAAAUUCGAAUUAUUUUUUUGAUAUAAUUUUUAAUUUAACAAGAGCUGAAUCAUACUUUAUAGGAUUUGAACCUUGGACGAUAGGUUUGAAGACCCACAUGCUACCGAACUAAACUAAUAUCACUUUCUUAUCAUAAUAAAUAAAAUUGUAAAAAAAAUCCUUUUAUUUUAUAACCCUAAUACAAUACAUUGUAUGUCGUAUAUAUAUAAUAUGAGAAAAUGAUAGAUUGAGCAAAAUUGCAUCAUAGGUUGUGUUCAAAAUUCAAAUUCUUUUUGGUUUAGAGGGUUUUAUGUUUGGUUAGUGAUAAGUUUUUUUUCUUUCGCAUGUGAUUUAUCUUUUCGAUAUGUAGGGUGAAGGAUUUAAAUUGUGGAAUGUUUGGUUUAUAUAAGCAGCUUAAGGUAAGAAAAGAAAAGCAAGAUAAAAUUUGAAAGAUGAUCCCAUUGUUGACUGAUUCAUUUACUGCGAGCUUCUCCCUCAUAUUGUAGCGACACUGAUGUACAAAAUAUUUCAAAGAUGUACAAAUUUUUCGAGUUUAAAAACUACAUUGAGUGUAUUUUCGUAGGAGUUCAGUUGAUUUAAAAACUACAUUAAAUGGUUUAGGAUUUAAGGUUUACUUCAGAUUUGUUAAAUGAUGAAAUUUUAUACAAUAAAUUAAUACUUUUAUAUUUAAAAAUAUUUAAUCUAAAAUAUUCGAUAUAUUUAAAUAUUAGAUUUAAAAAAAUUGAUAAAUAAAUAAAGUCACUUAACUAAUAAUUUUUGGUAGAUAAAAUAAAAAAUUUUUAACAGAGCAAAACGACGUUAUUUUAUCAAUAGAUAAGCAAUAAUGGCGUUUUUUGUAAAAACGCCACAAAAUUUAUUUUACUUAGAAAAAAAUUUGGCGCUGAUUUUUCCCAAAUUUUCCCCCUAAAACCCCUAACUUUGCAAACAAAAUGAAAAAAAGAAGAGGAAAAUGAAGGUACCAAAGACGAUUCAGCACAAAACCUCUCCAAUCUACUUACGAGUUCUACCGUUUGUUUCCCUGGAAAAUAUAUGAGACUUAAUAUUUUCUGUUCCAUUUUUCCUCUUUAUUUUCUAAUUUUGGGUAUUAUUUACUCAGAUCCCCUUUCUUUUUAUUAUUGUUUUUUUUUUCUCUUAUAUUUUAGCUAGAAAUCGACGAUGCAAGUUACUGCUGGUAACAAGUUAUUGCUUAAAAUUCAUCGUAACAAAUCUACUUCAAAGGAAGUUAUUCAUAUUCCUUCGUAUCGAAGCGAAGUUAUUUACGGUGGAACUUGGUUCUCCAGCUCUCGUAAGUUUGUUCCCAGUUUUGUAUUUGCCAUCUAUACCAGGUUUACCUCUCUUACUUCUCUUCGUCUUCAUCUCCCUUUCAUUUAUUCUACCAAAAACGCCUCUUACUUGUCAUUUUUUUCUCACAUAUCGUGCAAGACUCAUUUUUCUUUCUUUAUGCUCUAGUCUUAACAGUGCACUUCAACUGUUCAAUAUAAUGCUUCUUUAUACAAUUUGUUUCUGGUUUUCAGGGGGUGUUGUUUGUAAGAUGUUGAAGCAAGCGAUAUGGAAGGUGUUGAGCAAAAGGGUAGUUUCAGAUUCUGGUGAUAAACUUCUUUUGCCUUGUUUGUACUUGCCCACGACUUCUUUUCACGCUGGACAGGUAGGUACUCUUUUUUUUUCUUUUAACUCUUACUUUAGUUUUUUUUAUGGAUACCCAAUUGUUAAUUUAUUAAAUAAUAAAUCUUUAAUAAUAAACCUAAAUUUAUGGCAUUUGAAUUAUUUGUAGAAUUUGAAUCAUAAAAACAUUGUCAAGUAUCUUGGAUCAUUGAAGACAACAAGAAGUUAGGUUUUGUAGUCUCUGUCUGGAAUUCUUGCUCUGAAGUUUGUCUAUUUUAUACGAGUUGAGUUUUCAUGGUUUGCUGUUGCAUUGUUUCUUCUGUUCUUUGUUUUGUUAUUGGAACUAUUUCCAAUUGUCUGGUUUACUUGAAAUCCGAUAUUUGAUUAAAGGGACCAAGUAGAGAGCACAAGUGAGAGCGAAGGCAGUGCAAGUGAUGAAGUGCUUGUUGUUCCUUAUGAUAACUUAGCACCUAUUUCUUGUGGUAAUAUUUUCUCAUUAUUCUUCUACUUUUGAAUUUAUUGUAUUCCAAAUAUAGCAUCAAGAAAAAUAUAAUAGUACAUUAGAGUUCAGCUUGUAUAAUUUGUUUGGAUUCUUUCUGUCUUGAAGCAGAUAUUACUGAAUCUAAGCAGCUUUUAGAUAAGCUUGUUGUGGUGAAGUAUAAUAGAGCUUUGGGAAAGAAUAUGGGUUUCGUUGGUCCCAAGUAAGCAAUUAUCUAACUUCUGGAAGUUUGAUACUUAUUUUUUUCCAAGAAAAGAGAAGCAUUUCUUGAUGAUUCCAUAGUUAUAUAUUAAAGACUUGCCUCUACAUAAAUGAAUAUAGUUUCUAUGACAUACAUAUAUUUAUGUAUGCUUUUUAUAUAUGCCUCUACAUUCAUAUAUUUAUAUAUGCUUUUUAUAUUGUAUUGUGCCAAAUAAAGAGAAUAAAAGUUUUAAUUAUUGAUAGAUUCUGCUACUUUUUUUAUGUACUUUUUAUUAAAUCACUCUUUAAUCAAAUGUAGAAUUAUAAAAUUAUUAAAUUUUACUAUAAAUAAUUAUCCUUAUAUAAUUAAUUAUUUUAGUAAAUUUUCCAACUAUCAAAACAGAUCACUCCACCAUCCCACGUCAAAAUUUUGUUAAGGGUAGGAGUUGAGAGAGGUAGAUACUUUGAUGAAUAUUUUCUUUUACAUGAUAAUUAUAUACUUCUUUAAGUUUGUUUUGGAUGUUGGGACAAUGUCAGUUGAUGCCGAAAUUUGAUAGUGCUGCAAAUUGAAGUGUUUAAGUGCUGCAAAUUGAAGUAUUUAGUUGCUGCAAAUUGAGAUGUUUUAUCGCUGUAAUUGAGGUGUAUAAAUGUUGUUAAUUGAUAUGUUUAAGUGCUGCAAAUUGAAGUGUUUAAAUGCUGUAAAUUGAAGUGUUUAAGUGCUGCAAAUUGAAGUGUUUAGUUGCUGGAAAUUGAGAUGUUUUAUUGCUGUAAUUGAGGUGUAUAAAUGUUGUUAAUUGAUAUGUUUAAGUGCUGCAAAUUUAAGUGUUUAAAUGCUGUAAAUUGAAGUGUUUAAGUGCUGCAAAUUGAAGUGUUUAAAUGCUGUAAAUUGAAGUCUUUAAGUGCUGCAAAUUGAAGUAUUUAGUUGCUGGAAAUUGAGAUGUUUUAUCGCUGUAAUUGAGGUGUAUAAAUGUUGUUAAUUGAUAUGUUUAAGUGCUGCAAAUUGAAGUGUUUAAGUGCUGCAAAUUGAAGUGUUUAGUUGCUGCAAAUUGAGAUGUUUAACGCUGUAAAUUGAAGUGUUAAAGUGCUACUUUCCAUUGUCACCUCCCCCAUUUCUUUAUGCAUCAAUAACUAUAUUAAUGAAAUCAAGUACUACAAUUAUAUACUAUUGCAGAUGGGGGUUGGAGAAUAUGAUCAAGGGGAAAACAUCAGAUAUGGUGAUUCCUAGCCAAGCAGUGGCUUCUUAGACACCCAACAUUUUGCACAACCAAACAUGACCACAACUUUUAAACCUACAUGUUGAGGUUGCUACACACAAGUCCCUUCCUUUUUUUAGUUUAUGUGCUAUGUGAUGAUUGUGUUUUAAAAUUUAACUUGUUUUAGUUCCUUACAUUCUUAUACGAUUCACACUCAAGGAGCUAGAUUUGGAGCUUAAACUGUCACUGUAAUCAGUAAUUUUUUUUUUGCUUCUUUAAAUGCAUGCUCAUGGAACUACAUCUUAUGCUUUCCUAGAAUUGUAAGUUCAAAUAAGGUGUUGAUCUGCAAUUUAUACAUACAACUUGAGCAAGUUGAUAUGAACUAGUUUCAAUUUUUUUUUUUAAAUGAAAGGAAUGUUAUGUAAUCAAAGGCAAUUUGACUUGUUGCAUGAGAUAUAGUGAAAAACAUUUAUCUUCUUAUUCAUGAAUUUCCAUUUUAAUACGUCUUCAAAUUAAAUUAUACAUUUUUUAAUUGGUAGAAUCUCACUUUUGCUGUUGCUGCAAUCUUUAACCAAAGAAUGGAGUGAUGUAUGUACUGAUAACAGUUCUAAAGGAUUUGUUUAAGCAAGUAAAGAGAUUGGCGUUUUUAUAAUAAUUUAGGAUAGGAAUGGAGCAAAUCCAAAGAAUGGAGUGGCAUUUUUAUAAUAAAUUUUUUUAUUUUUCGUGACCUUUACUAGCGUUUUUGGAGAAAGCGCCGCUAAAGGUCUUGUUUUUUAGCGGCAUUUUUGGGAAAAGUGCCGCUAAAGGUCUUAGUCUUUAGCGGUGUUUGUGGUAAAAGCGCCACUAAAGGUCUUGGUCUUUAGUAGUUUUUGUGGGAAAAGUGUCGCUAAAGGUCCUGGUUUUUAGCGGCGUUUGUGGGAAAAGCGUCGCUAAAGGUCUUGGUCUUUAGUGGCGUUUGGGGGAAAAGCGCUGCUAAAGGUCUUAGUCUUUAGCGGUGUUUGUGGGAAAAGCGCCGCUAAAGGUCUUGGUCUUUAGCGGCGUUUGGGGGAAAGCACCGCUAAAGGUCCUGGUUUUGAGCGGCGUUUGUGGGAGAAGUGCCGCUAAAGGUCAUGGUCUUUAGCUGCGUUUUUUCCGGCUAAAAAAGUGCCGCUAAAAGCCUGUUUUGGUGUAGUGAAUAUAAAAAUAAUAUAUAAUCUCAUUUAUUAUUUUUAAAUCGCAAUACAUAUUUAAUGUGCUAAAAUAUCAUUAGUGAAUCAAAUAAUUUAAUUAUUCUACAAAAAAAUAGAAGUAAUAAAUAACUUGAAAAUUAUAUUUUGCAUAAAUAUAAUAUUCAAAUAUUAACAAACAUACCCUAAAUCAAAUUUCAUGUAUAAUUUUAAAAUUUACCCCAAAGAUUUAGUGUACUUCUUGACCUGAACUUGACAAUUAAGUUUAUUUUAGUACUUGUAUAUUUUUUGUCCACUUUAAUAAUUGAACUUGACAAUUAGAUAUAUUUUAAUCUUUGAACUUGAAAUAUAUAAAAUUUUAUUGACAUAACACUUUAAGAUUGUCUCACAUCAUUAAAUUUGGACGGAAUAUAAAUUCAUAGUCAAAAUAGACCUACUUGUAAAGUUAGAUACUAAAGUAGACCCCAACAACAUAUAUAAGUAUCAAAAUGAAACUAGCUUACAAAGCAAAACUUCGUAUAAAAGAAGAUAAACAAAUUGUGCUACUUGAAGGGAACAACACUGGCACUGGAAAAACAUUCCGUGUUUGAGGACAUAAAAUCUCUUAAGCACUGCGUCCAGGUUAUGAGCUACUCACAGCAACACAGAUCGCUGGGAAAUAGUGUGCCAAAUUACCUUUUGUAUCUCUUCUUGGAACCACAUGGACAGGGAGCAUUACGGCUCAUUUCUCCACUCUUUACCAUAUUAAACUUGGUAAGAUCCAAUGGUGUUAAACCCGUUAGCUUUUGCACCUGCAAAAGAUAAAAAAAAACUAAUGACAUUUCCAAUGGAGAAAGAGAGAGAUGCAUAAACUAAUACUUGUCAUUGAUGUUUUAAACUGUGGGAGAAACAUUCAUCCGAACUCAAAUGCGAAUUUCAGCAACUGAAGAUGAAUGAAGGCAGACAUCUCAGUCUUUUAAGCAAUCUGGCAUUGAACCAAAAAAGCAUAACGCAGAUCAGCAGACCAAACAUCUGUAACUCUAUGUUAGUUCGACUCUUUCUUUUCCUUUAUGCAUCCAUGUUUGAUGCAAGUCUGGGACCAGAAUGAAUAUAGGGAGAUAAUCCUUUAAAAAUCCUCCAAAUACAUUAAAAAACUUGGACAAAAAAUGAACACAACACACCCGUGUCAAACAUAUAUAUCAGACACUCAAACUAUAGUCUGAACAACAAGAUAUACAAUCAUCAUUUUGACUCAGAUAAUAUGCAUAACUAACUCCCCUACCUUCUUAGACAAAUAUCUUACUUAUCUUUCAAAUAGCUCAUCCUACAUUCAACAUCAUAUUCACCGAGCAGCAGCCAAAAGACAAAAAUACAUUAACUUAGAGAAUUUAAGAUCAGACAAAUUGAGCAAUAGGCAUAAAGACACUAGCUCAUACGUUUUAAUCAUUCAACAUAUUAUCAGCAAAAACAUAACUGAAAAAAACCAGUGGUGAACCUACCACAGCAAAGUUCUUUGGCAUCGGUUUGCCUUCCUCUUUCAGCUUAACCAUCUUCUUAUGAACUUCUUUAGCCCAUGUGAACUUCGCAAGCGCAUUCUCAACAUAUAAUAAGGUACAAUCACACUGUUUUGCAGCUUCUUUCUUUUGACUCAGUUGGAGAUUCUAAAAAAAAAGUCAAAAUCUAAAUCCACAAUCAGCGAAUUCACCUACAGGGCUCCAACCAUGUUUUAUAGUUUGGACGAGAAAAGGCAGCACCUUCUUACAUGCAAUGUCAGUGGUCAACAGGACUGGAAUGCUCGCCUGUUUAUCAUGGUGGAAAUCAAAUUCUUAUAUAAAACAUAGUUAACAUUUCUCAGCAUAAAGCCUUCAUCUUUUGUGCAAACAAAUUUUAAAUUAACAGAACUCAACUAGUCGAAAUCACAAGCCAUUCAAAAAACAAUAGAAUCAGACAAACAUGUAAUAGAAUAAAAAUUUUCAUCUGUUCAAUCUGUUCAAUCGAACAAACAUUGAAAACAUUGAAAGAAUUUUCAUCUGUUCAAUCGAACAUGCAAUACAAAGAAAAGCUGAAUGGAAAACGCUAGAAACGAAUCAAAAUUAGGAGAACAAAAACAAAUAUUCCAGAUUUGAGCAAAAGCAAAACUAAAUCGAUUUUACAGAAAAGAGAAGAAAAGAAAAACAGGGAAAGAGUGUGAGAAUUUUUCGUUGUUGAUAAAAUGGAGAAAAGAAAAAAAACGAGAGAAGAAAAGAAAUGUACGAGAAUAAAAGAAGCAGAAAUCGAUGGAAGGGAAAAAAUUACCUUGCAAAACGUCGGAGAGGAUGAGCGCAGAAAACGAAAAAGAUGGUAACAAAUUGGGAGGGAAUCCCUAUUCCGCGCUUAAACAUCAGAAUGGCUAUUACAGCCAACGUGGGUAAUAGAUGCGGAACGGAACCAAACAUCCGUUUGGUGGUGGGCCUAGGGAAUUGGGGGGAAUGCAUACCGAUUCCCCCCAACCAAACAUACCUUGAGUUUGUUCUCUUAAGAGGAAAUGGUAAUGAGGUGUAAAAGCCAAGAGGAAAUGAUUAUCUUUACCGCUAGAAAUGAACAAGGUAUGUUAUUCAUAUUUUUCUCCGGAUGCAGGUUUUAAUUGGGCAAUAGUUUUACUUUUGUUAUAGCUAGAGGUUUUACUUGUCAUGCAUCUUACUGCAUUUGGUUAGUUUUAUGUUUUAUUGUUUUAUCUUUCUGGCAUUUUAUAUUUAGUUCUCCUAUUUUUUUAGACAAUUUCUGCAACAUUGGUUUCCUAUGACGUGAUAGUAUUUUUUUGUUGUAGUAGUGAUAACAUUUGUGGUUGGCAAGAUUCCUUUAACACGGUUUAUCUGGAAAGGUCUAUCUUUGGGUUGCUGAUAGUGUCACCGAGUGAAAUAAAUGCUAGUUGUGGCUCUUAUGAUUACAAACUAUUAGCUUAUUGGUAAAUUGAAUGUUCAGAUGUCAUGACUGAUGUAAAUUCACAUACUUUUAAACAUUGUGCAUCUUCUAAUUUUAUGAAUUUUAACAACAAAAAGUUUUCUAUACAUAAUGAUUAUUUGAUUACUGUAUGUUUGAUCUUGGAUUUCUGUUGCUAAACAUGAAUUGGAAUAAAAUGAAUGCUAGUUGUUCAUUUGAAUAACAAGAAUGAAAUAAAUGCUAGUCAAGGCCUCUAAAAGACUAAUUUAGUAAUUUGGCUGAAUUGAACCCUUAUAUCAUUAGGGAAUAUAACAGAAGAACUACUAAUAGUUUGAAUAGAACAUAAUGAACUGAUUAAUAAUACAUUUAAGAGGUAUGUUAGUAGCUGCUAGUCUCUAGUUCCUUGAGAGUUUGGUUGUUCAGAGUGUCGUCUAGGAUUGUAUUCUGUGCUGUCCAUGCAAGUGUAAUAAGAUUGACUAAGGUCUUUUCCCUUUGAAAUUGUUGAUCACUCAAUUAAGCUCAGUUGACCGGCUAUCAUGUCCUUGCUCAAUUAAGCUCUGCCAUAACUGCACGAAAGAACAACAAUUCCAUACACUCAUUACAAAGAAUACAAGUAGUGGAGUUCACGGACUAGACAAUUAAAGAGAACUUUACACAUGUAACCAAAUUCACCAAUAUGAGCAUUGAUAUCUCAUUUUUAUGAGAUCUUAUUAGAUUAUUGAUUAUGAAUAUGUUUACUCGAUCAUUUCAAGAUCAUGGUUUCAUUACAUGGAGUUGUUUGAUGGUGAAGGCAAUAAUACAUUUUUAAGAUUACUGCAGCCAAAAGAGUUGUUGCAAAGGAGACCAAAGUCCAGAACUCUUUUUCUUUUGUGCUUCCACAACUGAGUUCUCCAUUACCUCAACUUUCAGCUUCAAAUCUUGAGCUACUUGUCUCUUUCUGUCAUUGAUUGUUACUUUUAUGUGGUCUAAUAUUAGUUAUGCACUUGGACAAUGUUGUUGUUAUUAUGUGGUGUACUACUAAUUAUGCAUUUGGAUAAUAUUAUUAAUUUCUAGUAUUAAUUGUGGUUUGGAAGCUAAUUUAUAAUUAUUCAAUCCUUAUUUUUUAUUUUUUAACACAAUUAUAAAUAAUUUAUUUGACUUUGGUUGUUUUCAAUUUAUGACGGUUAAUAUUGUAGCUUAAUAAUUGAGUAUUUUGAUUUAUUUAUUUAUAAAUAAAUCAUUUCAAUAUAUGUAAAAAUAAUUUAAAAUAUAAAAAUUUAUUAAUAUGUAUAUAAAUUUAUUAAUAUAUGUAAAAACAACUUUUUCGGAAAAUAUUUUCAGGAAAUCUACCAAACAACAAAAAAUAUUUUACACAGAUUCAUCCAAACACUAGAAAAUAUUUUCAGUAAAUCAUUUUCCAGAAAAGUAAAUCAUUUUCAGGAAAUCAUUUUUCGAAAAACAUUUUACUGGCAAACAAACGAACCCUUAUUGCUCAUGGUCAUCAACCUAUAAACCCAAGAGCAUUAUUAGCUUCUAAAUCCAAAACACUAAUAUCAGCAUCCAACCCAACAAUGAUAGUCUUAUUGACUCAUUUAAACAAGUUUCCUUUGUCAAUCUAUAUUCUGUAUUUGGUAAUCUCCAAUAUGAUUUCAGAACAUACGAUAGUUGGAAGAAGAAUAGCAGCAAAGAUGCAAAGGGAAAUGACUUAUACGAGGAGGAAGAACCAUCUUUUGGGUGCAAACCUGUAUACCAUAUAAUAGGAUGUCCUGUAUAAUGUCACGAGAGCUAGUACCGUUGCCAAGCAGUAAUUACUAAUGCUAAUAUGAUGAACAGAAAAGGAUCCAGCCGUAAGAUAGUAUGGAUACUGAAAUGCGAGUGUCCGUAUGGAAACAGCAACUAAAAGCAUGUAACAGGUCCCAAAACAGGUCCCAAACAAGGAAAGUGUUAUGAGAAUCACUACACCAAAAUAGGCUUUUAGCGGCGCUUUUUUAGGCCUUUAGCAGCGCUUUUUAGCGCCACUAGCGCCGCUAAAAACGCCGCUAAUGACAGUGUCGCUAACUUUAGCGGCGCUUUUUCCACAAACGCCACUAAAGACCAAGACCUUUAGCGGCGCUUUUACCACAAACAUCACUAAAGACCAAGACCUUUAGCGACGCUUUUCCCACAAACGCCGCUAAAAACCAUGACCUUUAGUGGCACUUUUACCACAAACGCCGCUAAAGACCAUAGCUUUUAGCGGCGCUUUUCAAACAAACGCCACUAAAAAUAUAUCUUUUAAAAAAAUUAAUUUUUUUCAAAUAAUAUUUAUUUCUAUAAUAAAUAUUAUAUUAUGUUUUAAGGAUAAAUAAAAAAUAUUAUUUAAAUUAAAUUUUCUACAAAAAUUUUAACUUUAAAACUAAAUAUAAAUAUAAAAAUUAAUGAAUUUAAAUUUAGAAUUUAAAAUAAUAAAUUAAUAACACAAUUAAAAUCCAAAAGUUAGAACACUUAAGUAAAAAUAAAAAUUUAGAAUCAAAACUAAAAUAAAUGAUACAUAUGCAAGGUAAUAAAAUAUACAAUGCAUUUUCUUAAUCAAGUAAAUCUUGGUUACAAAACUAACACAGAAAAUAACACAGUAUACAGUAUGUUUUGUCUUUCACAUUUUAAAAAUAAUAAUAAUAGCAUGUUUGUUUGCAUGCUACCAUGAUCAAAACACAAAAAUGAAGUUCUCCACCUAAUACAAAUUUCUCCUACGAAUGUGCAGAAUCAGAUCUCUAGAUUCUCGGAGUUCUUCAUCUGGUGCUGUCUCGAUGGUUUUGAUUAUUGUGUCAUCUAGCUGGAUUCAAAAAAAAGAAUAGAAUGCAAAGCAUGUUAUACAUUUGGACUCCAAAUUUUUAGCAACUCAAAAGAAUGCUAAGAAUGUUGUCCAACCUUCCAGUACUCACAAGGAUCUUGAAUAAAAAUGAAAUCAGACCUCACCACUUCAUAUAAGAAGCCUACACAACUAAUUACACAAAAGAAAAAGAUGAGAAAAAAUAACAAUGUAAAAAAGACGUUUGAAUGAGAUAAUAUAGAACCCAGAGUUAACUCUGUGAAUACCUUCACUUUAGAGUGGGUGUACACAGUUCGAUAAAGAUCAGCACGAGUAGCAAAUAACUUGUGGAUACUAAGAUCUAGCAAGAGCACCCAUUACCAUUAUUAAGGAGUAAAAAAACACUAAAAGAACUAAACAUGUAUUUUGCAAGUAAAUGAAUUAGAUGAUACUAACAGUCUUUAGCACGAUAGCAGAUCUCAUCACCCAAAACUCGCAGUCUCCAUGAACCUGCAGGUGGUGUAGUAUGUAUAUUAAGUUUCACUUACUUAUCCACAUCAAUUCCAUUCUAACCAUUUGCAACAAUAUCAUAUAAGAAUUGCUUCUCCUUUGCACUCUUCAAAGUAAGCACAAAAUAGUGUAUGUGUUAGAUAAAGAAAAGAAACAAAGAAUGUUUGUACUUCAUACUGGAGCAAAAUAUAAAAAAUCCAGUGAUCAACAUGUGCCUACACUUAAAAUAUAAAAAAUCUAGUGAUCUACCGAAAUUAAACUAUUCAUCAAAAUGAUUGCAAUUAACUGAGUUAAAACAUGAUUUUUUUUCUUUUCUUGCAAAUAUCUAAAGUUUUUUAUACCUUCCCAAAUGGUGAAACAAGCUGGUGAAGUGCUGUAAUUCUGUCUCCUAAUUUUUCUUUCCUCACCUGCCAUAUAACAUAUAUAUGUAUAUAUACAAGUCAGAAAAAAAGAAAAAGUAGGUGAUUAAUUUACUAUUUUACUUUCACUUAAACUAUAUUCUCUUUUUCAUACAUUAAUAGAAUAUGAUAGUUACAGCAAAAAAAAAAGAAAAAGAAUCAUCCCUCUAGAAAUCGACAACCAAACAAGGACAACAGUUUUUACCACCCCACAUGUAUUUUGUGUAUGUGUAUAUAUAUAUAUGCUUGUGAGUGUGCGUGUGCGUGUGCGUGUGCGUGCAAUCUGUAUUGAGAUAAAAAAAAACAUAUAUUUAAUUAUAUAAAAAUUAUGAUAAAAGUAUCAUGGAAGUCCCUGUACUAAAAGGUGGAUUACAUUUUGCCCUUUUACUCAAAUGGUUUAAUUUAAACACUCAUUCAACAGCUAUUACCUAAAAUGCUACCACUUUUGAGGUAUAAAAUCAGUGGAAGUCUAAAUGAACAAAGUCCUAAGCCAAUCAAAACAAAGUCACCAAGAAAUGAAAAAACAAUCUGUUCUUAUCCUUUCGAAACAGUGACCAAAUACAAUGAAUUCAAAAGGUUGUCCUUUUCAUAUCUGCUUAUCAACCAAAUACGCAAUGAGAAAAAAAAAUCAUGAUCCGCCAGCAGAAAAGCUUGAAAUUUGAAUGGAUCAAAUGAAACAUAAAUCUAAUGUAAAACACACCUGGAGAAAGCUUAAAAGAAGAGCUUUGAUGAGAUUUUCUGGUGUGAGCUCUGGCUGACGCUGCUGAUAUCUUCCUUCUAACUUCCCCAUUAUCGUCCCUCAAAACCCAAUAAUCUGUAAAACGAAGACUCCCCCAAAUUACUUCAGAUGUCUCUCUUAAAUUCUAUUUAAAAAAAUUAAAAAUCUAUAAAAAAAAUCAGUUACUAUAAAAAAAAGAGAUAAGUGUGAAUUAAAAAUAUAAUCCCAAAUACUGAUUCAAUUGCAGACUGGGAUUUAUUUCUUACCUCAAAGGUACAGCAAUGGUUGUAACCUCUGUAACCUGUUUGUGAAACCUCUGUAACCUGUUUUACUAGUAAAGCCGAUAAUAAUCCAGAAACUGGUUGUAACCUCUUUGUAUUUGCCUGGGAAACCAGAAAUCUUCUCAUUAUCAGCAUAUGUUGAUUUUUUUUAUAAUGUCGCAGGGAGGGAGGGAGGGACAGAAAGCAAGAGAGACGGCGAAGAGUUUUAGGAGGGAAAAUUAGGGGUUUCGGGGAAAUUUGGGGCUAAAAUGGGGGGAGAAUUUUUAAAAGUGAAAUUAGGGUUUUUAGAGGGAAAUUUUGGGAUAAAACGGCGCCAAGUGAAAUUAUUUUUGCGACGUUUUAAAAAAAAAGCCGGGAAUGUACCUUUUGUGGAUUUUUUUUGAAAACGUCACUAACAAAUUUAAAUUCUUUUAUUGAAAUGACGUCGUUUUGAGAAAUAUUAAUACAUAGUAACGGCGUUUUUUGCUAAAAACGCCGCUAAAGCUCUCAUAUUUUUUAUAUUCAAUUAUUGUAUCUUUCAUAUAAAUUAUACAUAAAAGAAUUAUUAAAAUUUUAAGUAAUAUUUAAAAGAAUUAAAUAAUAUUAUAAAUUUAGUUUUCUUAUUUCAUUUUUAUUUUUGUAUUUUUUUCUUAUAAUUUGGUCCUAUCUAAAUUAAAUAAUUACCUAUAUAUCCAUAUCAAAUAUAUCAAAUGGUUUAAAUUAAAUAUUUUUAAAUAUAAAAGCAGUAAUUAAUUGUAUAAAAUUGUAUCAUUUAACAAAUCUCAAAUAAACCUUAAACCCUAAAUUAACCAUUCAAUAUACAUAAAGUCUAUCUAUUAUAUAUCUCUUACAUAAUAUAAACUAUACUCAUAAUUUCAAUAUAUUAAAUUUAUUAUUAUCUCUUUUACAAUUAUAUAAGAACAUAUUUAAUAUAUAAAUUAAAAAAUCAAUUAAUCUAAACCCUAAACCUUAACCCGACCCUUGAAACCCUAAAUCCCUAACUCCUAACCCCUAACUCUUAACCCCUAAACCUUAAAUCCCAACCCUUAAACCAUAAUCCCUAAAUCUAUAUAUAAUCCCCGAACCUUAAAAUAGUAACUCCUAAACUGGCUUUAAAUAUUAAAUUAACCAUAUACCGUAAACCAUAUAAACCCUAAACUAUAAUGAUAAUUAAUUAAAUAUUUUAAAAUUAAUACUAUCUUAUCUUUUUCAAUUAUAUAUGAAAUUAUUUAAUAUAUAAAUUAAAAAACAUCAAUAAAAUAUAAAUUAAAAUGCUUUUUUUUGGAUAAUUUAAUGAAUAUGGCAGGAUUAACUCUAAACCCCUAACCCCUAAAUUCUAAACUUAGCCCUAAACCUUAAACCCCAACCCUUAAACCAUAAACCAUAAACAAUAAUCCCUAAACUAUAAUGAUAAUUAAUUCAAUAUUUUAAAAUUAAUACUAUCUCUUUUACGAUUAUAUAAGAUAUUUUUAAUAUAUAAAUAUCAAACACGUCAUAGACACUUAAAACUUUGAGAUAGUUAUACUAUUUUUUAUUUCACUUAUAGGAACCUCAUACACUCAAGCACUGCAAGUCUUUUGUGAAUUAACCAAUGGUUAUGAAGAUCUACUACUUACGGUUAUCAAUGCCAGCUGGAAUCACAAAUAUUAACAAGAAUCAGACAUAGAUAGCAAAAUUAAUCAAGCACUUUCAAGGGACAUUCUAGCAGUUCUUUAAAGAAAUGGAUUUCAAUCCAAAAUUCAACAGUUCUGUAACUAGCCUAGCAGACAGAUGGAAAAAUAAUAUUUAUUUUAGAGAUCAGUCUACCUCUUAAGUGGAAUAACUUUCUAUAAACUUUAACCUUGUGAACUUUUUUAUUAAUAUAUUUCUUCUAAUACUUCUUAGAGAUAAUCACAGUCAAGAGAUUCAACCAUUAAGAUUCAAUGGAUGGUUAAUAUAAGACCAAACAAAGACAAUGCAUCUAAUUUAAUAAGCUCAGCAGUGCUCACGAAUAAAGCAAAACAGUGUAUAAGAAAUUAUUUAGUAUGUAAAUUAAAAAACACUCAGUAAUGUACCCAAAAAACUUAAAAACUAUUUUAAAUAAUAGUAUUUUAAAUCAUGUACCCAAAAAACUUAAAAAUAUUUUUUGCGGCGCUUUUUAAAAAACGCCGCUAAAAAUAGAGCAUUAGCGGCGCUUUAUCAAAAACGCCGCUAAAGACCAGAGCAUUAGCGGCGCUUCUUCAAAAAUGCCGCUAAAGACCCGAGCAUUAGCGGCGCUUCUCCAAAAACGCCGCUAAAGACCCGAGCAUUAGUGGCGCUUAUUCAAAAACGCCGCUAAAGACUCGAGCAUUAGCGACACUUCUUCAAAAACGCCGCUAAAGACCCGAGCAUUAGCGGCACUUCUUCAAAAAUGCCGCUAAAGACCCGAGCAUUAGCAGCGCUUUUCGAAAAAUGCCGCUAAAGCCCUGAAAAAUCAAAAAACGAUGUCGUUGUGCUUGGGUUUUUUGCGACGCUUUUUGAAAAAUGCCACUAAUGUUCAUUUUUAGCGGCGUUUUCCAAAAAACGCCGCUAAUACUGGAUCUUUAGCGGCGUUUUUCCUAAAGCGCCGCUAAUGCUUGAUUUUUAGCGGCGUUUUUUGUUCAAACGCCACUAAAAACGCCGCUAAAAGCCUAUUUUGGUGUAGUGAAUAAACAAGUAGAUUGAACGGCUGGGUAGGAGAUAGGCUGUUAAAACAGUUGUUGCCCAAAAGGUUAAAGUGUUGUAUAACCAAAACAUUGUGCACACGUUUAGUAUAGGUUCUAUUUUUUUUUCUUCAGCGGGUGGAGGACUUGGUACGGGUCCAGUGCUGGUUAAACCUAAAGAUGCGUCAUACUUGAGUUGGAAAUUCUGGGAAUUUGAAAUGGUACCAGGCUGCUUUGGAGGGUUCAAAGUGGCAGUGUAUGUGGCUGUUAUAAUUAGCACUGUGACUACUAAAAAUGUGUUACGCAUCUCAUGUGGGAUUCCCUUUGUUGACACCAUUUUUUUUAUAAAACAAGGUCGACUUGGGUUUUAAAAAUGAAAACAAACACGAGAGUCGCCACCAAUCCUUUUUGAUAAGGUGUGAUCGGGCCACCUUAAAAGUGGUUAUUUUUAAUAAACAAUUUAAUUUUAUUAAAACAACGAUUUCGGUCCACGAAAUUCAAAAAAUCGGUUCAGGAGUCGUUUACGUACGAGGAAUGAUUAGCACUCUCGUAACGCCCAAAAUUGGUACCUAGUUGAUUAAUUAACGUCUUAAUGUUGAAGGUCGAAAGAUUUUAAAAUACGAUCCUUAUAUUAAAAACUUGGAUAAAUCAAAUUAGCCGUUAGGACCCUCUCAUUUCAGAGAGAGAAAAUAUUAUACCCAAUGAGUUAGGGCAUGAUAUUUCACCUCUUCAAAAAUGUGCUUGUCUAAACAACUCGUACAGUAAAAUUUAAAAGGAUAUUCAAUUGUUUAAGUCAGGUGAAAAAAUUGUAGCCCAAUACGUUAGGGCACAAUUUCUCAAAAUUCUAAACAUUGAAUAUUGCCUUUAUUUAUUUUUUAGAAAAAUUCACGUCUCGAGAAAACAACGUGUCAUAUCCAAUGCGUUAGGAUUCAACGUAUUGAAUUCCCGAUAAUGAGUUUUUAUUUAUGUUUUUGAUUAAAGAGCAUUCUCGAUUAUUUAGAUUCAACGAAGAAAAUUAGAACCCAAUACGUUAGGGCUCAAUCCUCUCGAAAAUCCCAGAUAUUGAGUAUUGCUAUUAUUUUAGAAAUUUUCCUUUUUUCCAAAUCUGAGUAAAAAUUGAUGUAAUGGAAUAACAAUUAUGAUAAUAUAAGUAAAAAUAAUAAGAGCAAAAACAAAAAGAUAAAUAAAUAAGAAGACAAAUAUUAAUAUAUAAAAAAAUCAUUCAUGUAUACACAAUAAACAAGUAAUAAGCAAAUAAAAGUGAAACAUUCUUUUAAAAUAAUAAUGAAAGCGUAAAUAGAUAAAUAAAUAAAGAAAAUGAAUAAAAUUAUAAGAAUGUAAAAAGAUAUAUGUAUGUACAUAUAUAUAUAAAUUAUAAGAUAUAAUAAGAAAUAUAUAUAAGCAUGUAUAUAUAUAUUUAUAAAAAUUAAAAAAUAUGUAUAUAGAUAUAUAUAUGCAUAAAAAUUAUAAAUUAUAAAAUAUAAAAAAAAUAUAAGAAUGUAUAUAUAUGUAUAAAUUAUAAAUAAGUUAUAAAAAUAUGUACGGGUAUAGGUAUAUAUAUAUUAUAAAAAUGUAUGUAUGUGUAUAUAUAACAAUAUAUGCAUGUGUAUAUAGAUAACAAAAUUUGAAGUUUAAAAAGUAUAGAUAAUAAUAUUAAUGAUGUAAUAUAAUAAUAAUAAUAUAUUAAAAUGAUCAAUUUAAUAAUAAAUAACUAAAAUACCAAGCAGAGGACUAAAUCGAAACUAAACAAAACUUUAGGGCCGAAAUCAAAAAUGAAGAGUAGAGAAAAGGACUAAAUCAUAACGCGUCUGAAAGGAAAAGGACCAAAAAAGAAAUAAACCAAGUCACCCAAAACGCAGCGUUGCAAUGGACUAAAAUGAAAUCAGUGAGAAAUUAUGCAGUCCAAUUUGAAGAAUAAAAAAAAUCAAAUUAAAACAAAGUGCAAAGGUGGAGGGCUUAAUGCGCAAAUAUCCCUCCAAAGUAAAAAAACACGCGGAUCCUUCUCAGGGUCGGGUCACUGCGCGGGUCAGGGCUAAAACGGCAUCAUUUUGGCUCCUGACCCUAAACAGCAAAACGCCGCCGUUUAAUAACCUUUAUUUAAAACAUAUUUUUUCUUAGAAAAAAAAUCAUUUUUUAGGGUUUUAGAAUAAAAUUGCAGAGGAAGAAACUCUCCUGUCGUCAGCCGAAUGGGCCACCAUCGGCCCCGCCGUGGGCGGUGGGCAGAAGGCCAAAAGUUGGGUUUUUUAAACCCCGCUUCAAGGGCCGUCUGAAGAUCGAGUUUUCAUGACCCUAAGGCCAUAGGAAGAAACCCCAAACGUCGCCUUCCCCAUCCGCUUUCGGUGACUCGAAGGACUCCGGUGACGACACUUACACGGCGAUUCAGGUAUGUUUUCCUUUCUCUUUUUAUUCUAUUUAUUUCGUAUGUAAAAAAAAAGAAGAAAUGGACCGAGAGAAAAAGCCAAUCGGAAAAUGUAAAAGGAAUCACCUUUAAAACUGUUUUCUUUUUUUAUUUCUUGAAUGUUCGUGGAAAAAAAAAGAAAAAAGACCCCCUUACAGAUGUAAAGAUCGGUUUUUAAAUCGAUUCUCCCCCCAAAAAAAUACAAAAAGUUUUUUUUUUAUUUCUUUCUAUUCUUCCUGUCACUGCUUCGGUUGCUUUGCAAGUACUUGAUGGUGGCAAGUGGCGGUGGGUAGGUGACAGAGGGCAAGUGAGCGGCGAUGUGACAAUGGCGGCUAAUCAGGGCAAGUGGGCGACAGAGGCUGCGACGCUAGGCUAGGGUUUCAGAAAAUUGAAACCCUAGUUUGACUGGGUUUGUUGGGCUGGUUUUUGGUCUGUAUUUGGGUUGUUUGUUUGGGCCAAGUUUGGGUUGAUAUGGUUAUAAUGGGCCCUUUGUAAUUUUUUGGGUUUGCCUGGGCAAAAUUCGGCUGUACACCCUUCUUUCCACGACUUGCUAUUGUUGCAAAUUUUUGAAGACUGACACCUUUCCUUUUAAAGAUUCGAUGUGGAAUGAAGAGAUGGAGGCUUUGGGAAGCGAGGAAGAGGAACCACUCAAACCUCCUGCUUUGCUUAUCAUGUCUUUAAUGGACUCCUUAUCGUCCACUCUCCCUUCAUCCAAUGGGUAUUGUGAUGGGAUAUCAAGUGCAGUCAAUCCCUUAGCAUUUUUGCAUUGAUAUGGUCAGCACACAAGCGUUUCAACAGUAAUUUUACCACCUGUUAAUUAGAAUAUUCAUACAAGUAACCUUUGAGUAUAUAUAUACAUAAAUAAUUUCACUUGCAAAAUUAUCAUACCUUAGGUCUGUUUCUGAUAGCAGCAACAUGUAAAACAAUGUUGCCAUCAAUGUCUGCCCAACUCAGAAGUUCUUUCUCCCAACAGUUGGCAGCUUUAUGGCGGCUCCUUAUAAGCCACCCCACCAAGACUUGGAAAGCUUCAAACCUGUCAUUUUUUACAUGAUUCUUUACAUGUUUUUGGUUCCACUGCAUAUUAUCAUGUAAAAGAAUCUAAGUUAGACCCAAGAGCAAAGAAAGCAUUAUUCAUGGGUAUAACUGGUGGAGUAAAAGGAUACCGUCUCUGGUGUCCUGAUACAAGGAAAAUUAUUUUCAGUAGAGAUGUGACUUUUGAUGAAUCAACCAUGAUGAAGAACAAUGAUUCACAAAAGGAUAACACAACCAAUGGCACUUUGCAGCAGGUGGAGCUUGAAAAGGUUAAUGAUGAUCCAGCUAAUAUUGAAGGAACAAAUGAUGAAGAAGUUUCGACCCAAGAACUUCUACAGCAACAUGAUUCAAUUGCAUAUAGAAGGCCAAGAAGAGAGAUUUGUAUGCCUGCUCGCUUUAAUGAUAUGGUGGCCUAUGCACUUCCAAUUACAGAUGAUGAUGUUCCUUCUACUUACACAGAAGCAAGAAGUAACCCUGAUGGUGUAAAGUGGAAGCAAGCUAUGAAUGAAGAAAUGCAGUCUCUUCAUAAAAAUAGGACUUGGGAGUUGGUGACACUACCCAAAGGAAAGAAGGCAAUUGGAUGCAAAUGGGUAUAUUCAAAGAAGGAAAGAUUUCCUGAUAAAAAUGAAGUUCGAUACAAGGCUAGAUUGGUAGUAAAGGGUUACGCUCAGAAAGAAGGAAUAGACUACAAUGAAGUAUUUUCUCCAGUUGUGAAGCAUUCGUCUAUUCAGAUUUUGCUAGCCUUGGUUGCGUAAUAUGAUCUUGAACUAGUUCAGCUCGAUGUGAAGACCACAUUUUUACACGGUGAUUUGGAAGAGGAAAUCUAUAUGACUCAGCCAGAUGGAUUCAAGGUUACUGAUAAAAAAAAUUGGGUUUGCAAACUGACAAAGUCACUUUAUGGAUUGAAACAAUCUCCGAGGCAGUGGUACAAGAGAUUUGAUCAGUUCAUGAAAGGGCAAAGGUAUACAAGAAGUAAAUUUGAUCAUUGCGUGUAUUUUUAGAAGCUACAAGAAGGAUUUUUCGUAUACUUGCUCUUAUAUGUUGAUGAUAUGUUGAUAGCAUCUAAGAGUAAAGUUGAAAUUGAGAGAUUGAAGACUCAACUCAACCUUGAGUUUGAGAUGAAAGAUCUAGGUGAAGCUAAGAAGAUCCUUGGCAUGGAAAUAUGUAGGGAUAGAGCUCAUGACAGAGUUAGUUUGUCUUAGAAGCAAUAUUUAAAGAAGAUACUACAGAAGUUUGGCAUGAACGAGCAGACUAAAGUUGUAAGUACCCCGUUGGCUUCUCAUUUCAAGCUUUCUACACAACUCUCUCCUUCGACAAAUAUGGAACAAGAAUACAUGUUACAAGUUCCGUAUUCUAAUAUGCAAUUGUGUGUACAAGACCCGACAUUUCACAGGCAGUUAGUAUAGUGAGCAGGUAUAUGCAUAAUCCUGGAAAAGGACAUUGGCAAGCUGUGAAAUGGAUUCUACGGUAUAUUCAUAAGACCAUGGAUAUUGGAUUACUGUUCAAGCAGGAUACUACACUUGGUAAAGGUGUUGUUGGGUACGUUGAUUCUGAUUAUGCCGGUGAUUUGGACAAACGGAGAUCAACCAUUGGUUAUGUGUUUACUCUUGCUGGAGGACCAAUAAGUUGGAAGUCUACACUGCAGUCUACAGUUGCGUUGUCAACCACAUAAGCUGAAUACAUGGCUGUAACAGAGGUUGUAAAGGAAGCUAUUUAGUUACAAGGUAUGGUUAAAACCUUGGGUUGGUUCAGGAGCAUAUUAAUGUGUAUUGUGAUAGUCAAAGUGCUAUUCAUUUAGCAAAGAAUCAAGUCUAUCAGGCACGUACAAAGCAUAUCGACGUACGUUUCCAUUUUGUGCGGGAAAUUAUUGAUAACGGGAAAAUUCACCUUCAGAAGAUUAAGACUGCAGAUAAUCCUGCAGAUAUGAUGACCAAGGUGGUAACAACAAUCAAGUUCGAACAUUGUUUGAACUUGAUCAAUAUUCUGCAUGUUUAACACUUGAAGAAUCCACUAUCAAGUGUUGUUGACAAAGGCAGAGAGAAUUGUGUGAAGAUAAGAUUACUCGAAUCAAAUCUUCAAGGUGGAGAUUAUUGGGAAUUAUCCAUAUUUAUGGAAAAUCAAAGAUAUGGGUAUCAAAUAAUAGAAAUUCAAAGAUAUGGGUAUUAAAUAUUGGAAAGUCAAAGAUAUGGGUAUCGAGAUAUUGGCAUCAUAAAAUUUGAGAUAUUUGCAAUAUAUGGUCUCUAAUUGUAAAGUGACUUUGCAAGUUGAUCCCUGAACCUCAACUAUAAAUAAGCAUGACCAUCUCUCAUUCUGUAUCUCAAACUUGCCAUUCUUUACUUAAGGCAUUGUUUUCUCUCUCUCUCUCUUUGUAAAUUCUCACUUGUAUUUUGGAGUGAAAUAUAUUUGGUAGUGGCCGAGGAUGUAGGCAAAAUUUGCUGAACCUCGUUAAAUUAUUGUGUUCUUUAUUGUAUUAUUCUGCAUGAAUUGUGUGUGUGAUUGUAGUGAUUUAUUGUGCCAUUAAAUUACGAUUGAGGGAUAUUCUGGCUAAGGAAGACCUGGUACUUAAGCGAUCCUUGUGAUCCACCUCUCUUUCCUGGGAAUUGAACUUAGUGUGAUUUUUUAGUACAAAAAUUUUACUCUUUUACACGCUUCCGCACAACAUCUUUAAUGAUAAAAGCUUAAAGAAUAAUCUUUAAAAUUUGGUUGUUGGUAGCUUUAUUUGGGUAGAAUUUGAGAUUUAGUUCAUAUAUUUUAAAUGUUAAAAUUUUAAUUUUUUUUACUUUUUCAAUUUAAUAUUGUAAAAUAAAACCAUAAAAAAAAUUGUGUACAAAUAGUAUUGAAUUUACAUAAAAAUAUAUAAAAAAUGCAGCAUAAAUUUGAAUAAUAAUACAUGAACACUUAAAAUGAUAAUAUAUGAAAAAAAACUUAAGAUAAUAAUAUACGAUAAAUUUAAACAAUAUUAAUAAUGAAUUUAAAAUAAUAUUAAGCAUAAAUAUUAAAAUAAGGUUAGAUUUAAAAAUAUAUAAAAAUAAUGGAAUAAUAAAUACUUAAAUAAAUUAGAAAAAUAAGCAAAUUAAAUCAAGCUAAUAAGGAUUAAAUUGGAUUUAAAACAAAAUUAGAAGGCAAAAACGUAAAUAAAAUAAAAUAAAGGACCCAAUUGAAAGGCGCGAAUAACUCAAAGGGACCAAAUGGGGAAAUAUCCCCGCCUUUUGAAAUGCAUCGUUUCACCAGGACCAAAUCAGAAACCAAAUAAAAUUUAAAGUAUCAAUUGAAGAAAAUAAAAAAAAUUGAAUUAAAAUAAUAAAAAAUACGGAGGGGGCAAAUGCAUAAAUAUCCUUACCAAGACCAGAACAGGCAGAUCUAGCUGCCUCUGGGUCGAGUCAUCGGGUAUAGUCAAUACGGCACCGUUUUGGAGCCAUUGAAACAGACUUUAAAUGGUGCCGUUGCAUGGCCUUUAUAAAACAAAAAAAAAAAGAAAAAUAAACAAGUUUUUAGCCAUUUCGAAUCAGAUAAAAACCUUAGCCACACGCCGUUUAGAAGCCUGGCCAUUCAAAGGCCAAUCGAUCCCUGUCUGAACUUCGAUUGCGACAGAGUGAGCAAGGAUUCGACACCACCAAGUAAUUUUCUCACCUUAAAUCGUUUUUUUCUUUUUUUACACAUGAUGAGUAAACAAAUAGAUGAGUCUAGAACAGAAAAGAAAAACAACGAAAAGAAAAAAAAAGGUUUCAAAUCACCUUUAGAAAAUUCUGAUUCUUUGAUUUUUCGUCCCCUUUUAUAGAUUUUUAAUUGGCUUUUUAUAGCCGAAACGAAAAAAAGAAAAUAUGUAAAAAAGAAAUCUAUUAUGUUAUCUAGCUAUUUUCAUUUGCUGGCAUAUUGUUGCUCGCUUUUUACUGUUAUUCGUUUCUGUUUCAGGUGUACGAAGGAGCGAUGACGUGGAGGUGCAACACGCGUGGAGGCCUGGUUCCCAGCUGCGGCGUGGACUGUUCCAAAAACCCUAGGGGUUUCUGGAGAUUUCAAAUUGGGCCACUUCAAAUCGGGCUAGGGUUUAAUUAAGUCUAGGAUUGUAUUAGGUCUAGGAUUGGGUUAGAUUUUGGGUUUAGGCCUCAAUCCGAAUUUGGCCUAUUGUAACUGAACUUUUGGACUUAUUAAUGGUUAUUUUGGGUAUUGGGCUAUUAGGGUUUGUUGGGUUUGGGUUUUAGAUAUUUGGGCUGAUUUGUGUUUGUUUAUUUUGGGUUGUUUGUGUAAUUCUGGAAUUUUUAUUUUAUUGGACUUUUAUUUUUUGAUUUGGUUUUUUUUUUGUGUGGGCUCGAGCAGAUUGGGCCUGCUACAAUAUUGAUGCAAAACUUUGUCACUAAAGUGCAAAUUGUAACAAUAGUUAAGUAGUCUUUUGUUCGAAUAACAUUAGAAGCACAUCAAAGUCAAAGCACAUAGACUUUAAGUUCAUUGUUGUUAAAAUAAAAGUUUAGGGUGGUUAGAUGUCUAUAAAGUAUAUUGAGACAAACUCCAUGGUUGUGGAUUCGCUUAUUAAGGGACUACCACCCAAAGCUUUUUUCCUGAGCACACUGUUGAUAUGUGUGUAAUGUCAUUCAAGGAUAUUUGAUUUUAGUAGGAGUUUGUACUUUUAAACGUUUUUAUGUUAUAAAUACAUUUUCAAUUAUUUUAGUUUACAAAUAUUAAGUUUUUUUUUUGUAGAAAGAAAGUUUAUUUGGUAAAGUUUGAUCUCACUAAGAUUAAUGUGGACCGGUUAGAAUAUGCAUGUUUGAAUCAUAUUACAUGUAAUUUUCAUGUUACACAUCCAUACUUAAUCUAUGUCAUUUGGUUGUGCUAAUAUAUGUGAUUAAGGCUGGAUUUAGUUAUGAUAUAUGUAACAAAGUUGCAUUCUUUCUAUGUUAACAUAAUUAAUGGACAGAUUGUUCGAAAUGCCUUUUAGAUACGAUAGUAAAAUUUUGAGCUCAUAAGGUUAUAUAAUGACAUGUAAUUAUAAGGUAAUCGGUAUAUAUAUAUAUGUCAUCCAAGUGGUAUAUAUGGACAUCACAUAUAUAAUAAGCAUGUUACAUGUUAUUAUUUACUAUCAUAAAAGAUUAACUCAAAUUAAAAGUGACCUAAUUUGGUUAAGAUUUAUUGGAUUUUAGUUAUUAAAUAAAAUAUAGGUCAAUAAUAUGUGUAGAUACUCUAGUAACUAAUUUCUAAUUUAUGAUGGGCUGAUUAGAAAUUAGGUUAAUGUGAAAAUGUUAUAUAUUAGGAUUUUAGUCUCCAAGUUACGCAUAUGUAACUUUUCUAAUAUCCCAUCUUGAGAAAAGAGAGAGUCACCUUCUUUAGAUUACUUGUGAGCUAAUUUGGAAGAUCAAAACCUUAAAAUUCGUAGAUUUCAAGAAAUCGGUAAAUUCAAAUACGCUUCUGCAUUUAGUUUUGUUCUUAAUUAUUUGACAUGAUAGAUUCUGAUUUAUUAAGUUUUGUAAAAGAGUUUUACGGUUUUAAUAGGAUAAUUACGAAUCCCAAAUAUAAACUGUAAAACGGACAUGAAGAAUAUAAAAGAAAUAUUACAAGAAUUUUGAAAGAGAAAAUUAAAUUGAAAAUUUUAAUGUUAUUUUUAUCUUUCAUAAUUAUUUUUAUUUAUAUUUUAUUUACAAGAACAUUUUAUUAAGAGUUUAUUAGGAUUAAGUUUAUUUUUACUUUUAUUAAAUAAAUGUUAGACUAAAAAUAAACUUUUUUUUCCACUGUUGGUAUAAUGGAUAGUAGGCUAGGUUGUCCUUUUUUAUUUGUUUAGGCACCCGUGUAUGAGAAUAAUUUAUAUUAGAAUAGUCCUAAAGGUUAAAGAUUUUAAUAUUAAUAAAAUUUUGUCACAUCAUUAAAUUUUAAAAAUAUAAAAUUAUUAUUAUACAUUCGUUCAUAUUAAAUUUACUUUUUAACUUUCGUUCUUCUUAAACAUAAAUAAUUAAAAUAAAAAUAGAAAAAUAGAAUAUUUAAAAUUUAUACAAUCCUUAAAGAUUUAAUCCAAUAUUUUUUUUUGUUUUAAAAAAUGUAUAAUAUGAAAUAGAAAAAAAAAUUAAAAUGGAAAAACUCCAUUGCCUAUAAACUAAUUUUUUUUAAAAAAUUGGUUACAAAAAUUAAAAAUAUUAACUUCUGAAAAAAAACUAAAAAUGAUUAAAAUUUAUAAAAGAAGAAAAGAUGUUUAUUUAUAAUUUAAAAAAAUUAAUUAUUUUAAGUAAUUUAAUUAAAGUUAAAUUAAGUUAAGAAAAAGGAGAAAUGGAUAAGUAUAUAAUAAUACAUAAUUUGUUAAAUAUAUAAAGAAAUUUAUUUGAUUUAGUACCUAAAUAUUAAUAUUCGAAACUCUCGAUUUUUCACAAUUUAUUCAAUCAAAUUUAGAUCCAACUUUAAUUAUAUUACAAAGACAUUCUAUUUUAUUAUUUUAUUAACGGGUGAAAAAACUUAGUUCAACCCAUAAACAUUGACCACAAAGGGAAAUUUGAAACACUUACCACCAAUCCCCUAUCAGAAAGUCUUUCCCACAUUCAACUAGAAAUCAGAGCUCACCAAAAUGUUUAUUCUUUUCAAUCUGAACCGACUCUACAAUCACUUAUUGCUCAUGGUCUUCAGCCUAUAAACCCAGAAGCAUUAUUAACUUCUAAAUCCAAAACACUAAUAUCAGCAUCCAACCCUACAAUGGUAGUCUUAUUGACUCAUUUAAACAAGUUUCCUUUGUCAAUCUAUAUUCCAUAUUGGGUAAUCUCCAAUAUUAAUUCAGAAUUUAGGAUAGCUGGAACAAGAAUAACAGCAAAGAUGCAAAGCGAAACGACUUGUAGGAGGAGGAAGAACCUUCUUUUGGGUACAAACCUGUAUAGCAUAUAAUAGGAUGUCCUGUAUAAUGUCACGAGAGCUAGUACCGUUGCCAAGCAGUAAUUAGUAGUGCUGAGUUUAGAAUAGGAAACGGAUCCAGGAGUCGAAAGAUAGAAAAAAUACUGAAGUGCGAGUGUCCGUAUGGAAACAGCAACCAAAAGCAUGUAACAGGUCCCAAACAAGGAAAGUGUUAUGAGAAUAAACAAGGACAUUGAACGGCUGGGUAGGAGAUACGCUGUUAAAACAGUUGUUGCCCAAAAGGUUAAAGUGUUGUAUAACCAAAACAUUGUGGACACGUCUAGUAUAUUUUCUAUUUUUUUUUCUUCAGCGGGUGGAGGACUUGGUACGGGUCCAGUGCUGGUUGAACCUAAAGAUAUGUCAUACGUGAGAUGGAAAUUCUGGGAAUUUGAAAUGGUAUCAGGCUGCUUUGGAGGGUUCAAAGUGGCAGUGUAUGUGGCUGUUAUAAUUAGCACUGUGACUACUAAAAAUGUGUUACGCGUCUCAUGUGGGAUUCCCUUCUUUCCACGACUUGCUACUGUUGCAAAUUUUUGAAGAACUGACACCUUUCCUUUUAAAGAUUCGAUGGGGAUUGAAGAGAUGGAGGCUUUGGGAAGCGAGGAAGAGGAACCACGCAAACCUCCUGCUUUGCUUAUCAUAUCUUUAAUGGACUCCUUAUAGUCCACUCUCUCUUCAUCCAAUGGGUAUUGUGAUGGGAUAUCAAGUGCAGUCAAUCCCUCCGCAUUUUUGGCAUUGAUAUGGUCUCCACACAAGCGUUUCAGCAGUACUUUUACCACCUGUUAAUUAGAAUAUUCAUACAAGUAACCUUUGAGUAUAUAUAUACAUAAAUAAUUUUACUAGCAAAAUUAUCAUACCUGAGGUCUGUUUCUGAUAGCAGCAACAUGUAAAACAGUGUUGCCAUCAAUGUCUGCCCAACUCAGUAGUUCUUUCUCCCAACGGUUGGCAGCUUUAUGGCGGCUCCUUAUAAGCCACCCCACCAAGACUUGGAAAGCUUCAAACCUGUCAUUUUUUACGGCAAGAUGGAAAACCG
rnacentral:lncRNA from 1 species